rnacentral:lncRNA from 1 species
UAUGGCUCUGGCAUUUCAAAAGUUAUAUCAACUUUAUCCCCGCUUUGCAAAUUGAGCUUAUCAUUCGAUAUUUGUCCCUGCCAAAGAUAACAUUUUCCAGAUACAUUGCACAUUUUUAUAACCCAAUCUUCUUUGCCUAUGUAGGUCUGCAACUCAGUACGCUUGGUAUUAUUUAUAUCAAUAUUGGCACGAGGAUGACAUUCUCCACAACUGGCAUAAGGGCUUCUUGACUCAUUAGUAUUUGAGCAGUAAAAGCAUAAUAGAGUCAGUCCUUCCAAAUUACGACCAUCACUCGGGAGGAUAUCAAAACUGACUUUAUUACCAUCGUUGACAAACUCGAACCAAUCAGGAACAUAAUUCCCAUUGAGAAAAAUGCCAUCACUUGGGAGGAUAUCAAAACUGACUUUAUUACCAUCGUUGACAAACUCAAACCAAUCAGGAACAUCAGGAACAUAAUUCCCAUUGAGAAAAAUGCCAUCACUCGGGAGGAUAUCAAAACUGACUUUAUUACCAUCGUUGACAAACUUGAACCAAUCAGGAACAUAUUUCCCUUUGAAAAAAAUAUCCGCAAGAAGUCCAUCCCUACAUAUACAGUGCAAGUGUCAUAUUUAUAUAUAUACACACACACAAUGUACAUGUGCGUUGUGUGUGUGCAUGUGCGCAAUAGGAAGACAAUUAAAGAGAGAUACCUUUAGGACGUUACUCAUAAAACCAGCGGUGAGUUUGGGGCAGUACCUCAUAUUAAAAUGUCGUGGAGUUUAAUGACUUAUCCAAGUCUGGAACCUCAGUGAGUGCGCGUGAAUCACAUACAUGUAGCUCUCUCAUAUUCGACAUUUUCGAAAAAUUGGGCAUUGUUACCAAACGGGAGCAAUCAGACGCAUACAGAAAUUUCAAAUUUGUUGGUAAACCAUAGAUUGUAUGAAGGUUACGGCAGUAAUUUAACUGCAAACGUUCAAGCUUUGAAAAACCAAUGAGGCUGGGUAAGGUAUGAAAAUCAUUACAUGUGAGACACAAAUCUUGCAAAGAAAUUAGACUCCCAAAAUCUUUUGGGAAUGCAUCAUCGCUUAAGCGCUGGAAUGAGAGAUCUAAAUUUCUUAAAGAGUCUAAGCCGUGUAACGAAUUGGGAAAUUGUGUGACAUGCCCCCUUAAAAUGAAAUCAGUGGUAAACCAUGAUUUCCGUAGAAAUAAAUGAGUGAGAUUCUUCAAUCUUACUGUGGAACGCGGUACUUGUCUUAUGGCUGUUUCAGACGCUUUAAGUACUCUCAAUGAUAUCAUCUUCCCUAAAUCCUCGGGCAGUUCAUUGAAUCGCCUACAAAAAUCAAGAACAAGAGUCUGAACGGAUUUGGACUUGUAGAAAUCCCCAGGAAGAGAAAUAAGAUUAUGGCAGCAUGUGAGGUUCACCAAAGAAAGUUUUUUAAGCUGACCAAUGGAGGGGUGAAUCUCGAACAAACUCUCACACCUUCCCAAUAUCAACUCUUCAAGACUUGGGAGAUUUGAUAAGUCUGGUGAUUUUUUUAAGUCACAGCAAUUACUGAGAUUAAGGAUUUUCAAGUUUUCAAGCGACUGUUGCACAAAAUCCAAAAGGUCAUACCCAGUGCACAAGGCUCCCGCUUUACGCAGGGUCUGGGAGAGGUGAAUGUCGGCUAGCCUUACCCCCAUUUAUGGAGAGGCUGCUCCCAAGUCUCGAACCCGAGACCUACCGCUUAUGGGCGAAGGCAUUUGUCAUCGCACCAAGUGCGACCUCUUUGGGGAAAUCCAAGAAAAAUUAAAAUUAAUAUCCAAAAGGAAUAUCUCAUAAAAUAAAUAAAUAAAUAAAUAAAUAAAGAGAGAAGGAAAUCCAAAAACAAAUAGAAACUUAACAUCAUCAUGUGUAAUCGAUUGUACCUUGGAGCCCUCCCAAACUUGUACCAGUUUGCUAUGCUUUAUCUCUAAAAUAACUAGUGUUCUUGGUUGAUCAAAGAAGUCAUCUGGUAUGGACUCUAAAAGGUAUCCUUCCCAACGCAACCAUACUAACUCUUUGGGGAGAUGUUUGUAUUCUCCAUUGAGCUGCACGUUCUGGAGCAUGAGCAGUCUCAGUUUCUUCAUAUUAGCAAAUGCUUCUGUACUGAUACAACUAGACUUUAAAGGGAAUUCUCCACGGAGCUGCACGCGGUGGAUCAGUCCCAGUUCCCUCGAAUUGGUAGGGAAACUUACAACAAGUCCUUCAACUUCUUUAGUUCCCUGUUAACAACACAUUAUACUGGGUAAGAAAAGGAUUAUGUGCAUCUAUUUUACGUGAUUUUGCUAAUUGAGCUUCUUAAUGCAAAUACAUAUAUUUACACAUGAAUUUUUUAAUGUAUAAUAGGCAUACGUGGGUUACAUAUAUGCUUUUCUUGUACGAUGCAUUAAUACAAAUUUUUUUUGGGAAUCUACUUACAGAUUUAUUUGUUAGUACAUCAUAGACAUCUCCAGGGAUCCACAACCUGCUCCAUUCUCCAGGGGGACGAGUGGAUUUUUCAGAAAUGAUUAAUUUGGCCAUUUCUCGAAGCAAAUCAUGCAUAUUCAACUUCUUGUCUUCAACAGUUAUAAGGCAUCGUUCACGGAGGUUACUGAUUCCUAUUGUUGCAAAAAACUUACAUUCAUCUAAUAUUUUUGCGACAUCGUCCUUAUCCCAUCCAAUAAAGAAACAAGAUAUGUCAAGGAAUAUAUCCUUCUGCGUAGGAUCUAGCCUUUCAAAGCUUACUUUUAGCGGUUUCAUUAUUCCUUCAUCAUGAAAUUUUUUCAAUUUCUUCAAUUGACUUUUCCACUCUGCUGGGGUUCUUUCAGUCAUAGAAGAACCUAAAACUUCAAGGGCUAGUGGCAAACCACCACAGUAAGAAACCACCUCUUUUGAGAGUUCAAGAUAUCCUUCAUUAGGCCAACUAUUUCCAAAGGCAUGCCAACUAAAGAGCAUCAGGGCUUCUUCUUCAUUCAUUUCUUGAAGCGGAUAUGUCUUGUCCACUUUCAUGUUCACUUGCUUUAGUAAACGUUCAUCUCGUGUCGUUAUGAUAAUUCUACUUCCUGGGCCAAACCAAUCACGAUUUCCAGCCAUUGCAUUUAGUUGUUCCACUUUGUCUACAUUGUCAACAAUGACAAAUACGCUUCUACGUCGGAGAUGAUUUUUUAUCAGACUGAUACCUCCAUCAACACUGGUUAUCUUAUUAGACUCGGUCUGUUUCAAGAUGUCAGAAACAAGUUUUCUUUGCAAAUCAACCAGAUCAUAUUCGCUAACGUUGGCAAGGAAACUUUUGAACUGGAACUUAUGAUGAAUUUGGUUAUAAAUGGCUUUGGCAGCUGUUGUUUUACCCAAUCCACCCAUCCCCCAAAUUCCAACCAUGCGUACAUCUGAUCCACCAUUUGAAAGAUAAGUGAUGAUAUCUUGAAUGCGGGUAUAUAUUCCAACUGGGUGCUUGGCCACAUGUAAUUUUUCUGCGCUCGGAAGCCAUUCCGGGAUAAUCUUGUCAACAAUUUCUCUAAUAAGCUUUGCUUCGCGCCUGAAAAUUGAAUUCGUAAGCGUUAGUGGGACUCAAUGAACAGUAGGAGCUAUCAGUACAUAGACAAUUGUCUUUACUUCAUAAAAGAAAGAAAUUCAUUCACUAAAAUGUUUCAAAACUUGAAAAGCAGGUGAAUGAUUACCCAUUGUUAGUGAUUUGAAGAUGUUGGCCAAACAAAUUUGCAGCUUCUGUAAGAGCCUUUCUCCAUUGCUUUACCCUUUCUUGUUUAGCUUCACGUUCCUUGUCAUCUUUUUCUUCAUGGAUGCCCUCUUCGUGCUUCUGAAAUGCUUGAGCUAAAUCUCCGUUCUGCUUCCUAAUGUGAAGGAUCAACAUGAUAGAAUAUUGGCAAAACACGUCGCCCCAGUUUGUAUCUGCACUCCAUGAUCUUCACCAGCUCGUCAAGACACCAACUCGAGUCCGCAUAACUCUUUGAGAAGACAAUGAUAGAGAUCCUCGCCUCUUUGAUUGCCCGGACCAGUUCCUCUUUUAUUUCUUCCCCUCUUUCUAGAUCGUCCUCAUCGAUAUAAGCCUGGUAUCCCCUGUCAGUUAAUGCCGCAUGGAGGUGGCCCGUGAAACCAUUGCGUGUGUCUACACCGCUGAAUCUCAAGAACAUGUCGUAAUUCCAAAGUUUUGACUUGGAGGACGAUGAAGAGGAGGCUUCGUGGGUCGUCAUGGCGGUAUCCACCGUUAUGGCACUGCAGUGGUUCAGAUCACGACUGAAAAAUGGCAGUAGUUGUGCUCAUGCUGUCGAACGAAUGAUCCUGAAAUACCUAAAACCCAAGUCAAGCUCCUUCAGUCAACAAGAAUAAAGUUUUAAUAUAAUAAUGUUGGUGUAUGGACUUGAGAAACGACAUAAUGUUGGCCGGAAAGUGCAGAGAAAGAGAGAGGAAAAGAGGAACAAAAGGAGAAAGACUAUCCAAAUGAUUCUUGGCUGUGAUUACAGCUAUUCAUAGGAGAAACAACGUACAUAUUUUCAUAGGAGAAACAACUUGCCCAUCUUCAUAUAUAAUACAUUUCAACAGACAUAUUUUAAUAGGAGAAACUAGGGGUGGGCAAACGGGUCCAGGAACCGCAGGUCGGGGCGGGUAAUGGCGGUUCAGGGCGGGUACAGGCCGGGUCUUAUUUUUUUAAAGAAGAAACGGGGUGGGGGCGGGGAGGUGGUAUUUAUGGGGCGGGUCGAGUUCAAAUUUGUACAAGCAUGGGGCCCCGGGCCGACCCGUUCCUAAAAUGGACUGAUUGGAACCUGGACAAUAUGUUGUGGGCUUACUACACAAGGCAAUGGCCCAUGUGGGCUUACUGCUCGAAUACUCUAGAAACUAUGAUCCGACUCCUAUCUCUCCUGGAUCGAUCCCCAAAUCCCACUACUCUCUCUCCUCGUCGGCAUCACCGAACACAGAACCACCGAUUCACCACCAUCGUCACCCAUCACCGCCGUGGCGACCAUCACCAUCGCAGACGCUAUUAACCGUUAGUUUCACCCUAGGUCUCCCCUAUGUCUAUCACUCAAGUCCUCGAUCGUUUCUCUCCCGCGUGCGUCAUUCCCUCCACGGUUCUUCCACUACACUCUGUCACUCUCCGUCACUCUCCGUCAGUCACCUCCUCCACCACCCCGACAUCAACCCCGUCGCGAGUCUGGGCCCUGGCGACCACCACGACGAGCCAGCAACCUCGAUUGUCUUCCUCGAGUCCUCGAUGGCAUCCCAGAUUUAGAGAACUUUAGGGUUCUCUUUCUCCCUCCCACCCCUCGAAUCGACUGCGUCGACAUCAAAUCAGCCACCACACGAGUCACGAGGCUUCAAAUUCGGCUGGUGACUGCCCAAUCUGGUGCGACUCAACCGAUUCCGAGCGCUCUUGACUCUGUCGACGAAGAAGAAGAAGAGAAGAAAAAAAAAAAUAACCCGUGGACCCGGGCCGGGUUAGGUCAGGUUUCUGUGUUAAAAUUAGUUGUACCCGCCCCUGCCCGACCUGUUUCUUUUAAACCUGGGUCCGGCCGGUCCCUUCAAAAUUGGGCCCGGCCCUGGGCCCGGCCCGGCCCAUGCCCAGCCCUAGGAGAAACAACUUUAGUUUUUACUAGAAAUUUUUACCCACACGUUGCUACAGGAUUUGAAAUUGUAUAAAAGAUUAUCUUUGAAAUAUAUAAUAGAUUGUGUGAUUGAAGAUUAAUACUAUUUACACUGAAAACGUUGGGAAAAGUUUUACAUACAAAAGAUUUUACAAUACAAUCCACAUACAAAAGAUGGUAAAUUUUUUUCUAUCUACAUGCAUUAUGUUAUGGAAUGAUAUAUAUAUAACUAAGUUCCAGAAUACGUAAAUUUCAUAAUUUCGAAUUUUUUUGACAAAUUAAUCAGAUUCAACUGUGGGAUAGAAAGGUCGCCUAUAAAGUUGUGAAGUCGUGGAAGCAUAAAGGACAAAUAACAAAUGAGUUUUGAGAAAUUAUUCCACAAAAGUCAUUUUGCAAAAUGCAAAUGUAUUAAAGACGAUUGGUACAAGAUUAGUAAUCAUAAGUAGUGUAACAACAUCAACAAAAUAACUAUAAACCAUAGUUGAACAUAAUUCAAAUUUCGUUUGCAAAAACAAAAGAAAAAGAAAGAAAACAUACUUACAAUAAUUCAGCCUUUAAUCCUAAAGUCCUACUCAAAGAUCCAAACUUGAAUGCAAGCUUUCUGAAAUCUUCCAAACAAUACAGAUAAAAAGGUAACACCCUAGUCAGAAAUGAACCAAGGUGCGAGCUUUCUUAGAAACUCAGAUGAAAAAAUCAACAAAAUAGAAUGAAAAAAUGACUUACACUUUUAAGGCAUGCUCGAAUCGUGAUCUAAAAUUGGUGGUGGGUCGAUUGUUGGUCACCAACUCUAAAUGAAGAAUUCAUCAGAACCUAGAAAUUUAACAAAGAAUUUUCCAAAAUCAACAUUUACUAAAAACCAGUUACUUGGUUAUCAUGCAUGAUGGCUUGCCAAAGACUAAAUUAAGGAAUGCACAACUUUACCUUUAUGAUAUUUUCAAUGACAGCUAAAAGGUCAGAUUCAAAUGAAAAUAAAAGUUAGGACUUCACAAAACCAAUUAAAAAUCUAAUUCCAAAGUUACAAACACCAACCAAAUGAUUCCAGAUAAAGUUUUAAACUCAAAGUCAGACCCAAAUGAAAUUAAAAGUUAGGACUUCACAAAACCAAUUGAAAAUCUGAUUCCAAAGUUCCAAACACCCACCAAAUGAUUCUGGAUAAAGUUUAAACUCAAAAACCCAACAGAAACAAAAACCCAAAGUUCCAAACACCCACCAAUUGGUGUGACUUAAUUGUAUCUAAUUGAAGAAACUAAAACAAAAAUAAAGCAAAGUAUAUACCUCAAAAUAUCAACCAACUAAGUUCUUCCUCCGACAACCCAAAACUCUGAAAAUUCCACACAAAAAGGGUAAAUCCGUAAGCAAUUCAUAGCUUUCAAAAUUAACAAAAACUUGGGCAACAAUAAAGACACGUUGAGAACCAUCACUCUUUCUCCUUGUGUAUUUGAAAAUAUAUUUUAUAAGCAGUUUAUGUAGUCAUUCUGAUCAUGUUGCAGUUAAAUUCCUUUUCCACAGAGUUCAAAAUUAUAUGGCAGUUUAUGGCAUCUGUUGAACAACAUGGUUGAAAGAUUUAAAAUUGAUACAUUCAAUUUUUAUGUGUAAAACUAUAACAUAUACCUAAAGCUAUUUGGUCUAUAUAUCCAUAUCAAUCAUGUUGUAAUUAAAUGUUUAUCGAUGUAAAUAGAUGAUUUCAGUCAUGUGAUAACAUGUUUCUUGUUAGUAUACGCUGAAGUUUGGUCUAAGUUGGAUAAAAAUCGACCAAAAUCUUAGUAAGAGACUCUUUUAACUUUUAACCAAAAAAUGAGCACCACAAUACUACACUCAUAAGUUUUAUCAUGCACAAAAUAUACAACACUGAUAGCCACUUUUAGAGCAAGAACAAUACUUUACCAGACGAAAACAACAAAACACUCAAAACCCAGAAACAGAAACACACUUAGGACUCAAACUCCUCAAAAACAUAAGAAAGAGAGUGCAUGAGGAGAGAGAAUAAAAAAAAAUAUUAUUUUUCACAAACUCAAAAUUGCUUAUAAAAUUACAAAUCAAAACAAAUGAAUGCAAAUCCAAAAUUGCCCUAAAUUAAAUCUGUUUAGUUAAAUGUUUGUUGCCCUUCAAAUGUCAUUACACCUGACAAUUGCUUUGAAGUUGAUAUUUUGGUCAAUCCAGGGGAAAAGGAGUUAUUUCUUUUGGAGCAGUUGUCAUGGAGAAUCCCAUCUCCAUGUUGAAUGAUCUAAAAAAUUACUUACAUCUUCUGGUGGCCACAAUAAUUUAGGAGGCCCUUCUCUCCAGAUUUUCUCAAUAACUUUGCUUUUCGUAGCUGGUAAGAUUGCAACUCCAAGAAUUGCUCUGAAGAGAUAUAUACAAACAAAAUCAACCUAAAACUAAGCUAUUGGAACAAAUUUGGAAAACACAAACACCACUACAACUCAGAGUUAAAGUCAAUAGAAACCAAAUGGGAGAAGUUGAAAAAAUAUAUGGUCAUGAAUCGAGAACUUCAUCAAACUAACAGCAAUAAAAUCUCAUAUAAUCUGUCUAAAACCAAAAGAGAGAGAGAGGUAAUUUCAAGACCUUGUAACGCUAAGGCCUCGUACAGUUGUAGUAAUAAUAUAUGGUUGAUGCACCUGUUGCUCAAUCAAAUCCUUUGUCUGGCUAAAAAAAUAAAAAUCUAUAAAUACAUUCACGUCCAAUUUAUGAGAAAUCAUGGGAAAGCAAAUGCACUGAUAACGGAAUCAUGAAUAUGAAGAACUUGCCAAAAAGAAAAAGAAAACUUCUUAUAGUGUGCCAAGAACAUCCUCCUACUCCUAGCAAAUUUUUUAUGGCAUUAUCCACUUCUCAAUUCAUAAUUCAACCAGUAACUCAAAGUCUAUAGUGUAUGAAAAAGUGAUAUCUUAGUUGAUCACGAUGAUAAUUAAGCAGAUUAAAUGACGACCCAUAAAGCAUACAAAUUCAGAAAAGAAAAGGUUCAAAACUGCCAUAAGAAAACACAGAAUAUAUAAACGGGAAAUCAAAAGAAGAGAAGCGAAAAGGAAGAAAAAACCAAACAAAAUUAUUAGGUUUGUGAUAUACCUUUAUCCGAAACGCCACAAUCAUCAAAGUCAAACAUAAACAAUCCAAAAAUUUGUGGAAAAUAACAAUAAAUGCUUAACUAAAAACGAAAGAAAACGUAGAAUAAGUUUACAUGUUCUCCCCCUAAUUAAACUGGAAUACAAUUCACCACUAAUAUUCUCGUCAUCCUCUUCAGCCUGAAAAAUUUAGUAGAAAUAUUCAAUGAAGACGCUUAAUGGAGACAGUAAUAUUAGCAAUGGAGGAAUUGAAUUGAUAACUAAAACUGCAAGACCAAAUGACUACAAUAGGUUCACAACAGAAACUCGUCUGUUAGAUGUCUCAUCUUUAGGCAGUGCCUUGUUCUUUUUUUUUCUUUUUUGUCCUUUUGAAUUUCGGCAACAACAACUUUAAUAUCCUUACCUGCAUUUACCAUGAUUGGUCACUCUCAAAACCUUACCUAAGAGACCCAAAAACCAAAAUAACUGCCAAAAGAGCUGAACAUACAUAUCUAGAAAAACUUAUUCAACUACAUGCUAAAAUGGAAGUGUAAAAUUGCCAGGAAAGAUAAGAAACUAUUCAAAUACGAGUUCUGGGCGUUACUGCCACAAAAGGCACGAGCCGAGCGGCUAUCAACAAGAACACACUUCACAUUUGGGUCAGAUUCCCAUUCAUCCAGAUAGCUCUUGUAUUUCACAUCCAAAUCUGCAUUUUCCAACAAUUCCCACUUAAACAGAAACACAAAAUUCUUCCAAAAAGAGCUAACUUCUUCGAAAUUUGAAUCUAACGUUUCGUCUUAUAACAAAUGCAAUAACAUAGACUUGUAAUCAAUACGAUGCCAUAAAGUUCAAGCUCAAAAAUUCAAAUCAUCUCCAAAUCAAAAGCAAUUACAGAUAUACACAUGUAUACAUAUGCGUUUGUGUGUUUAUCUACAUACCUAGGUUUAUGGCGUUGAGAGCUCGGGGGGCGACCGAGGGUGAUGACGGCGACGCCAAAGGUGCGGAGAAGGCGAGGGGAUUUGCUCAGAAUUUGGGUCGCUCGUCCCUCUUAUGAGAGUGACUCAAAAAUCGAAAAAGUUGAAAUUUAUUGAUUGUGAUCUGACUCAAACAUGUGAUGAUGACGAUGCAUCACCACCUUGGUUGUGCCUCUGGAUCAAAAACCCACCAUCACCAUCAAAAUCGUGCUCAUUUUCCUUCAUAGGUUUGUCCCAUACUAGAUUAACCCCUGUUCCCUUAAUUGUCACAUUAUCUAAUGUAACGUAUGGCUCUGGCAUUUCAAAAGUUAUAUCAACUGUAUCCCCGCUUUGCAAAUUGAGCUUAUCGUUCGAUAUUUGUCCCUGCCAAAGAAAACAUUCUUUAUAUACAACAUCGCGCAUGAGGUUUUUUCUUUUUUUGGCGUAACAAUCGCGCAUUUUUAUAACCCAAUCUUCCUUGCUUAUGCAGGUCCGCAACUCAGUACGCUUGGUAUUAUUUAUAUCAAUCCUGGCAAGAGGAUGACUAUCUUUACAUCUGAUAUAAGGGCCGAACUGAGAAGGACUUGAGCAAUAAAAGCAUAACAGAGUCAGCCCUUCAAAAUUACAACCAUCACUCGGGGGGAUAUCAAAAGUGAUUUUAUUACCAUCGUUGACAAACUCGAACCAAUCAGGAACAUAAUUCCCAUUGAGAAAAAUGCCACCAUAUCCGCAAGAAGUCCAUCCCUAUAUACACAGUGCAAGUGUCAUAUAUAUAUACAUGUACAUGUGCGUUGUGUGUGUGCAUGUGCCCAAUAGGAAGACAAUUAAAGAGAGAGAUACCUUUAGGACUUUCCUCAUAAAAUCAGCGGUGAGUUCGGCGCAAUACGUCAUAUCAAUCCAUGUCAUGGAGUUUAAUGACUUAUCCAAGUCUGGAACCUCAGUGAGUGCAUGUGAAUCACGUACAUUUAGCUCUCUUAUAUUCGACAUUUUCGAAAAAUUUGGCAUUGUUAUCAAACGAUAGCAACGAGACGCAUCCAGAAAUUUCAAAUUUGUUGGUAAACCAUAGAUUGUAUGAAGGUUAUGGCAGUAACCUAACCACAAAUUUUCAAGCUUUGAAAGACCACUGAGGCUGGGUAGGGUAUGAAAAUCAUUAGAUGAGAGAUCUAAAUUUCUUAAAAAGUCUAAGCUGAGUAACGAAUCGGGAAAUUGCAAAUGAGUGAGAUUCGUCAAUCCUAGAGAUAAAUGAGUGAGAUUCUUCAAUCUUACUGUGGAACGCGGUACUUGUCUUAUGGCUGUCUCAUAUGCUUUAAGUACUCUCAAUGAUAUCAUAUUCCCUAAAUCCUCGGACAGUUCACUGAAUUGCCCACAAAAAAUCAAGAACAAGAGUCUGAACGGAUUUGGACCUGUAGAAAUCCCCAGGAAGAGAAAUAAGAUUCUUGCAGCCUGUGAGGUUCACCAAAGAAAGUUUUUUAAGAUGACCAAUGGAGGGGUGAAUCUCGGACAAACUCUCACACCAUUCCAAUAUCAACUCUUCAAGACUUGGGAGAUUUGAUAAGUCUGGUGAUUUUUCUAAGUCAGAGCAACCACUGAAAUCAAGGAUUUUCAAGUUUUUAAGCGACUGUUGCACAAAAUCCAAGAAAAAUUAAAAUUAAUAUCCAAAAGGAAUAUCUCAUAAAAUAAAUAAAUAAAGAGAGAAGGAAAUCCAAAAACAAAUAGAAACUUAACAUCAUCAUGUGUAAUCGAUUGUACCUUCGAGCCCUCCCAAACUUGUACCAGUUUGCUAUACUUUAUCUCUAAAAUAACUAGUCUUGGUUGAUCAAAGAAGUCAUCUGGUAUGGACUUUAAAGGGCAUUCAUUCCAACACAACCAUAUUAACUCUUUGGGGAGAUGUUUGUAUUCUCCAUUGAGUUGCACGUUGUAGAGCUGGAGCAGUCUCAGUUUCUUCAUAUUGGCAAAUGCUUCUGUACUGAUACUUGGAGACAGAAGAUCAGGGAAACCUACAACAAGUCCUUCAACUUCUUUAGUUCCCUGUUAACAACACAUUAUACUGGGUAAGAAAAGGAUUAUGUGCAUCUAUUUUACGUGAUUUUGCUAAUUGAGCUUCUUAAUGCGAAUACAUAUAUUUACACAUAAAGGUCGUACCCAGUGCACAAGGCUCCCGCUUUACGCAGGGUCUGGGAGAGGUGAAUGUCGGCUAGCCUUACCCCCAUUUAUGGAGAGGCUGCUCCCAAGUCUCGAACCCGAGACCUACCGCUCAUGGGCGAAGGCACUUGCCAUCGCACCAAGUGCGACCUCUGAAUACAUAUAUUUACACAUAAAUGUUUUUAAUGUAUGACAGCUAUACGUGGGUUACAUAUUUGCUUUUCUUGUACGAUGCAUUAAUACAAAAUUUUAUAGGGAAUGUACUUACAGAUUUAUCUCUCAAUACAUCAGUGACCUCCUGCUGGUUCCACAACCUACUCCAUUCUCCAGGGUGACGAGGGGAUUUUUCAGAAAUGAUUAAUUUGGCCAUUUCUCGAAGCAAAUCAUGUAUAUUCAACUUGUUGUCUUCAACAGUUAUAAGGCAUCAUUCACGAAGGACACUCAUUCCUAUUGUCGCAAAAAAGUCACAUCCAUCUAAUAUUUUUGUGACAUAGUCAUUAUCCCAUCCAAUGAAGAAACAAGAUAUGUCAAGGAAUAUAGCCUUCUGUUUAUCAUCUAGCCCUUCAAAGCUUAUUCUUAGUCGUUGUAUUAUUUCUCCUUCAGGAGUUGUUUUCAAUUUUACCAAUUGAUUUUCCCACUCUGCUAUGGUUCUUCCAAUUAAAAAAGUGCCUAAAACUUCAAGUGCUAGUGGCAAACCUCCACAGUAAGAAACGAUCUUCCUUGAGAGUUCAAGAUAUCCUUCAUUAGGCCAACAAUUUCUAAAGGCAUGCCAACUAAAGAGCUCCAGAGCUUCUUCUUCAUUCAUUUUAUGAAGCGGAUAUAUCUUGUCCACUCCAACUUGGCGUAGUAAAUGUUCAUCUCGUGUCGUUAUGAUAAUUCUACUUCCUAAGCCAAACCAAUCACAAUUUCCAGCUAUUGCAUUUAGUUGUUUCAUUUUGUCUACAUUGUCAAUAAUGACAAGUACGCUUCUACGUUGGAGAUGAUAUUUUAUCAGGCCGAUACCUUCAUCAACACUGGUUAUCUCAGGCUUGGUCUGUUUCAAGAUGUCAGAAACAAGUUUUUUUUGCGAAACAACCAGAUCUUUUUCACUAACGUUGUCAAGGAAACUUUUGAAUUGGAACUCAUGAUGAAUUUUGUUAUAAAUGGCUUUGGCAGCUGUUGUUUUACCCAAUCCACCCAUCCCCCCAAAUUCCAACCAUGCGAACAUCAUCUGAUCCACCACUUGAAAGAUAACUGAUAAUAUCUUGAACGCGAGAAUUGAUUCCAACCAGGUGAUUGGCCACAUGUAAUUUGUUUGCUCUCCGAAGCCAUUCCGGAAUAAUCUUGUCAACAAUUUCUCUAAUACGCUGUGCUUCGCAACUGAAAAUUGAAUUGGCAAGCUUAGUAAGCUCAGUAGGAGCUAUUAGUACACAAACAAUUUUCUUUCCUUCGUGUGUGUGUGUGUGUGUGUGUGUGUGUGUGUGUGUAUACACACUAACUAGCUACUAGCUAGUAUGUGAGUUUGUGAUCAACUUCAAUAAAAGAAACAAAUUCAUUCACUGAUAUAUUAAAGUUUGGUGUAUCAAUUAAACUCAUUAUGGUUUAGAUUUUAGAAGAAAUUGGAGAAAUGGUCCAUGAACUAUGAUCGAAUUGUAGCUUUGGUUCUUAAACUAAAAAUUCAUUAAAUCUCGUCCCUGAACUUAACAAAAUAUGGAACAUUGGUCCCUCCAUGUUAACACCGUAAGAUUUUCUGUUAAUUUGAUAACGUCGUCUUUGUGGGCUCCAUAUUUUUGUUUAUUAGAUGCCACGUUGCUUGAAAAUUCAAAUAAAAGAAAAUAAAUACAAGCAUUGAGAAACAAAGAGAAAAAAAAAUACUUUAAAUUAUAAAAGUUAACUCUCUCCCAUCCUCCCUUCCGCCUCACCUUCUCCAAACCCCAGCCACACCAUUGUAGCACUUUCCCAACAGCCAAAACAAAAGAAAAGUUCCUCAUCCAAAUUUGGAACACACCUCACCUUGCAAACGACUUCACAAUGACAUUCAUCUACGCUGUCUCGAAAGGUAAGAUUCAAGAAAUUUGUGGGAUGCGGGUUCGGGGUUCGGGUGAAGGCUGUGGUCCGUGGGCUAAAGGUUGGGGUCGGCUGGGGAGUGGGGAUUAGGGAUUGGGGGUUGGAAGUGGGAGGUUGACGGGGUGGGAAUCAACGAUUGAAGGUGAAGGGGUGGGCUGCGAGCCUGCGAGUGUUGGUGGGAUGAGGUAGGCCUGCAAUUAUAUAUAUAUAUGUAUGUAUGUAUGUAUGUAUGUAUGUAUGUAUAUAUAUAUGUAUGUAUGUAUAUAUGUAUAUAUAUGUAUGUAUAUAUAAUAUAGGUGAAACUAACAUGUAAAGUUGUAAACACUUUUAACUAAAACUGAAAGGAAUUGGUUACGAAGGACUAACGCUCCAUAUUUUAUCAAGUUCAAGGACAAAAUAUAAUGAAAUUUUAGUUUAGGAACCAAAGCUACAAUUUUCCUCUAGAUUUGAUAUGAGAUUUAAGGCGUAUUAAUUAAGCAUGUUAAUUAGAGUAAUGCAACUUAGAUAUUGAAAAGCACGUGAAUGAUUACCUAUUAUCAGUGAUUUGAAGAUGGUAGCCAGACAAAUUUGCAGCUUCUCUAAGAGCAUUUCUCCACUGCUUUACCCUUUCUUGUUUUUCUUCACGUUUCUUGUCAUCUUUUUCUUUACGAAUGUUCUUUUUGUGUUUCUUAAAUGCUUGGGCUAAAACUCCAUUCUGGUUCCUGACAUGUGAAGGAUCAACGUGAUAGAAUAUUGGCAAAACAUGGCGCUCCAGUUUGUCUCUGCACUCGAUGAUCUUCAUCAGCUCAUUAAGACACCAACUCGAACUCGCAUACCUCUUUGAGAAGACAAUGAUAGAGAUCUUCGAUUCUUCGAUUGCCUGGAACAGUUCUUUUUGUAUUUCUUCCCCUCUUUUUAGAUCGUCCUCAUCAAUAUAAGCCUGGUAUCCCCUGUCCGUUAAUGCCCUGUGGAGGUGGCCCGUGAAACCAUUGCGUGUGUCUACACCGCUGAAGCUCAAGAACACGUCGUAAUUCCAAAGUUUUGACUUGGAGGACGAUGAAGAGGAGGCUUCGUGGGUCGUCAUGGCGGUAUCCACCAUUAUGGCGCUGCAGUGGUUCAGAUCACGACUGAAAAAUGGCAGUAGUUGUGCUCGUGCUGUCGAACGGAUGAUCCUGAAAUACCUAAACCCAAGUCAAGCUCCUUCAGUCAACAAGAACAAAGUUUUAAUAUAAUAAUGUUGGUGUAUGGACUUGAGAAACGACAUAAUGUUGGCCGGAAAGUGCAGAGAAAGAGAGAGGAAAAGACGAAUGAAAGGAGAAAAGACUAUCCAAAUGAUUCUUGGCUGUGAUUACAGCUAUUCAUAGGAGAAACAAUGGACAUAUUUUCAUAGGAGAAACAACCUGCCCACUUCAUUUAUAAUAUAUUUCAACAGAGAUAUUUUAAUAGGAGAAACAACUUUCGUUUGUACUAGAAAUUUUUACCCGCGUGUUGCUACGUGAUUUGAAAUUGUAAGAAAGAUUAUCUUUGAAAUAUAUAAUAGAUUGUGUGAUUGAAGAUUAAUACUAUUUACAUUGAAAACGUUGGAAAAAGUUUUACAUACAAAAGAUUUUACGAUACAAUCCACAUCAAAAGAUGGUAAAUUUUUUUCUAUCUACAUGCAUUAAGUUAUGGAAUGAUAUAUAGAUAUAUAUAUAUAACUGAGUUCCAGAAUACGUAAACUUCAUAACUUGGAAAUUUUUUGACAAAUUAAUCAGAUUCAACUGUGGGAUAGCAAGGUCGCCUAUAAAGUUGUGAAGUCGUGGAAGCAUAAAGGACAAAUAACAAAUGAGUUUUGAGAAAUUAUUCCACAAAUGUCAUUUUGCAAAAUGUAUUAAAGACGAUUGGGUACAAGAUUAGUAAUCAUGAGUAGUGUAACAACAUCAACAAAAUAACUAUAAUCCAUAGUUGUUGAACAUAAUUCAAAUUUCGUUUGCAAAAACAAAAGAAAAAGAAAACAGACUUACAAUAAUUCAGCCUUCAAUCCUGAAGUCCUACUCAAAGAGCCAAACUUGAAUGCAAGCUUUCUGAAAUCUUCCAAACAAUACAGAUAAAAAGGUAACAUCCUAGUCAGAAACGAACCGAGGUGCAAGCUUUCUUAGAAACCCAGAUGACAAAAUCAACAAAAGAGAAUGGAAAAAUGACUUACACUUUUAAGGCAUGCUCAAAUCUUGAUCUAAAAUUUGUGGUGGGUCGAUUGUUGGCCACCAACUCUAAAUGAAGAAUUCAUCAGAAACUAGAAAUUUAAACAAAGAAUUUUCCAAAAUCAACAUUUACUAAAAACCAGUUACUUGGUUAUCAUGCAUGAUGGCUUGCCAAAGACUGAAUUAAGGAAUGCACAACUUUACUUUUUAUGAUUAUUUUCAAUGAUAGCUAAAAGGUCAGAUCCAAAUGAAAAUAAAACUUAGGACUUCACAAAACCAAUUAAAAAUCUAAUUCCAAAGUUACAAACACCCACCAAAUGAUUCCAGAUAAAGUUUUAAACUCAACGUCAGACCCAAAUGAAAUUAAAAGUUAGGACUUCACAAAACCAAUUGAAAAUCUGAUUCCAAAGUUCCAAACACCCACCAAAUGAUUCCGGAUAAAGUUUAAACUCAAAAACCCAACAGAAACAAAAGCAUUGGUGUGAAUUAACUGUAUCUAAUUGAAGAAACUAAAACAAAAGUAAAGCAAAGUACAUACCUCAAAAUGUCAAGCAACUAAGUUCUUCCUCCGACGACCCAAAAUUCUGAAAAUUCCACACAAAAAAAGAGUAAGCCCAUUAGCAAUUCAUAGCUUUCAAAAUUAGCAAAAACUUGGGCAACAAUAAAGACGCGUUGAGAACCAUCACUCUUUCUCCUUAUAUAUUUGAAAAGAUAUUUUAUAAGCAGUUUAUGUAGUCAUUCAGAUCAUGUUGCAUAUAAAUUCCUUUUCUACAGAGUUCAUAAAAGUAUGGCAGUUUAUGGUAUCUGUUGAAUGACAUGGUUGAAAGAUUUCAAAUUGAUAUAUUCAAUUUAUGUGUAAAACUAUAACAUAUAGCUAAAGCUAUUGGGUCUAUAUAUCCAUAUCAAUCAUGUCGUAAUUGAAUGUUUAUCAAUGUAAAUAGAUGAUUUCAGUCAUGUGAUAACAUGUUUCUUGAUAGUAUACGCUGAAGAUUGGUCUAAGUGGGAUAUGAAUCGACCAAAAUCUUAAGAAGAGACUCUUUUAACUUUUAACCAAAAAUGAACACCACAGUACUACACUAAGUUUUAUCAUGCAUAAAAUACACAACACUGAUUGCCACUUUUAGAAAACAACAAAACACUCAAAACCCAGAAACAGAAACACACUUUAGGACUCAAACUCCCCAAAAACAUAUGAGAGAGAUAGAGAGAUAGAGAGAGAGAGAGAGAGAGAGAGAGAGAGAGAGAAUAAAAACAAUAUUAUUUUUCACACAAACUCAAAAUUGCUUAUAAAAUUACAAAUCAAAACAAAUGAAAGCAAAUCCAAAAUUGCCCUAAAUUAAAUCUGAUUAGUUAAAUGUUUGUUGCCCUACAAAUGUCAUUACACCCGACAAAACUUGCUUUGAAGUUGAUAUUUUGGUCAAUCCGGGGGAAAAUGAGCUAUUGCUUUUGGAGCAGUUGUCAUGGAGAUUACCAUCUCCCUGUUGAAUGAUCUAAAAAAGGACUUACAGCUUCUGGUGGCCAUAAUAAUUUAGGAGGUCCUUCGCUCCAGAUUUUCUCAAUAACUUUCCUUUUCGUGGCUGGUAGGAUUGCAACUCCAAGAAUUGCUCUGAAGAGAUAUAUGCAAACAAAAUCAAACUAAAACUAAGCUGUUGGAAGAAAUUUAGAAAACACAAACACCACAACUCAGAGUUAAAGUCAACAGAAACCAAAUGGUAGAAGUUGAAAAAAAUAUAUGGUGAUGAAUCGAGAACUUCAUUAAACUAACAGCAAUAAAAUCUCAUAUAAUCUGUCAAAAACCAAAAAAGAGAGAGGUAAUUUCAAAACCUUGUAACGCUGAGGCGUCGUACAGUUGUAGUAAUAAUAUAUGGUUGAUGCACCUGUUGCUCAAUCAAAUCCUCUGUCUGGCUAAAAAAAUAAAAAUCUAUAAAUACAUUCACGUCCAAUUUAUGAGAAAUCAUGGGAAAGUAAAUGCACUGAUAACGGAAUUAUGAAUAUGAACUUGCCAAAAAGAAAAAGAAAACUUCUUAUAGUGUGCCAAGAACAUCCUCCUACUCCUAGCAAUUUUUAAUGGCAUUGUCCACUUCUCAAUUCAUAAUUCAACCAAUAACUCAAAGUCUAUAGUGUUUGAAAAAGUGAUAUCUUAGUUGAUCACGAUGAUAAUUAAGCAGAUUAAAUGAUGACCCAUAAAGCAUACAAAUUCAGAAAAGAAAAGGUUCAAAACUGUCAUGAGAAAAUACAGAAUAUAUAAACAGGAAAUCAAAAAAAGAGAAGUGAAAAAGGAAGAAACAACCAAACAAAAUUAUUAGGUUUGGGAUAUACCUUUAUCUGAAACGCCACAAUCAUCAAAGUCAAACUUAAACAACAACAACAACAACAACAACAACAAAGCCUUUUCCCACUAAGUGGGAAAGUCAAACUUAAACAAUCCAAAAAUUUGUGGAAAAUACCAAUAAAUGCUCAACUAAAAACGAAAGAAACGUAGAAUAAGUUUACCUGUUCUGCCCCUAAUUAAACUGGAAUACAAUUCACCACUAAUAUUCCUUGGUGUAUGCUUUUCGCAGACGAUAUAGUGUUGAUAGAUGAAACUCAGGAAGGGGUAAAUGCAAAGCUUAACCUUUGGAGAGAAGUGUUGGAAUCUAAAGGUCUUCGCCUAAGCCGAUCAAAGACAGAAUAUAUGGAGUGCAAGUUCAGUGCAAAUGGAGGCCAAAACGAGUUAGGGGUGAGGAUCGGAGAUCAAGAAAUACUAAAGAGCGACCGUUUUCGUUACCUAGGAUCUAUCUUGCAAAAGAACGGAGAAUUAGAUGGAGAUCUCAACCAUAGAAUACAAGCUGGAUGGAUGAAGUGGAAGAGUGCAUCCGGCGUGUUAUGUGACCGCCGUAUGCCACUGAAGCUCAAGGGAAAAUUUUAUAAGGACGGCAAUAAGGCCGGCGAUGCUGUAUGGCACAGAAUGUUGGGCGGUGAAACAUCAAACACGUACACAAAAUGGGUGUAGCGGAGAUGAGGAUGCUUCGUUGGAUGUGUGGGCACACGAGAAAGGAUAAGAUUAGGAAUGAGGAUAUCCGGGGUAAAGUAGGAGUAGCCGAAAUUGAAGGAAAGAUGAGAGAAAAUCGGUUACGGUGGUUUGGACAUGUGCAAAGAAAGGCCUACUGACGCUCCGAUUAGAAGAUGCGACUAUGGGACAGAGGUUCAGGGCCGAAGGGGUAGAGGAAGACCUAGGAAAACUUUGGAAGAGACUCUAAGAAAAGACUUAGAGUACUUGGAUCUAACGAAGGACAUGACACAGGAUCGAGCACAAUGGCGUUCUAAGAUUCAUAUAGCCGAUCCCACUCAGUGACUUGGAUUUUCCAAGUCUCCAACCGAGAAGUUUUCCUCACUCGGAAAAUUAAGGGAACACUACCCCAACCUACAUGCUCCACUCAGAAAGCUUCAACAUACAAGCUUCAACAAAAGAAAAUUCAAAGAACUUAGCGAAGAAGGCUUUGGUGUAUUAACACAAUACGUUGAAAUGAAGGAAAGCUUAUUUAUUGAUAUCCCCGAUAAGCUACAAAUAUGUACAUAUACAUGAGUCAAAAUAAACACACAAGAGGGAGCCUUCACAAAGGUUGCUUAGGAGAAGUCUCAGCAGUCGGUAGAGCCCCAGAAAGAGAAGGCACCGGAGGGGGAUCAUUUGGAGCCUCAGUACUGGACAGAACCCUAGAAGGAGGAGGCAUCAGAGGUUGAUCAUUUGGAGCUUCAUUACGCGGUACAGCCCCAGAAGACGAAGGCAAUAAAUGCCUUUGGAACAAACCCACAAAUCUCUGAUGAUCAAGUAAAACCUGACCAUCAGUUUCCUUCAUCUGGUCAAGCUUCCUCUUCAUGUUUGUAGCAUAGUCAUGUGCGAGCCGGUGCAACUGUUUAUUCUCAUGCUUGAGCCCUCUAAUCUCCUGUUUGAGACUCAUCACUUCAGCCGCCAAUGAUUCAACUUGGCGGGUUCGAGCAAAUAGGCGUUGGGCCAUAUUAGACACAGAACCUGCACACUGAACACUGAGAGCCAGCGAAUCCUUAACAGCUAACUCAUCAGACCGUUUGGAAAGUAGUCUGUUAUCUUUGGGAGUGAGAAGGUUCCUGGCCACCACCGCAGCGGUCAUAUCAUUCUUCAUCACGGAAUCCCCAACGGUAAGAGGACCAGUAGGGGAGACGAAGGAUGGGCGCCAUAUGUUGUCUGGAGAAGGCGGGGCUGCCUCUUCAACAAGGUUCAAGUCAAAACGACGGUCGGAGGGGCCAGACAUUUUCAAAGGUGUUGAAGAGAGAAGAGGUCGGACAAAUCAAGAUCUUAGAAGUGCAAGAAUGAAGCUUCUACUGGUGGAGAUUCAAGUGUGCUUUGGAACUUAAUGCCAGCCCCUAUAAAAAUCUGCACUCGACGGAGCUUCAGAAAAUCGAAGAGGCGCCUGCUCAGAAAUCGAAGAGGCGUUUGCUUUCUCAAAAGCUGGGCUGCUUAGAGAUCACGAGGGUUGAUCUCAGAAAUCGAAGAGGCGUUUGCUUUCUCAAAAGUUGGGCUGCUCAAAGACCACGAAGGCCGAUCUCAGAAAAUCGAAGAGGCGCUCGCUUUCUCAAAAGCUGGGCUCCCCAGAGACCACGAGGGCCGAUCUCAGAAAUCGAAGAGGCACCUACUUUUCCAGCCUUGUCAGCACCUGUCACACGCACACUCAGCUUUGCGGAAAUUAUGGGCAUUCUGUCGAAGACUUCUGGGGAAGUAGAAAACACAUGAAUCUUACUGUUCAAUCACCCACUUCCCACACGCAACAAUAGCUCAUGGGUACCACAGAUAACUUUGCCAAAGUUCUCUGCCAAAGUUGAGCACGUGAAGCUUGCAGCUCCCACUACAUCGCUCUGACCAAGAAGGGUAAAAGAAUAGCAAAGAAACAGCACUAACAAAGUUUAGACCCAUAAAUUUUGAAGGUCUAGCUACCAUAUUAUUACCCACAAGGGUAAAGGAACAGUACCACUGCUGGAUAAUUGGAAAGUCCCUGUGUGUCAACCUCUGUGCUUCGUGGCAAGGUAGACUAGCAAACAUGCCCAACCUUUACUCACAUUCGAGAAAACACUCCCAAUAAGAUUGCUUGCUCCAAAAUCGAAGAGGCACCGUCCUCCGAAUCUCGAGAGCCAGACUCCCAACAUGACUACUUUCUUAAAAAUCGAAGAGAGGGUAAAGGAACAGUACCAUUGCUGGAUAAUUGGAAAGUCCCUGUGUGUCAACCUCUGUGCUUCGUGGCAAGGUAGACUAGCAAACAUGCCCAACCUUUACUCACAUUCGAGAAAACACUCCCAACAAGAUUGCUUGCUCCAAAAUCGAAGAGGCACCCGCCCUCCGAAUCUCGAGAGCCAGACUCCCAACAUGAUUACUUUCUCAAAAAUCGAAGAGACACUGCUCCCCGAAUCUUCGAGAGCCAGACCCCCAGCAUGAUUGCUUUCUCAAAAAUCGAUGAGGCAUCGUUCUCCGAAUCAAUCGAAGAGGCGCUCGCUUUCUCAAAAGCUGGGCUGCUCAGAGACCACGAGGGCCGAUCUCAGAAAUCGAAGAGGCACCUACUUUUCUAGCCUUGUCAGCACCUGUCACACGCACACUCAGCUUUGCAGAAAUUAUGGGCAUUCUGUCGAAGACUUCUGGUGAAGUAGAAAGCACAUGAAUCUUACUGUUCAAUCACCCACUUCCCACACGCAACAAUAGCUCAUGGGUACCACAGAUAACUUUGCCAAAGUUCUCUGCCAAAGUUGAGCACGUGAAGCUUGCAGCUCCCACUACAUCGCUCUGACCAAGAAAGGUAAAAGAAUAGCAAAGAAACAGCACUAACAAAGUUUAGACACAUAAAUUUUUGAAGGUCUAGCUACCAUAUUAUUACCCACAAGGGUAAAGGAACAGUACCACUGCUGGAUAAUUGGAAAGUCCCUGUGUGUCAACCUCUGUGCUUCGUGGCAAGGUAGACUAGCAAACAUGCCCAACCUUUACUCACAUUCGAGAAAACACUCCCAACAAGAUUGCUUGCUCCAAAAUCGAAGAGGCACCGUCCUCCGAAUCUCGAGAGCCAGACUCCCAACAUGACUACUUUCUCAAAAUCGAAGAGAGGGUAAAGGAACAGUACCAUUGCUGGAUAAUUGGAAAGUCCCUGUGUGUCAACCUUUGUGCUUCGUGGCAAGGUAGACUAGCAAACAUGCCCAACCUUUACUCACAUUCGAGACAACACUCCCAACAAGAUUGCUUGCUCCAAAAUCGAAGAGGCACCCGCCCUCCGAAUCUCGAGAGCCAGACUCCCAACAUGAUUACUUUCCUCAAAAAUCGAAGAGACACUGCUCUCCGAAUCUCGAGAGCCAGACCCCCAGCAUGAUUGCUUUCUCAAAAAUCGAAGAGGCAUCGUUCUCCGAAUCUCGAGAGCCAGAUACCACAGACCACUUUUUCAAAGUGCUCUGACAGAGUUAAAACAUGUGAAACUGGCAGCUCCCACUACCGUGCUAUGACCAAGCAGGGUAAAGGAAUAGCAUUACUACUUGUUGUUAGGGAGACUCCUAUAUAUGUCGACCUCCAUCCCCAACGGACAGGCAGACCUGCAAAAAUGCUCAACCCUUCAUCAUAUCUGAGAGGGCACUCCCAACGAAGCCUUUCGAAAUAUUCAGCUUUCUUUCCCCCCGAUAAUACCUCUGCAAACAAGCUAUACUACUAGAGCAAGAAUAUCUCAUAUCAUCAGGGUUAAAAGCAAGAGUAUCCCAUAUCAUGCUUUUUCCCUGUCUUUUCCUUUGGCCUUGUUUUUUACCUGCAAGACAAGGAGAAAGAGAGAGCAAUCAGUCAGCACUUGGAAUCAAGCUUCCAGCCAGGAACUGACUGCCUGGAACCCCUUACCUGAUUACUUACCUGGCAUUGCUCUCGAGUACUCAUCUUCAACAUCUUAUGUUUCCAGGGAAGAUUCCGCAUCUGCUUGAGGAACAGAUAGGGCAAGUGCGAAGGAUACAAGGAAGCAUGUGGAGACAAGCGUAACAGCACACGUGCCGAUACAUCCAUUACUCUGUCAAAAGCAAAAGUAUCCCAUAUCAGCAGGGUGGAACGUACUCUAGAUUUGAUGGACUUGUUUUGACCCUCAAAUUCUUCAGUCGGCCUUAUACUCUGGAGGAAACCAGAAAACCCUCCAGCUCAGUUCAAGAAUAAGCCUGUGGAAAGUUACUUCUUCAAAAGCAAAAGUAUCUCUCAUAUCAUCUCUUCUCAUUUUUUCUUCUCUUUAUCCUUCAUGCUGCUGCAAGAUGGGGAGAAGGUGAACAAUCAGUCGGAGCUCUGAUUGCUUACCUUGUCUGUCACCUCUUUCAGCAGACCCCCUAGCUCGGCGACUUGGGGGACUCCUACUACAUGGUUUGUAUCGCGCUUGACCAAGCCUGAAACUACAAGUAAGCUUCAAGUGAAAUUGAUACAUUACCUUGUGCAUCUCCACCAGUUAAAGAUACCACCCCUGGAUGGAGGAAGAGUACUUCCAGAGAAGAUGCCACAUCUACCUAUGAGACAGAUAAGGCAAGUCAAGACGACACCACACUCCGAUACUUAGAAGUUUCGUGAUUACGAGAUCAUUCUCCCACAAUAUUUCCUAAUGUCAUUUGUACUAAAUCAUUCACUUGUACUCACUAAAGGAGAGCUUGAACCUAUGUACUUGUGUAAACCCUUCACAAUUAAUGAGAACUCUUCUAUUCCGUGGACGUAGCCAAUCUGGGUGAACCACGUACAUCUUGUGUUUGCUUUCCUAUCUCUAUCCAUUUAUAUACUUAUCCACACUAAUGACCGGAGCAAUCUAGCGAAGAUCACAAAAAAGCGACCGUUUUCGCUACCUAGGAUCUAUCUUGCAAGAGAACGGAGAAUUAGAUGGAGAUCUCAACCAUAGAAUACGAGCUGGAUGGAUGAAGUGUAAGAAUGCAUCCGGCGUGUUGUGUGACCGUCGUAGGCCACUGAAGCUCAAGGGAAAAUUUUAUAGGACGGCAAUAAGGCCAGCGAUGUUGUAUGGCACAGAAGAAUGUUGGGUGGUGAAGCAUCAACACGUACACAAAAUGGGUGUAGCGGAGAUGAGGAUGCUUCGUGGGAUGUGUGGGCACACGAGAAAGGAUAAGAUUGGGAAUGAGGAUAUCCGAGGUAAAGUAGGAGUAGCCGAAAUUGUAGGAAAGAUGAGAGAAAAUCGGCUCCGGUGAUUUGGACAUGUGCAAAGAAGGCUGAAUGACGCUCCGGUUCGAAGAUGUGACUACGGGACAGAGGUUCAGGGUUGAAGGGGUAGAGGAAGACCUAGGAAAACUUUGGAAGAGACUAUAAGAAAAGACUUAGAGUACUUGGAUCUAACGGAGGACAUGACACAAAACCGAGCGCAAUGGCGUUCUAGGAUUCAUAUAGCCGACCCCACUUAGUGGGAAAAGGCUUUGUUGUUGUUGUUGUUGUAUUCAAUGAAGAUGCUUAAAGGAGACAGUAAUAUUAGCAAUGAAGGAAUUUAAUUGAUAACUAAAACUGCAAAACAAAAUGACUACAAUAGGUUCAAAACAGAAACUCGUCCGAUAGAUAUCUCAUCUUUAGGCAAUGCCUUGUUCCCUUUUUUUUUUUUUUUUUUUUUUUUUUUUUUUGUUGCAUGUCUUGUGAACUUCAUGUAAAUCAACAAAAUUGAUACCUUAACCAACAAUGGAGAGGUAAAAAGUUAAAAACAGAAGGAAUGUCUUCAGUUUUGUAAUGGAUUUUGCAAGUCAAAUUCUGUUCGAGAAUUUGCAACCCAGAAAGUCCCAGCAAUUAUUAACAAUCACAGAUAAGCACCGAAUGAAGGCCAAUCUAAUAAGCCAAAAUAUGUAGGGCACUAAAGAAAUUAUUGCCCAGUAACAAUGAUAGAUAAGCACAUGUGAAACUAAAGAAAAUUUUCAUUACUAUCAACUCCAAAAAAAAUUACCUAUGCAAUCCAAAAAAUGUUGAUACAGAGUUGGAGUAUCGAUGCCUGAAAUUGGUAUUUGAACCACCAACUACCUCCGUGAAUAUGCUUGUCACUUAAUGGUUUGGGUUGAAGUUGUGAAAGGAAAUGUAAUUUCUUAAAAGGAAGGAGAGAAUGCAGAGAAGAAUACAGAAUGGUUCACGUGGCCACCGCAAAACAGGUUAAUAAUCAAGCUUCACUAUGAAUGGAAAGAUUAAUAGAUGAUAAUUAAGAAGGCCUGAUACCCAAGCCGAAAUCAGAGAUAUCCUUUGUAAACAAAGAGAUUGAACAUUUCCUCUCAAAAAAUAACUUUUUUUUUUGUUUUGGGGGGGAGGUUGGGAAGGCUCAGAAAAAGACAUCCAAUAUAAUACUUAUUGCAUGCAAGGUAUGAAACAGCCUCCCCCCGAGUAAAAUCACAGAAAUAAAAGAAAUCGAAUCAAGAAAAAAGAUAAUUACACAAGAAUUACACCUUCACUAAGAAAAUAAAUUAUAAAAACGAAGACUCUGAGAAUAAUUGCCUGUGAUUUGCUGCCAAAAACAAAAAUAAUGUCGUAUACAUUAAGCCUGCCGAUUACUAAAAACAAAACAUUUUUCCAUGAGAAGAAGUAAGAACAUACCGAAACUUGUUUGCUAAUAGAUGAGAAAAAUUUAUAACUGAAACAUAUAGGAAAUUUAUUAGGAAAAGAUAAACAAAACACCUAAAUUAAGCAAUUAAAUGGAGUAUUACUUGAUAGAGCUGGAAAAUUACCCAGUUCCUCAGAGAGAGGAUCAAGAGUGAAUGAUGAGAGUGCAGAGAAACGAAUGAUUGAGAAAUUCAAGCUCUGAGCUCACAGUUGGGGCUUCCACUUUCCAACUGGGGAAGAAAUAACAGAGAAAACACAAGGCCAAUCCACCAAAAAUAUUAAUCAAAUGGGUUUCUUCUAAUUCAAAAUUUUGACCACCCAAAUUCCGAUGAAGCAAUAAUUGUUCAAAAUUCCAACAGAUUGAAGGAAAAAGUAAUAAAUUUUUUUAAAACAGUAAUAAUGAAGGAAAAAGAAAUUAAAGCUGCGAGCCAUUCUCUAAAUCUCAGGCACCAAUCCAAAUCACCAGUAAUUUGCACAUAAUGAUAAGAAUCUAGCAAUACUUCCAUUGUUUAAAACCCAAAUUCCAGAAAUCAUGAAAAAUGGAAACUUUAUAUGGAAAUUGAAGCUUUACCUGCAGAUCAGCAGCAGCAAACGAAAUUCAAGAAGUCACGAUUAUCGACGCGUGGGUAGCAUUCCACUGUGCCAAGGACGAAAAUGAACGGGGAAUGUAGAGCUGGCUGACGAAGACAGGAUUCGCGAAGCGCUCUGAUUUUUUUUUUCACGAGAAUGCGGAAUGAAGAGAAGCGAGUAGAGGAGGAAUCAUUUUAAGCGAUGAUCGACGCGUGGAAAUUGAGGGCAAAUCUGCCAUUUUGCUGUGAACGAAAGUGAAAAAAGGCACAAUCAAAGAGUAAUUUGAGGGCAUUCUAGCCACUUUAAUAAACAGUAGCUUUGUGUUUGAGAUUUAAUAUAGGUAUAUAUAGAGCCCUACAGAGCAACUCCACCCAUGGAGCCCUCCUCUCUGACAAUCUACUAUUGAAUUCACCUUUUUGAACAGUAACUGCCUUUAAUAAAUAGUAACUACCAUUAAUGAACAAUAAUUGUCAUUUGCAUCUCCACCCUUGGAGCCCUCCCCCCUGGCAAUAGGCAAUAAAAUAUUAAUUUUUUUUGUUUGUUUAAAUAAUACAAAAUAAAAUUAUUUGUAAUUUUGGAUAAGAUUUUUUAAAUCGUUCUCGUUGCGCCACGUGUCAUUUUAUAAAAAAAACAAUUAUUUAGCGAUGGAUUUCGAUAAGAUUUUUAUCCAAUGUCAUCGUGUCACAUGUCGUUAUCUUUUGAUAAUCUUUGACGAUAUCUUUCGAUCAGAUUUUAACUCGUUCAAAAUUGCGUCACGUGUCAUUAUUCGAAAAGAUAAUUAUUGGAGAUCGAUUUCGAUAAGAUUUUUAUCCAAUACGAUCUUGUCACGUUUCAUUAUCUUUCAUAAUAUUUGAGGAUAGAUUUCGAUCAGAUUUUUAACGAAUGACGGCAUGCCACGUGGCCUUAUCUACAAUCCAAUCCUUUCUGAAUCAUCCAUAUAAUCCACCAUCCAUCCUCACAAAUCUCACACCAAAUUUCUCAACAUUUCUAUCUCAUUAUUCAUAGUUUCUGCUUCUUCUUCACCAUCCAUCAUUACAAUGUCUUCUUCUUCAUCAAGGAUGAUGUGGGAAAUCGAUCAGCAAGAGGAAGAAUUGUUUAACCAAUCUGAAGGAAUGUUCAACCUUCAGAUAGCCGAAAAUGAGAUGGAUGAGGAUGAGGAGCGUAGAAGGAGAGACGACGAAACAAGAAUGGCCAGAGCCUCACAUUCCCGUUGAGUCAUCCAGACUGUUGCUCAGAUAUGCAUGCCCAACCGUUCAAGAAACCUUGGUAGAAGCAGGCAACGAUGGGGUGAAGAGCUAUUGGACGAUUACUUUGUCCAUAACAGUGCAUUUCCUGAUACGUACUUCAGACGUCGUUUUAGAAUGGAACGACAUUUGUUCAACAGAAUCAUGACUGAUGUUUACAACCAUGAUUCUUACUUUGUGCAAAAGAAUGAUGCUUGUGGUGUUAUGGGUUUCCUGCCUGAGCAAAAAAUCACUGUUGCGUUGCGGAUGCUUGCGUAUGGAGCAUCUGUAGACCAAGUGGAUGAGAUAACGAGGAUGGGGAAAUCAACCAUUCUUGAGGCCCUUAUGAGGUUUUGCGGAGCAGUCGAAUCUUUGUACACCGCAUAGUACCUCCGAAAACCUACUUGUAGGGACUUGCAAAGGCUUCUGAAGAAGGGCGAGAUGCGAGGUUUUCCUGGGAUGAUAGGAAGCAUCAAUUGUAUGCACUGGACGUGGAAAAAUUGUCCAAGUGCAUGGCAAGGCGCAUAUGGGGACAUAAAAGGAUCAAAAACUAUCAUUUUGGAGGCAGUGGCAUCUUUUGAUACAUGGAUAUGGCACGCCUUUUUCGGGGUUCCGGGGGCUCAAAAUGAUCUCAACGUCCUUGCCCAAUCCCCAGCGUUCAACGACAUCCUGCAAGGAAAGGCACCAAAAGUCACGUACAUCGUCAACGGACGUAGGUACGACGGGCCAUACUAUCUAGCUGACGGCAUUUACCCACGGUGGGAAACAUUUGUCAAAACAGUGCCACGUCCGCGAAGUGCAAAGGAAAAACACUUUGCAAGCUGUCAAAAGGGGUGCAGGAAGGAUGUGGAGCGUUGUUUUGGUAUCCUUCAAGCUCGUUGGGCGAUCGUCAGGGGUGCUGCCAGAAUGUUCGAUGUAGAGUCACUUUGAUCCAUCAUGAUGACAUGCGUCAUUCUUCACAAUAUGAUUGUGGAAGAUGAGUUCGAUUAUGAUGCGGUUGAUGAAUAUGAGCCAGAGCCAGACACGAUGAACAAUUCAAGAACACGGAUAUAUUGUGCGCAUGAUGCCACCAAAGAACCCGUGCAACAUGAGCCAUUAGAAAGGGAUGAACGUUACAAUGAAAUGGUCAUUCAACGAUAUACUGCACUUCAAAUGUCAUCUAUGCACAAUGAUCGGCAAAUUGACUUGAUAGAGCACCAGUGGACAUUAAAACAAGCUGAAGAUACUUAAGUUUAUUUAGUAUGUUUGUUUGUAUUUGGUAUGUUUAUGUAAUUUUAUUUGGUGUGUUUUUUGUAGUGAGUUUUUUAUUAUUUCGUAUGUUUAUGUAAUUUUAUUUGGUGUGUUUAUGUAAUUCCAAUUGGUAAGAAAAUAUGAAAUUGUGGUGUAAGGUAGAUGGAGAAGAAGUGGUAUUUAUAGAAAAGUAAAAACAAUUUUUUACAAAUUUUUUUUUUUAGAUUUUUUACAAUUUUUUCGGAUUUUUUCCAUUUUUUUUAAUUUUUUUUUCAAAUAAUUAAUCUCUGCCGUUGGAUUUAAAAAAAAUUGAAUUCCAACACUCCAGAUUGUGCCACGUGUCACAACGGUAAUUUUUCUUAAUUUUAAAACUAUUUUUUCUUUAUUUAUAAAGCAUAUUAAUAUCGACCGUUGAUCUGAAAUCGAACGGUUGAUAUUAAAUAAGAUUUGUUUUAUUUUUUUUACCGUUGAGAUCCAACAGUCCAAAUGAAAGAGCCGUUGAGAUCGAACGGACCGUGGGAAACCACGUGGCUUCCCAAUGGUAACUGAGACAACUGCAAAAGUGGGCUGCUUUUCUGAAAAGCUGUCAGGCGACGCGCCCCCACGCGCGAGUGGGGUGCACGCGCCUGACAAAAAAAAAAAAAAUGGGUGAAGAGCUCGGGCUCACGGCUGUCACAAAUUGACAGGCCUUCUGCUCGGGCCUUCUCCACGAGCUCGGGCUCUUCAAGACUGGAGCUGAUUGACUAGCCCUCGGGCCUUUCUUUUCCCCUGUCCCCCGGCCUACAUGCAUGGGUGGAGUUGCUCUAAGAGAAGGGAUUUCCAUUCUUGUUUUUUUAAAUGUGGACACCUUUUUUACUGUUAGAUUUGACUUUAACGAAAUUUUGUGGUUGAGAUUAAAUCACAAACCACAGAAUCUCAACCAUAGAAUUUCAUUAAAGCUAUAUUUAACGAUCAAUAGGGUGUUCCCAUUUUUUUUGAAAAAUAGGAAUCCCUUCCCUUAAGGCUUUCAGUAUAUUAUAUACACUAAAACUCAAUUGAUGAACACUGUUCAUUAACAGUGAUUUUACGUUUUAGCCCCUGUUUUGCUGUUUGUUUGCCCUUUUAUUUUUCGAUCUUAACAGUAAAAUGACAGUUUUGCCCGUUCUUUCCACGCGUCAGUCAUCGUUGAGCUCUUCACUUCAAGAGUCUUCUUUUAGGUUUAGCCUUUUCUUUGCACUGGUGAUUCUCUGAUUUCGUCUCUUCGUCUCGCCCUCUGUUUUUUCUCAAAUCCUCCAUUCCUCUCAAAUAUUCCGUUCUUUAUUUCACAAAAUAUUCAGGAGAAAGUUCCUGAUUUUCGUGUUUUAAGGGAUAUAAUGAUUUGGUGUUGUUUAUCUCAAACAGCGGGCUUGCAGGUAAAAUGUUAAGCUUUAUGUCCAAAGCAAUCUUUCUCUGCAUGCUGACUGUGUGUUGAUUUGAAGGGGUGGUUUAGUGAAUGGGUGCUUCUUAUUUUUGGCCUUUCUCUAUUAUCAUAUAUGUUUCUCUAUUCUCAGGUAUCAGAUCAUUCGAAACAAAAACAUUUUAACGUUAUUUUUGCAGGUUAAUGUUGGGUUUGAGUCCAACACGAUAUACACUUGAACAGAGUAGAGUAGAAGACAGUAUGCAAACAUGAUUUAGGACACAGUUUACCUAAUUGUAAACACUCUGUGAAAUAUUAUUAGUUAUGAACAUCCAAUUUGAAUCCCCCACAUGCUAAAUUAGGUACCAUUAAAUUAGUUUUAUGUCUUUUUUUUAUUUGAAAGCUGCUUCUUAUUUCUGUCUCUAUUAAGAUUCUGGGGUGUGCUUUGGAUUUGCUACAUAUGGUCAUAUUUUUUGUCAUUGGCUUUUUGUUCUGCUUAGUUUUUUUUAAUCGAGUGUUUUAUCUGGUAUUUCAUUUUGUUUUGUUUAUUUGUUUCCUUUUUAUGUUUAAAUGUUUUUUGUUCUUUCUAAAUUUGGGCUUCUGGGAAAUUCUUGCUCACUGUUUGGAUUCCGAGAAAAUUUAGGGGAUGUCCAGUAAUAUUCACAUCCUGAAAACUCAGUGAAAAUAGAUACCAAUUUAUGUGCAGCUGAAAAUUUUGUUAUCUGAUUCUGUUCUAAAUAACAUGAUUUAUUUGUUUUUUAAACUUUUAAUUAUUUCGUAUUUAUUUUGUGAUUGCAGAUGUUUAAAUGAUGGAGAGUUUCGCAAAGCUGUUACUCGGAGGAGACAUGUCUAGAUGAGGGAAAGGUGUCUCCACUGCCCUUGCUAUCUCAAAUGCCAUCACCAAUCUCUCUGGUUAGUCACAUUCCUCUUGGAAUAUGCAUAUUCUUAUGUGAUGUUGGCUGAUACCUUGGUGAGUCAACUUAAUAAAAAAUGUGAGAUGGACAAAUUGAAAAGUCUAUUUUCUUCUCAUAUGCAUCCUUUAACAUAUGUCAGUUUUAAUUAUUGAUGAGCAAUUGAAAAUUUAGUUUUUCUUCUCAUGGUACACUUACAUUGGUAGUUCAACAUAUGUUUGUUUAACAUAUCUUAUUAAAUGCAUUUGAGAAUCGAUUGAAGAAACUCAGUUCUUUUAGCAAUUAAGAACAAGGUAAACAUAGUUGUAAAUAUGUGUAAAUAAGAUAGGAAUUUUGAUGAAUUUAUGUUUUUUCCUCCGUUUUUCAGUGUUUUCAGGCAUUGAAGCUAAAUAUGGAGAGGGUUUUGAGACUUUUAGACCUAUUGGACCUCUCAAGGUUUGCGUGGUAAGGAGUUUAUGGAGUUAUACGCAUAGUAGGCAUUAUAUUUUAUGUUCUGUUGAAUUUAAUUUAAUGGUUAUAUUUUAUGCUCCUAUGAGUUAUUACUGUUAUGUUUACUCUGAGUAGGAUUUGUUGAACGACAAACUGCAAGGAGGUUUUCUUAAACGAAUAUGAUAUGCUAUGAAACCGAAUGAAGCUUACUGUCUUCUAUUCUCUUUUGUUAAUUUCGUGGUAAGUUUCUAUAACACUGAUUAGUUAUGUCUUCGAGGUUCUAAUGGCUAGAUAUGCUAAUGUAAUGAACUAUGGAAUAUUGUAAUAGUUUAUGGUCAAUGUGAUCCCAUAUCUGUUUGAUUGAAAUAUUGUUCUAUAACAGGUUUAAACUUUGUUUUUCCAAUACCUUAUCACAAAAUAAUUCCACCUUGGACAAAUUACAAGGUAUGCUGCAACAUGUGCUUUGAUUAAUUGCAUUCAAAUUGAUACUGCUUAAGAAUGCAUUUGAACAUGUUGAAUUUCACGCCCGCAGCAUCGCGCGGGCAAUAUUGCUAGUAUAAUAUAUAAUUGGGUGAUAAAGAGAGUAGGUGAAAGAACACAAUUUGCUCUUAAAAAUGUUGUUUUUAAGAACGAGUGAUUUUUCUUUUCUGACUCUUUCUGUCUAACCCAAAAGCAUACUGGUAAUAGGGUCCAGUAAGAAAAUUAUUUUUAGAAAUUAAACAUGAAAAAAUACAAAAUUUACAAUUUCGAAUUAUACAAAAAAGACAAAAAAAGCGCAAAAUAAAAAGAGCAGGACAGAAAAACAGAAACAAAAGAAAGGAGACACUAAGAAUACAAAUAGCGUGAUUUGAGCCCUCAAUUUUGGCAGGCAACAUGAUUGUUAACGCAUGAUUGUGAACCCAUCCAUUGAAGAAAGAAGCAUCAUAAUACACAAGAGUCAAGACUGGGCUUGGUUUAUAUAAUGAAUAAUGUUAGGGAGAUCAAAUUUUUUAAACUAAAUUUGUAAAUUAAAUGAUGUAGUUAUAGAUGAUUGGGUUAUUACUAAGUGUCGAUUAAUAUGUUUAUUUCUUAUUGGUGACAUAUCAUUUGGUUUAAAAAUUUGGUCUCCCUAGCAUUAUCCUUAUAUAAUUAAUCAAUAAUAUUCCAUAACAAGAGCUAGGUCCAUAUAUUACGAGGUUAUAAAAUAUGCUAGGUGCUAGUCGAGAGGCGGGCGGGGCCUAAGCAGAUUUAAGUAAAUUUAUUAUAUAUUGUAUAAAUAAAUGCCUUUUUAUACUUAAAAUGACACACAAUUGUAUCGAAAUAUAUAAAUUGCAAAAUAAAAUGACAUAUAGAUUAUAAAUUACUAGAACAUAAUGAACAAUCAUAUAAUGAGGGUUUAUCCAAAUAUUUAUUGGAAAACAAAAAACAAAAUGAGUGUUAUCGAUUUUCUGUCUAAAUGAAAGUUGCGGGCUAGGCAGGUUUAAGUGGGUUAGGCGGACGCCUAAGCAAGUCUAGAGCACUUUCUUAAUUUUUAAAUGAUUAGGGACUAAUUAGGGUGGUGGACAACUGCCUAGCGCUAGACAUGGGUUUUUAGAACAGUAAUUACUUGUUCUCAUAGAUCUCUGGGUUCAAGAAAAUUAUGAUCACCUAUUGUUCGAUCUUAAUACCGUCGGUAAGCGGUUAUUUAACCAUUUUUUAUAUUGAGUAAUUUUCCUGGAUCCUGAAAUCUAGAAGAACAAAACUCUUAUGUCACAUGGAUAAACAUAAUCAGGCAUAAGAAAAAGGUUGAAGAAUUCAUAAGUCAUAUAGGGGGCGUUUGUUUGCCCUCACUAAGUAUCACUGGACUAACUAUUAGUCCAGUCCCGUGUUUCUUCUGUAGAGGGAUUAUGUUUCAUGAGACUAAAGGGGAGUCACACGGACAAACUCCUUCACUAGGAGUUCUUAGCGAGAUCCCCCAAUGCCCAUGGGAUUGCUAAGACCUCGUAUACUCCAUCUUUGUAUGCUAUGUCUCAUCCUCUCUAUGCUCUCUAUUAUCUUGAGCACCAUCACACCACAACUCACCAACUCCAGUGAGAUCACACCACCAACCCACCACCACUUUCUCCCUCUCUCUUCACAUGAACCCAAAAUUUCGAACUGAGGAAGAUCCCGUUCUUACAGUAAUUCGUCCAGCUCUAGCUGUCUGCUUCGCUUCGCUGCACUUCAAACUCGACCUUGGACUCGUCUGAUUCGCUUUGAACUCGACCUCGUAUUUGUCGACUUUACGCAAUUGACGAGAUCUUGUGAACUUGAUGAUGGGUGAGCCACCCAGUGCACUUGAAGGAAUAUGGGAGGCCAAGAACGCCAAAGCCUACGACGGCAAUGAAGACGUUGGCUGGAUUGGGAUGACAGCGACGUGUUCCACAUCAAGGGCAGCGGCUUGGGAUUCUUGUUUUCAUUUGGUUUUGAUUUAAAUUAGGUUUUGAUUUCGAAUUGGGUUUGAUGUGAUCUGGUAUUGGCAUUUGAUUUGCUCUGUAAUUGUUUGAAUGUGUGGAAUAAAUUUUGGGGAAAGAGGAAGAAAAUUUAGAAAAAGAAAAAUAGACUAAAUAAUAAAAUAUUAAUAUAUAUUAGAUUAAAUAAUAUCAUAUUAGAAUUUAUUAUUAUCCUACUUCUUGGUCCGACACUGCACCAAACGCUUUACUAAGCUAAUCCAACUUAGUCUAGUCUAAGUCAAUCCAGCUUAGUUCCUGAAGUUAGUCUAGUCCAAGACAAUCCGGUGCAACAAACACAUUCAUAGAGUAAUUAUAGGGAUACUAAAUUUGUAAAUAAAAUUUUGUAAACUAAAUGACAUGGAAGUUGAUCGUUGAAUUAUUACUUAAACGUUAAUAAAUGUACUCAUUAUCACUAAAGACACGUUAUUUAAUUUGUAAAUUUUAUUUAUAAAUCUAAAGCAUUACCCAAACUCAUAAUACAAAUAGCUACUUUGAGAGAAGAAAAGAUGGAGAGUGAUAUGAUUGCAUUCUUUUUUAAAGCAACUUCUGAAGAUUCCAUAAUAAACUAUUAUUAUAUAUGAAGAUGUGCCGUGGUAAAAGAGAGGAAAAAAUGAAUGGAAAGUUUAUCCAAAAGAUUCUUGACCGUGAUUACAACUAUUUAACUUUUGUAAAUUUUCAUGGACCGAGAUCCAAGAAAAGAUGGAGAGUGAGAUUGGCAUUCUUUUUUGUAAAGGGAUUUUUUUUCCGAUCCCUUCCAUCUAAUUCACCUGAGUCAACCAUUUGAGUUCUUGAAAUUUAUUUAAACAACUAAAAUUAUUAUAACUUUUAAUGAAGCCCCUAUUUGUAGUCGUUAAAUCAAAUUUUAAAGAUUCGAAUUAGUGAAUUAGGUGGAUUAGGUGGAAGGGAUCCGAAGAAUAUCAAUUUCCUUCUUUUUCAACACAACUUUUGUUGAGUCCAUAAUAAACUAUUAUAUGAAGAAAGAAUACUAAAAAGACUCUCUCAAAAUCGAAACUUUUUGCGAACUUUUUAGCAUCUCAUGUUUUUGAGAUUAAUAACUAACAUUAUCUGAGAUUUAUUAAGUUUUCACAAAAUUCCCUUACGUAUGAGAUAUUACGCUAACAACACUUUAGUGUAAUGUCUCAAACGUAAUGGGACCUUGUAAAAUUUGAUUAACUUCGACAGUAUUAGUAUAUUUUUAUGUAAAUAUUAUAAAAUAUUAUGUUAAAUACAUUAAAUAACAGAUAGUCUUUAAGAGAGAUUUCUUACAUCUUUCUAAUGGAUACGGACGGUGGAAAAAGAUCAUUCCAUAAUUAAAUAUUGUGCUGUUGAUUACGCGUCUCUCCAUUUGACUAAGUUCCUUUUCACAUUCUUCCCUAAAUAAAAUGGUUCACUUUUCACAUUAUUACAAUAUUUAUAUUUAUAUUUUUACAAAAGGGAUUCGUCUAAAUUAAAUUUUUCGAAAAAUUUCGUAUAGUGAGUGAAAGUGAAACACUCCCUUUGUUAUGAUUAUGACAAUAUUUAUAUUUUUACAAAAGGGAUUUAUCUAAAUUAAAAUUUUCAAAAUUCCGAACAAGAUUUGAACUUUCGUGUAUAUGAAUAUAUGGAGUAAAUUGAUCAUGGCUGAAAAUAUGGCAGUGGUUGUGUUUGUGUUGCCUAACGGAUGAUAUUGAAAUACCUAAACACAAGUCAAGCUCCUUCAGUUAACAAAAACAGAAGUUUAUAAUAUGAUAAUGUUGGCGCACGGACUUGAGAAACAACAUAGGCCGGGAAUGUGCACAAAAAGUAAGAGAGAGGUAAAGAGGAAAGAAACGAACAUGAAAGAACAAAGACUAUCGAAUACAUUAUAAAACAAUGACUUCUUGGUAGUCAUUACAUCUCAACCAUCAAUAAUGCAUUAAUUUUGGUUGAAAUGUAGAAGUAUUUGAGAAGUAGCAUGACAACAACCACAUAAUAAACAAAAGUGGACGCAAAUGUGAAAGGAUAAUUAAAAACAAUUAUUCAAGAUGGGCGGUAGUUGAUUCAGCCAUUUAGAAGAUUCAAACCUAGAAUCAUUAUUGUAUUAACUAUUAACAGGUGCUAUAAUAUAGUUCUUAGGGAUUUCAAGGAGGCAUAUGGGGGACUACAUAAUGUGCAAUAGGAUUAAACUUUUUUUGUUACUAGGCAAAUGAACCAUAUUGAAAAAAGUUGAGGUUUAACCAUAAAAUUAAUUGACGAUAUAAAAAGUAGCUCAACCUCUUAUAAGCGUUUGCAAGAUUUCUCUUUUGACCUAUACAAGACUCUUUUACUUUCACAUCCUCGAACAUAUAAUACACCCAAAUGGAUGCCAAUAUAUAAACAUUGUUUUGAAAGGACAAGGGAGCUAACAGUGUCUUUUUAUAUGACUUGGACUUGGAGUACGGGCUGCAAAUUGCAUGCAAUUGCAACGAGAGCCAAAGAUAAUUGCCUUGUCCUUCAAAUUUGUUGGUAAAUUGGGGAUUGCACGAAGAUUUUCGCACUAAUCUGAAUACAGUGUUUCAAGCUUUUAAAGACCACUGAAGCUUUGAAAACUCUGUUGAUUUUACUUCCCAAGUAAGUGACAUAAAACUAAAUUGGGCAGUUGCAUGACAACAACCACUUAAUAAUCAAAAGUGAUUCGAAAAAGACCGAAAGUGAGAUGACCGCAUUCUUUUUCAGACAACUUUGGUAGAUUCCAGAAUAAACUAUUAUACAUGAAGAUGGGCGGUGGUAAUUGUCCUUUUGAUUAAAGUUUUUUGAGUCGAAAAUCAUUUUUCUAUAAUUAAUUCUUAACUAGAAAUUUGUACCAGUACACCGUUGUGGGACUGAAAAUCUUAUGAAAUAUUUUAUAACUUUAAUUUUCAUAAAUAAUGUGCGAGUGAAAAACAAAAAAUUACGAAUGGUAAUGCAAUUUAUAUGUAACCUUAUCAUGAACGGAACAAAUUUAGAUACUAAAAGAAAAAUUAAAAAUCUAUUUUUUCAAAGUGCGAAGAGAUAAUUGUUUAUUAAAAAAGUUGGACCAAUGAUAACUGCAUAAAUUACAAAUGCAAUAUUAAGAGUAUACCAGUCAAACUAAGCUUGCUACAGGCUAAACAAUGUUGAAAAACAUCAUUAGCUUUUUCAAGUGUUAUAUGCAAUGAAUGUAAUUAGCACGAAACUAGCACGAAACUGCAGAGGCUUUCGAUCCAUUAUAAUAUAAAAUAAAUAAUAAUAUUUACGUAUAAAAUAUGAUAUGAUUAUAUGAAAGUAACGACCCAAAUCUUAUUGGAGCUAAUUAACUAAUGUAUGCUCAUCAGGCAGCUGGAUUCCUUGGCAAGUGUUUAACCCCUACUUUCUUCACGCUCACAGAAUCACCAUUUGCAAAGUCAAUCGGCCUCACACCAAUAAAAACUUAAUCCCCGGCUAGUAAACUGAUCAGCUUAUCGUCCGAUAUAUGUCACUGCAAAGAUAAUCACCUUGUCUUUCAAAUUUGUUGGUAAAUUGGGGAUUGCGAGAAGAUUUUCGCACUAAUCCAAAUAUAUUGUUUCGAGCUUUGAAUGACCACUGAAGCUUUGAAAAGUCUGAUGGUUUUGUUAGGUCAUGUGUAUGACUAACGUUAAUGAUUUUCAACUUCCCAAGCAACUGUUACACAACUAAAUUUAAAAUCCAAGAGGAGGAUAUGAUCAGAGAAGAAAGAAAUGCAAUCCACUAAUAAUCAACAUCGAUAUUGUCUUCAACUUAAUCAUGAAUAAGUUUUAAGGCACAAAAGACCUCAUGCUUUUGUAGUUGAGCCAUUUAAUGUAAGGAGAAUCACAAUGUUAGUUAACCACAUCACAGUACAAAAGCACUAAAAGCGUCCAAGUGAAAGUGAAAGUGCUUUCUUCUCAUGUAGUUUCAUUUAACUUAAUUUUCCACAAUGGUAAUUAUGUUUCAAUGGUUCUGUUUUCACAUGCCAGUCGGUCAGUCACAUACUCAACUCCUUAAUGUUCGGGCUCAAUGGCUCGAAGAGAGCUUCCACUUCACUCUGAUUCACCUCCUCUAACUUUGACGGAUUCCACUUCGGAUUCUGCAUUGACAAGAAACAGAAGCCAGAGAUAAAGAUUCGUUGAUAUACGGAAAGUAAGAUGAUUAUACAACCGUAGGUCUAGUAGAGGCUGUAAUGGUUUAUGUUGCAGCAACUGCGUCAGCAAGUGAUUUUAUAGCAAGGAAUCUUGAGCAUAAUUAACGAACCUGAUCCUUGUCCACCAAAACUGCCGUACACCUUCAGCAAAAUCAUUCCGUAAAGACGAUCUUAUAGCAACGUGAUAUUCAGUUUCAUCACACCAGUUAACUGGUAUUGGUCAAGUAAAGCACAUGUUACUUUCUGAAAAUUUGAAAUACUACAACGCAAAACCUAUCAAAAGGAUGCAACCAUGUGAUGCAAGAAACGAAAAGGUACAAAGUCCAGACUCACUCUGGAUAAUUGAUUGUCAUUUUUCCCAAGCACGGAUGCAACUUUAGCGAAAUAAUUUUGUGUCAAAAAAGUGAAAACAGAGCACCCUUUCCAAGACCUUAAAGAGCUUCGUUAGCCCACUCACCACUGCAAUACAAACAAUUUAUACAAAAUACUUGACAGCGACAUACAAGCUGCUCAAUAGACAAAUGGCAUUAAAAAACUUACCAGUAGCAUCUGAACUCUGAUGCUGCUUUUUAAGUUCAUCAAUUGUCUCAAGAACCAACUUAUCUGCACCAAAUGCUGAAGUUAUUUGAGGUAAAAGAGUCUUGAGUUGCGCUUCAGAAUCUGGGUAGCUGGUGAAUUUCACCACAAUUGUUUCAAUGUCCUGAUGGGGAUCCUGGGAACUGAUUCAACAAUGGAGUUGCUUUUAUCUCAAGAAACGCAUUGGACAAUGUGAUGAUGGCAACUAAAGUUAAACCCACUGAAGCAUUGGAAAUUGCGUCUGAGGAUAGAAAAGGCAUACCUGCAGAUACUCCUCCCAGACUCUUUGCCUCUAUAUGUGAAAACCCAUCUGGGAACAAACCAAUUCCAUUCUCUGGCAUAGCAAGAACAGUCCUCAGAAAUGUAUCCAUACAAAGUUUGACACACAAAAUUAAAAAAGCCAUUGCAAUGUAAUUGACAACAUUGACAAUCUCUGUCUGACCGGGCAAUAAUGCCUCUGUAAUGAUCCGGUAGCGACUGUGACCUGAUAGGCCAAUACCAAAGCCCACUGUUAUGCCAUCCAUGAAGCUUAUAUGGGCUUCUUGUACUCGGAGAUAUUGCAUAUUAGAGAAUACUCAGCAGUGAAUACCUGAAAAACGUGCAGCACAAAUAUCAUAUCGGUAGCCUCUCAAAUCUUAAGAAAACUACAAAUGGUAGCUUAGAAAAGAAAUGAAUCCUCUCCAACCAAUACAAAUCAUAUUACCCAAGUUCAAGCAAAAUCAAGACUAAACAAAUGACCAGAUGUUGUAGGUUGCCAGAGAAUGUCAAACAUGAAAUUACAAAAGAAAAAAAUAAUCGUAUGUAUUGAACAUUAAUAAAUACAUGCUGAAAGCACAAUCUUAGCCGCAAUUUAUGACAUUUAUACAAGAUUAAAUCGCCAAAGAAAUUAAAGAAAUUGCAGAGCUCAUAUAAGUGAUGUUCACUAUGAACUUUUAGGCUUAUCAACAAAUACACCAUAACGAUUCUAAUGCAUGAAUUUUGUUAAAGGGGGCUUGCUUGCUUGUAUUAAGGCUUAAUCAUCAAUGAUUUUGCAAGGGUCAAUCGUAUUGCUAGUUGUAAAUCUAUUCACUAUGAAAAUUACCAAAAUUACAUCUAAUAUGGUAGUGAAGGAAGUCAUCUUACAUUAUCUGGAAUUUAGAAAACUGUGUAAGGUUAUAAUAUAUGGUUACAAGGACACAAUUAGACCUCAAUCAUAUUCGGUGGUUGGUUUUUGGCCGUGAUCUGCUUCACAUCACCGCCUGCAGGUAAACUAAAUCUGGGUUACUACAUAUCAAUGAAUCAACGUGCCAACUUAACGGACACCAUCUAUCUCUAUAUGGCAAAAAAAACAACACAAAAAGGAACAUGAAGUGAAACAAUAAACAACAUGACAUGAAACAGCACGAACAUCAAAGACCAACAAUCUAUCACGUAAGCACCUAAACAAGAAACAACUUUAGUUCAAAGCAAAGCGUAAUGUAGAAACCUUCGGCACAACAGGUGUGUUUUUGUCCUUUCGAGUUUCGGCAACAACCACUUUAAUAUCCUUUCCUGCAUUUACCAUGAUUGGUCACUCUUAAAACCUUAACUCCGCCGUGUAAGUUUAUCUUACAUUGCCGGUCCCAAGCCCGGAUAAAGGAGGAGGGGGAGGGCGUCAGGUAGUCGACAGCCGGCACUCCAUGAUUACGUCGAAUCCUUACGAAAAUGAAUCCAGAACGAAAUCGCGCUAAAGCUAGGGCGUCACCCGUAAGUGGCGCGCUGUGUGGCCCGAGCACAGUGAUAAGUGAGCAAGGGUCGCUAUAUCUCCAUCGGCACCCGGAUGCAGUGUUAAAUGAGCAAGGGGGCUAUAGAAACUUCUUUUCGAACGACUCCACUCAAAGUUGUUUGGGAGCAUAUGCUCCUAUCAACUUUACACGGGACACACAAAAGAAGUACUUUGAUCCUAUUAGACGGGGAAGGGUGAAGAAGCUAGGACAGAAGGGUAGAGUUCAAGAGAGCAAAAUGCGUUUAGGAACGUGGAAUAUAGGAACCUUGACGGGAAAAUCUAUGGAAGUAGUAGCAGUUAUGGUGAGGAGAAGGAUAAAUAUUAUGUGCCUACAAGAAACUAAGUGGGUUGGGCGUAAGGCAAAGGAUCUAGAAAACUCAGGGUUUAAACUAUGGUAUUCGGGCACAAAUAGAACGAGAAACGGUGUUGGCAUCAUCGUGGACAAGACCUUGACACAAGAUGUUGUAGAUGUUAAGAGGGUAGGAGAUAGAAUCAUGUCAAUCAAGAUUGUAAUAGGACAAGAACUUAUCAAUGUGAUUAGUGCGUACGCACCUCAAGUAGGGUUGGAUACGAGUUCGAAGGAGAAAUUUUGGGAAGACCUUGGAGACUUGGUGCAAGGAAUUGCUCAGACGGAGAAGUUAUUUAUAGGAGGAGAUUUAAAUGGACACGUGGGCAGGGAGACAGACAACUAUGGAGGUUUUUAUGGUGGCCAUGGUUUUGGGGAGAGAAAUGAGGAUGGGGAAGCUAUCUUGAAUUUUGCAAUGGCAUAUGAUCUCUUCUUAGCCAACACCUUCUUUAAGAAGAGAGAAGAACAUGUGAUCACCUACAAGAGUGGGUCGUCAAAAACACAAAUAGAUUUUCUCCUAAUGAGGAAAGGGGAUCGUAUAACUUGUAAGGAUUGCAAAGUUAUACCAGGAGAGAGCGUGGCUAAUCAACAUCGCUUGUUGGUGAUGGAUGUAAAUAUCAAAAGAGUGAGAAAAAAGAACAAGACUUGGAAGUGCCCAAGGACUAGAUGGUGGAAUCUAAAAGAAGAAAAACAAGCCAUUUUCAAAGAGAAAGUAAUCACCCAGUGUGUGUGGGAUAGAGAGGGGGAAGCUAACCAAAUGUGGGAUUCCAUGGCUAGUUGUAUCCGAAAAGUAGCAAAAGAGGUAUUAGGAGAGUCCAAGGGCUUUGCCCCACACCAAAAGGAAUCUUGGUGGUGGAAUGAGGAGGUACAAACAAAGGUGAAGGCUAAGAAGGAAUGUUGUAAAGCCUUAUACAAGGAUAGGACCGAUGAAAAUGGUGAAAGGUAUAGAAAAGCGAAGCAAGAGGCGAAGAAAGCUGUGAGAGAAGCUAAGUUAGCGGCUUAUGACGAUAUGUAUAAGCGACUAGAUACCAAAGAAGGAGAGUUGGAUAUCUAUAAACUAGCUAGAGCAAGGGAAAAGAAAGACAAGGGACCUAAACCAAGUGAGGUGCAUCAAGGAUGAGGAUGGAAAGGUUCUUGCUACAGAGAACGCGGUUAAAGACAGAUGGAAAGGUUAUUUUCAUAAUCUUUUCAAUGAAGGACAUGAAAGGAGUGCUUCUUUAGGGGAGUUGAGUAACUCAGAAGAGUGUAGAAACUACUCUUUUUUAUCGUAGAAUUCGGAAGGAAGAAGUGGUUGUAGCUUUGAAGAAGAUGAAGCAUAGAAAAGCAGUAGACCUAGACGAUAUACCAAUUGAAGUGUGGAAAGUUUUGGGAGAGACAGGUAUAACAUGGCUCACUGACCUUUUCAAUAGGAUUUUGAAAACGAAGAAGAUGCCAAAUGAGUGGCGAACGAGCACUUUGGUGCCUAUCUACAAGAAUAAGGGUGAUGUACAAAAUUGCAUGAACUAUAGGGGUAUUAAGCUAAUGAGUCAUACAAUGAAGCUCUGGGAGAGAGUCAUUGAGCAUAGAUUGAGGCAAGAGACACGGGUUUCGGACAACCAAUUCGGGUUCAUGCCAGGGCGCUCAACCAUGGAGGCAAUCUAUCUCUUACGAAGAUUGAUGGAAAGAUAUAGAGAUGGGAAAAAGGAUUUACACAUGGUCUUUAUAGAUUUGGAAAAAGCGUAUGAUAGGGUCCCAAGAGACAUUCUUUGGAGGAUUUUAGAGAAGAAAGGAGUACGAGUAGCAUAUAUCCAAGCUAUACAGGAUAUGUAUGAAGGAGCAAAGACUGCCGUAAGAACUCAUGAAGGACAAACCGAAAGCUUUCCCAUAACUGUAGGAUUACAUCAAGGCUCAUCCUUAAGUCCUUACCUUUUUGCGUUGGUAAUGGAUGAGUUAACAGGACAUAUUCAAGAUGAUAUUCCUUGGUGUAUGCUUUUCGCAGACGAUAUAGUGUUGAUAGAUGAAACUCAGGAAGGGGUAAAUGCAAAGCUUAACCUUUGGAGAGAAGUGUUGGAAUCUAAAGGUCUUCGCCUAAGCCGAUCAAAGACAGAAUAUAUGGAGUGCAAGUUCAGUGCAAAUGGAGGCCAAAACGAGUUAGGGGUGAGGAUCGGAGAUCAAGAAAUACCAAAGAGCGACCGUUUUCGUUACCUAGGAUCUAUCUUGCAAAAGAACGGAGAAUUAGAUGGAGAUCUCAACCAUAGAAUACAAGCUGGAUGGAUGAAGUGGAAGAGAGUGCAUCCGGCGUAUUGUGUGACCGCCGUAUGCCACUGAAGCUCAAGGGAAAAUUUUAUAGGAACGGCAAUAAGGCCGGCGAUGCUGUAUGGCACAGAAUGUUGGGCGGUGAAGCAUCAACACGUACACAAAAUGGGUGUAGCGGAGAUGAGGAUGCUUCGUUGGAUGUGUGGGCACACGAAGAAAGGAUAAGAUUAUGGAAUGAGGAUAUCCGGGGUAAAGUAGGAGUAGCCGAAAUUGAAGGAAAGAUGAGAGAAAAUCGGUUACGGUGGUUUGGACAUGUGCAAAGAAGGCCUACUGACGCUCCGAUUAGAAGAUGCGACUAUGGGACAGAGGUUCAGGGCCGAAGGGGUAGAGGAAGACCUAGGAAAACUUUGGAAGAGACCCUAAGAAAAGACUUAGAGUACUUGGAUCUAACGGAGGACAUGACACAGGACAGAACACAAUGGCGUUCUAAGAUUCAUAUAGCCGAUCCCACUCAGUGACUUGGAUUUUCCAAGUCUCCAACCGAGAAGUUUUCCUCACUCGGGAAAUUAAGGGAACACUACCUCAACCUACAUGCUCCACUCACAAAGCUUCAACAAAAGAAAAAUUCAAAGAACUUAGCGAAGAAGGCUUUUGGUGUAUUUAACACAAUACGUUGAAAUGAAGGAAAGCUUAUUUAUUGAUAUCCCCGAUAAGUUACAAAUAUGUACAUAUACUUGAGUCAAAAUAAACAAACAAGAGGGAGCCUUCACAAAGGUUGCUUAGGAGAAGUCUCAGCAGUCGGUAGAGCCCCAGAAAGAGAAGGCACCGGAGGGGGAUCAUUCGGAGCCUCAGUACUGGACAGAACCCUAGAAGGAGGAGGCAUCAGAGGUUGAUCAUUUGGAGCUUCAUUACGCGGUACAGCCCCAGAAGACGAAGGCAAUAAAUGCCUUUGGAACAAACCCACAAAUCUCUGAUGAUCAAGUAAAACCUGACCAUCAGAUUCCUUCAUCUGGUCAAGCUUCCUCUUCAUGUUUGUAGCAUAGUCAUGUGCGAGCCGGUGCAACUGUUUAUUCUCAUGCUUGAGCCCUCUAAUCUCCUGUUUGAGACUCAUCACUUCAGCCGCCAAUGAUUCAACUUGGCGGGUUCGAGCAAAUAGGCGUUGGGCCAUAUUAGACACAGAACCUGCACACUGAACACUGAAGAGCCAGAGAAUCCUUAACAGCCAACUCAUCAGACCGUUUGGAAAGUAGUCUGUUAUCUUUGGGAGUGAGAAGGUUCCUAGGCCACUACCGCAGCGGUCAUAUCAUUCUUCAUCACGGAAUCCCCAACGGUAAGAGGACCAGUAGGGGAGACGAAGGAUGGGCGCCAUAUGUUGUCUGAAGAAGGCGGGGCUGCCUCUUCAACAAGGUUCAAGUCAAAACGACGGUCGGAGGGGCCAGACAUUUUCAAAGGUGUUGAAGAGAGAAGAGGUCGGACAAAUCAAGAUCUUAGAAGUGCAAGAAUGGAGCUUCUACUGGUGGAUAUUCAAGUGUGCUUUGGAACUUAAUGUCAGCCCCUAUAAAAAAUCUGCACUCGACGAAGCUUCAGAAAUCGAAGAGGCGCCUGCUCAGAAAUCGAAGAGGCGUUUGCUUUCUCAAAAGCUGGGCUGCUCAGAGACCACGAGGGUUUGAUCUCAGAAAUCGAAGAGGCGUUUGCUUUCUCAAAAGCUGGGCUGCUCAAAGACCACGAAGGCCGAUCUCAGAAAUCGAAGAGGCUUGCUUUCUCAAAAGCUGGGCUGCUCAGAGACCACGAGGGCCGAUCUUAGAAAUCGAAGAGGCACCUACUUUUCCAGCCUUGUCAGCACCUGUCACACGCACACUCAGCUUUGCGGAAAUUAUGGGCAUUCUGUCGAAGAUUUCUGGUGAAGUAGAAAGCACAUGAAUCGUACUGUUCAAUCACCCACUUCCCACACGCAACAGUAGCUCAUGGGUACCACAGAUAACUUUGCCAAAGUUCUCUGACAAAGUUGAGACACGUGAAGCUUGCAGCUCCCACUACAUCGCUCUGACCAAGAAGGGUAAAAGAAUAGCAAAGAAACAACACUAACAAAGUUUAGACACAUAAAUUUUGAAGGUCUAGCUACCAUAUUAUUACCCACAAGGGUAAAGGAACAGUACCACUGCUGGAUAAUUGGAAAGUCCCGGUGUGUCAACCUCUGUGCUUCGUGGCAAGGUAGACUAGCAAACAUGCCCAACCUUUACUCACAUUCGAGAAAACACUCCCAACAAGAUUGCUUGCUCCAAAAUCGAAGAGGCACCCGCUCCUCCGAAUCUCGAGAGCCAGACUCCCAACAUGAUUACUUUCUCAAAAAUCGAAGAGACAUCCGCUCUCCGAAUCUCGAGAGCCAGACCUCCAGCAGGAUUGCUUUCUCAAAAAUCGAAAAGGCAUCGUUCUCCGAAUCUCAAGAGCUGGAUCCCUGACAGGAUUGCUUGUUCGAAAACCAAAGAGGCACCACUUUCCCAACUUCAAGAGCUGGAUCUCCUUGGAUAAAGCUUGUCUGUAAUCUUCACACACGCAACAUCAGCUUUUCCAGAUACCACAGACCCACUUUUUCAAAGUGCUCUGACAGAGUUAAAACUUGUGAAGCUGGCAGCUCCCACUACCGUGCUAUGACCAAGCAGGGUAAAGGAAUAGCAUUAUUACUUGAUGUUAGGGAGACUCCUAUAUAUGUCGACCUCCAUCCCCAACGGACAGGCAGACCUGCAAAAAUGCUCAACCCUUCCUCUUAUCUGAGAGGGCACUCCCAACGAAGCCUUUCGAAAUAUUCAGCUUUCUUUCCCCCCGAUAAUACCUCUGUAAACAAGCUAUACUAGAGCAAGAAUAUCUCAUAUCAUCAGGGUUAAAAGCAAGAGUAUCCCAUAUCAUGCUUUUUUCCCGUCUUUUCCUUUGGCCUUGUUCUUACCUGCAAGACAAGGAGAAAGAGAGCAAUCAGUCAGCACUUGGAAUCAAGCUUCCAGCCAGGAACUGACUGCCUGGAACCCCUUACCUGAUUACUUACCUGGCAUUGCUCUCGAGUACUCAUCUUCAACAUCUUAUGCUUCCAGGGAAGAUACCGCAAUCGCCUGAAGAACAGAUAGGGCAAGUGAGAAGGAUACAAGGAAGCAUGUGGAGACAAGCGUAACAGCACACGUGCCGAUACAUCCACUACUCUGUCAAAAGCAAAAGUAUCUCAUAUCAGCAGGGUCGAACGUACUCUAGAUUUGAUGGACUUGUUUUGACCCUCAAAUUCUUCAGUCGGCCUUAUACUCUGGAGGAAACCAGAAAACCCUCCAGCCCAGUUCAAGAAUAAGCCUGUGGAAAGUUACUUCUUCAAAAGCAAAAAGUAUCCCAUAUCAUCUCUUCUCAUUUUUCUUCUCUUUAUCCUUCAUGCUGCAUGCAAGAUAGGGAGAAUGUGAACAAUCAGCCGGAGCUCUGAUUGCUUACCUUGUCUGUCAUCUCUUUCAGCAGAUCCCCUAGCUCGGCGACUUAGGGGACUCCUACUACAUGGUUUGUAUCGCGCUUGACCAAGCCUGAAACUACAAGUAAGCUUCAAGUGACAAUUGAUACAUUACCUUGUGCAUCUCCACCAGUUACAGAUACCACCCCUGGAUGGAGGAAGAGUACUUCCAGAGAAGAUGCCACAUCUACCUAUGAGACAGAUAAGGAAAGUCAAGACGAUACCACACUCCGGUACUUAGAAGUUUCGUGGUUACGAGAUCAUUCUCCCACAAUAUUUCCUAAUGUCAUUUGUACUAAAUCAUUCACUUGUACUCACUAAAGGAGAGCUUGAACCUAUGUACUUGUGUAAACCCUUCACAAUUAAUGAGAACUCCUCUAUUCCGUGGACGUAGCCAAUCUGGGUGAACCACGUACAUCUUGUGUUUGCUUUCCUAUCUCUAUCCAUUUAUAUACUUAUCCACACUAAUGACCGGAGCAAUCUAGCGAAGAUCACAAAAAGUGACCGUUUUCGCUACCUAGGAUCUAUCCUUGCAAGAGAACGGAGAAUUAGAUGGAGAUCUCAACCAUAGAAUACAAGCUGGAUGGAUGAAGUGUAAGAGUGCAUCCGGCGUGUUGUGUGACCGUCGUAGGCCACUGAAGCUCAAGGGAAAAUUUUAUUUUAUAGGACGGCAAUAAGGCCAGCGAUGUUGUAUGGCACAGAAUGUUGGGCGGUGAAGCAUCAACACGUACACAAAAUGGGUGUAGCGGAGAUAAGGAUGCUUCGUGGGAUGUAUGGGCACACGAGAAAGGAUAAGAUUGGGAAUGAGGAUAUCCGAGGUAAAGUAGGAGUAGCCAAAAUUGAAGGAAAUAUGAGAGAAAAUCGGUUCCAGUGGUUUGGACAUGUGCAAAGAAGGCCUACUGACGCUCCGGUUCGAAAAUGUGACUACGGGACAGAGGUUCAGGGCCGAAGGGGUAGAGGAAGACCUAGGAAAACUUUGGAAGAGACCCUAAGAAAAGACUUGAGUACUUGGAUCUAACGGAGGACAUGACACAAAACCGAGCGCAAUGGCGUUCUAGGAUUCAUAUAGCCGACCCCACUUAGUGGGAAAAGGCUUUGUUGUUGUUGUUGUUGUUGUGGUCACUCUUAAAACCUUACCUAAGAGACCCAAAAACAAAAAUAACCGCCGAAAGAGCUAAACAUACAUAUAUAGAAAAACUUAAUUAACUGCAUGCUAAAAUGGAAGUGUAAAAUUGCCAAGAAAGAUAAGAAACUAUUUAAAUACGAAUUCUGGGCAUUACCGCCACAAAAGGCAUGAGCCGAACAGCUAUCAACAAGAACACACUUCCCAUUCAUCCAGAUAGCCCUUGUAUUUCACAUCCAUAUCUGCAUUUUCCAACAAUUCCCACUUAAACAGAAACACAAAAUUCAUCGAAAAAAUGCUAACUUCUUCGAAAUUUGAAUCCAACGUUUCGUCUUAUAACAAAUGCAAUAACAUAGAUUUGUAAUCAAUUCGAUGCCAUAAAGUUCAAGCUCAAAAUUUCAAAUCAGCUCCAAAUCAAAAGCAUUUACAGAUACAUACAUAUAUACAUAUGCGUGUGUGUGUUUAUCUACAUACCCAGGUUCAUGGCGUUGAGAGCUCGGCAGGCGACGGAGGGUGAUGACGGCGACGCCAAUUGGGUGGACGCUGCCCUUCGAAUUGGGUCGCUCCUCGCAAUAAGCUUCCCAUUACUUCCGUUUGAGAGUGACUGUCAGUGUAGAGAGAGGGAUUUUUUUUUUGUGCUUCUGGACCGGACUACACUUGAUGUUUCGGUUAUAUUACCGGGAAAAAGAACUGCCGCGGUGGCUACGCAGGGAAACUUGAAAUUUGAAAGAAGUAUGAAGUAUGGACUUGCCUUCAUUUAUUGAACUGAGAAAUCGAAAUCUGAAAGAGGCGUUUGACGAAGUGAUUGUGAUCUGACUCAAACAUGUGAUGAUGACGAUGCAUCACCACCUUGGUUGUGCCUCUGGAUCAAAAACAUACCAUCACCAUCAAAAUCGUGCAUAUUUUCCUUCAUAGGUUUGUCCCAUACUAGAUUAACCCCUAUUCCCUUAAUUAUUGCAUAAUAAGAAUUAUAGCAUGUCUCUGGCAUUCCAACGGCUAUAUCAACUUUAUCCCCGCUUUGCAAAUUGAACUUAUCGUUGGACAUUUGUCCCUGCCAAAGAAAACAUUUUUCAGGUAAACCAUCGUGCAUUUUUAUAACCCAAUCUUCCUUGCCUAUGCAGGUUUGCAACUCAGUACGCUUGGUAUUAUUUAUAUCAAUACUGCCACGAGGAUGACAAUAUUUAAAGCUCAUAGAAGGGCUUGAGGGACAAGUUAAGUGAUAAAAGCAUAACAGAGUCAACCCUUCAAAAUUACGACCAUCACUUGGGGGGUAUCAAAACUGACUUUAUCACCAUCGUUGACAAACUCGAACCAAUCAGGAACAUAAUUCGCAUCGAGAAAAAUGCCAGCAUAUCCGUAAGAAGUCCAUCCCUAUAUAUACAGUGCAAGUGUCAUAUACAUACAUACAUACAUACAUACAUACAUAUAUGUAAAUGUGCAUUGUGUGUGCAUGUGCGCAAUAGGAAGACAAUUAAAGAGAGAGAUACCUUUAGGACCUUCCUCCUAAAAUCAGCUGUGAGAUUGGUGCACUUUUGCAUUACAAUCCAUUUCAUGGAGUUUAAUGACUUAUCCAAGUCCGGAAUCUCUGUGAGUGCGUGUGAACCAGUUACAUUCAGUUCUCUCAUAUUUGACAUUUUCGAAAAAUUGGGCAUUUUUACCAAACAACAGCAACCAUAAGCAUCCAGAAAUUUCAAAUUUGUUGGUAAAUCAUAGAUUGUAUGAAGCUGGGAACAAUAACUUAACCACAUACCUUCAAGCUUUGAAAGACCAUUGAGGCUGGGUAGGGUGUGUAAGAUACUGCAGUGACUUAACUCCAGAGUUUUAAGAUUUGAAAGACCAUUGAGGCUGGGUAGGGUGUGUAAGUUACUGCUGUGACUUAAUUCCAGAGUUUCAAGAUUUGAAAGACCAUUGAGGCAGGGAAGGGUGUGUAAGUUACCACAGUGAUUUAACCACAUAGUUUUAAGAUUUGAAAGACCAUUGAGGCUGGGUAGGGUGUGUAAGUUACUGCAGUGACUUAACCACAGAGUUUUAAGAUUUGAAAGAUCAUUGAGGCUGGGUAGGAUGUGUAAGUUACUGCAGUGACUUAACCCUAGAGUUUUAAGAUUUGAAAGACCAUUGAGGCUGGGUAGGAUGUGUAAGUUACUGCAGUGACUUAACUCCAGGGUUUUAAGAUUUGAAAGACCAUUGAGGCUAGGUAGGGUGUGUAAGUUACUGCAGUGACUUAACCAUAGAGUUUUAAGAUUUGAAAGACAAUUAAGGCUGGGUAGGGUGUGUAAGUUACUGCAUUGACUUAACCCCAGAGUUUUAAGAUUUGAAAGACCAUUGAGGCUGGGUAGGGUGUGUAAGUUACUGCAGUGACUUAACUCCAUACCUUCAAGCUUUGAAAGACCAUUGAGGCUGGGUAGGGUGUGUAAGUUACUGCAGUGACUUAACUCCAGAGUUUCAAGAUUUGAAAGACCAUUAAGGCUGGGUAGGGUGUGUAAGUUACUGCAGUGACUUAACUCCAGGGUUUUAAGCUUUGAAAGACCAUUGAGGCUGGGUAAGGUGUGUAAGUUACUGCAGUGACUUAACCACAGAGUUUUAAGAUUUGAAAGACCAUUGAGGCUGGGUAGGGUGUGUAAGUUACUGCAUUGACUUAACCCCAGAAUUUUAAGAUUUGAAAGACCAUUGAGGCUGGGUAGGAUGUGUAAGUUACUGCAGUGACUUAACUCCAAAGUUUUAAGCUUUGAAAGACCAUUGAGGCUGGGUAGGGUGUGUAAGUUACUGCAGUGACUUAACUCCAGAGUUUUAAGCUUUGAAAGACCAUUGAGGCUGGGUAGGGAGUGUAAGUUACUGCAGCGACUUAACCCCAGAGUUUUAAGCUUUGAAAGACCAUUGAGGCUGGGUAGGGUGUGUAAGUUACUGCAAUGACUUAACCCCAGAGUUUUAAGAUUUGAAAGACCAUUGAGGCUGGGUAAGGUGUAUAAGUUACUGCAGUGAUUUAACUCCAGAGUUUUAAGUUGUGAAAGACCACUCAGGCCGGGUAGGGUAUGAAGGUUACAGCAGUUACUUAACUGCAAAUUUUCAAGUUUUGAAAGACCACAUAGGCUGGGUAGGGUAUGAAAAUAAUGUUUUGAGAGAUCUAAAUUUCCGUCUAACGAAUUGGGAAACUGCAAAGUAAACUUCGAUUCCACAGACGCUAGAGAUAAAUGAGUGAGAUUCUUCAAUCUUACUAUGGAACAGGGUACUUGUCUUAUGGCUGUGGAAGAUGCUAUAAGUACUCUCAAUGAUGUCAUCUUCCCUAAAUCCUCGGGCAGUUCACUGAAUUGCUGACAUCCAUUAAGAACAAGAGUCUGAACGGAUUUGGACUUGUAGAAAUCCCCAGGAAGAGAAAUAAGAUUCUGGCAGCCUGUGAGGUUCACCAAAGAAAGUUUUUUAAGAUGACAAAUGGAGGGGUGAAUCUCGGACAAACUGUUACACCAUUCCAAUAUCAACUCUUCAAGAUUUAGGAGAUUUGAAAAGUCUGGUGAUUUUUUUAAGUCAAGGCAAUAACUGAGAUUAAGGAUUUUCAAGUUUCCAAGCGACUGUUGCACAAAAUCAAAGGAAAAUUAAAAUUAAUAUCCAAAAACAAAUGGAAACAUAACAUCAUCAUGUGUAAUCGAUUGUACCUUGGAGCCCUCCCAAACUUGUACAAGUCUGCUAUACGCUAUCUCUAAAAUAACCAGUGCUCUUGGUUGAUCAAAGAAGUGAUCUGGUAUGGACUUUAAAGGGCAUCCAAACCAACGCAACCAUAUUAACUCUUUGGAAAGAUGUUUGUAUUCUCCAUUGAGCUGCACGUUGUAGAGCUGCAGCAGUCUCAGUUUCUUCAUAUUGGCAAAUGCUUCUGUACUGAAGCUUCGAAGCCUUUGCAGCCAAUGAUCUCCAGAAAAAUUAAGAGCAAGUCCUUUAACUUCUUCAGUUCCCUGUUAACAAAAGGUUAUAUUCAUGUGUAAGAAACGGAAUAUUUGCAUAUGUUUACAUGUAUGAAUACAUGCAAGUACUAUUGUUGGCUAAUUGAGAUGAUGUUACUUAAUGUAUAAUACACAUCCGUGAGUUAUAUGUGCUUUUCAUGUACGAUGCAUCAAUUCAGAAUUUUAUUGGGACUAUACUUACAAAUUUAUCUCUCAAUACAUCAAUGACCUCUUGCUGGUUCCACAACCUACUCCAUUCUCCAGGGUGACGAGGGGAUUUUUCAGAAAUGAUUAAUUUGGCCAUUUCUUGAAGCAAAUCAUGCAUAUUCAACUUCUUGUGUUCAAUAGUGAUAAGGCAUCGUUCACAGAGGACAUUGAUUCCUAUUGUUGCAAAAAACUUACAUCCAUCUAAUAUUUUUGCGACAUAGUCCUUAUCCCAUCCAAUAAAGAAACAAGAUAUGUCAAGGAAUAUAUCCUUUUGUGUAGGAUCUAGCCUUUCAAAGCUUACUCUUAGUGGUUUCAUUAUUCCUUCAUCAGGAAAUUUUUUCAAUUUCUCCAACUGACUUUUCUACUCUGUUGGUGUUCUUUCAAUCAUAAAAGAAGAACCUAAAACUGCAAGGGCUAGUGGCAAACCACCACAGUAAGAAACAACCUCUUUUGAGAGUUCAAGAUAUCCUUCAUUAGGCCAACUCUUUCCAAAGGCAUGCCAACUAAAGAGCUUCAGAGCUUCUUCUUCAUUCAUUUCCUUAAGUGAAUAUGUCUUGUCCACUUUCAUGUUCACUUGCUUUAGAAAACGUUCAUCUCGUGUCGUUAUGAUAAUUCUACUUCCUGGGCCAAACCAAUCACGAUUUCCAGCUAUUGCAUCUAGUUGUUCCACUUUGUCUACAUUGUCAAUAAUGACAAGCACGCUUCUACGUUGGAGAUGAUUUUUUAUCAGACUGAUACCUCUAUCAACACUGGUUAUCUUAGACUCGGUAUGUUUCAAGAUGUCAGAAACAAGUCUUCCUUGCAAAUCAACCAGAUCACAUUCACUAACGUUGGCAAGGAAACUUUUGAAUUGGAACUUAUGAUGAAGUUGGUUAUAAAUGGCUUUGGCAGCUGUUGUUUUACCCAAUCCACCAAUCCCCCAAAUUCCAACCAUGCGAACAACAUAUGAUCCACCAUUUGAAAGAUAAGUGAUGAUAUCUUGAAUGCGAGUAUAUAUUCCAACUGGGUGCUUGGCCAAAUGUAAAUUUUCUGCGCUCGGAAGCCAUUUUGGGAUAAUCUUGUCAACAAUUUCUCUAAUAAGCUUUGCUUCGCGCCUGAAAAAUUGAAUUGGUAAGCUUAGUAAGUAGGCUCAGUAGGAGCUAUUAGUACUAAUAUAAACAAUUUUCUUUCCUUCUUUCCUUCGUGUGUGUGUGUGUGUGUGUACAUAUAUGUACACAAACUAGCUACUAGCUAGUACGUGAUUUUGUGACCAACUUCAAUAAAAGAAACAAGUUCAUUCAUUGAUAUAUUAAAGUUUGGUGCAUCAAUUAAACUCCAAUUAUGGUUUAGAUUUUAGAGGAAAUUAGAGAAAUGGUCCUUGAACUAUGAUCAAAUUGUGGCCUUGGUUCUUAAAACUAAAAAUUCAAUAAAUCUCCUCCCUGAACUUAACAAAAUAUGAAGCAUUGGUCCCUAAAUGUUAACACCGUAUGAUUUUCUGUUAAUUUGAUUAUGUCGUCUUUGUGGGCUCCAUAUUAUUGUUUACUAGAUGGCACGUGGCUUGAAAAGUCAAAAUAAAAGAAAAUAAAUACAAACAUAGAGAAAGAAAGAGAGAGAAAAAAAAACUUUAAAUUAUAAAAGUUAACUCUCUCUCCCAUCCUCCCUUCCGCCUCACCUCCUCCAAACCCCAACCACACCAUUGUAGCACUUUCCCAACAGCCAAAACAAAAGAAAGUUUCUAAUCCAAUUUUGGAACACGUCUCCGUUUGCAAACGAAUUCACAAUGACAUCCAUUCACGCUGUCUCGACAGGUAAGAUUCAAGAAAUUUGUGGGAUGCGGGUUCGGGGUUCGGGUGAAGGCUGUGGUCCGUGGGCUACAGUUUGGAGUCGGCUGGAGAGUGGGAUUAGGGAUUGGGGGUUGGAAGUGGGAGGUUGACGGGGUGUGAAUCAAAGAUUGAAGGUGAAGGGGUGGCUGCGAGUGUUGGUGGGAUGAGGUAGGUGAAACUAACAUGUAAAGUUGUAAACCCUUUUAACUAAAAUUUAAAGGAAUUGGUUACGAAGGACUAACGCUCCAUAUUUUAUCAAGUUCAAGGGCAAAAUGUAAUGAAUUUUUAGUUUAGGAACCACAGCUACAAUUUUCCUCUAGAUUUUAUAUGAGAGAUUAAGGCGUAUUAAUUAAGCAUGAUAAUUAGAGUAAUACAACUUAAAUACUGAAAGCACAUGAAUGAUUACCUAUUAUCAGUGAUUUGAAGAUGGUAGCCAGACAAAUUUGCAGCUUUUGUAAGAACCUCUCCCCACUGCUUUACCUCUUCUUGUUUAGCUUCACGUUUCUUGUCAUCCUUUUCUUCACCGACGCCUUCUUCGUGCUUUUGAAAUUCUUCGGCUGACUUUGCAGCUUCUGUAAGAGCCUUUAUCCACUGCUCUACCCUUUCUCGUUUUUCUUCACGUUUCUUGUCAUCUUUUUCUUCACUGAUGUCAUUUUUGUGCUUCUGAAAUGCUUGGGCUAAAACUCCGUUCUGCUUCCUGACAUGUGAAGGAUCAAUGUGAUAGAAUAUUGGCAAAACAUGUCGCCCCAGUUUGUCUCUGCACUCCAUGAUCUUCACCAGCUCGUUAAGACACCAACUCGAAUCCGCAUACCUCUCUGAGAAGACAAUGAUAGAGGUCUUCGAUUCUUCGAUUGCCUGGAGCAGUUCUUUUGGUAUUUCUUCCCCUCUUUUGAGAUCGUCCUCAUCAAUAUAAGCCUGGUAUCCCCUGUCUGUUAAUGCCGCGUGGAGGUGGCCCGUGAAGCCAUUGCGUGUGUCUACACCGCUAAAGCUCAAGAACACGUCGUAAUUCCAAAGUUUUGACUUGGAGGAGGAUGAAGAGGAGGCUUCGUGGGUUGUCAUGGCGGUAUCCACCGUUAUGGCACUGCAGUGGUUCAGAUCACGACUGAAGAAUGGUAGUAGUUGUGUUCGUGCAUUCAAACGGAUGAUCCUGAAAUACCUAAACGCAAGUCAAGCUCCUUCAGUCAACAAGAACAAAGUUUAUAAUAUAAUAAUUUUGGCGUAUGGACUUGAGAAACGACAUAGUGUUGGCCGGAAGGUGCAGAAAAAGAGAGAGGAAAAAAGAAAAGAAAGGAACGAAAGGACAAAGACCAUCCAAAAGAUUCUUGGCUGUGAUUACAGCUAUUCAUAGGAGAAACAACGGACAUAUUUUCAUAGGAGAAACAACCUUCCCAUCUUCAUAUAUAAUGCAUUUCAACGGACAUAUUUUAAUAGGAGAAACAACUUUAGUUUGUACUAGAAAUUUUUACCCGCACGUUGAUGCGGCAUUUGAAAUUGUAUGAAAGAUUAUCUUUGAAAUAUAUAAUAGAUUGUGUGAUUGAAGAUUAAUACUAUUUACAUUGAAAACGUUGGAAAAAGUUUUACAUAUAAAAGAUUUUAUGAUACAAUCCACGUAUAAAAGAUGGUAAAUUUUGUUCUAUCUACAUGCAUUAUGUUAUGGAAUGAUAUAUAUAUAUAUAUAACUAAGUUCCAGAAUAUGUAAACUUCAUAACUUGGAAAUUUUUUGACAAAUUAAUCAGAUUCAACUGUGGGUUAGCAAGGUCGCCUAUAAAGUUUGAAGUCGUAGAAGCAUAAAGGACAAAUAACAAAUGAGUUUUGAGAAAUUAUUCCACAAAUGUCAUUCUGCAAAAUGUAUUAAAGACGAUUGGUAUAAGAUUAGCAAUCAUGAGUAGUGUAACAACAUCAACAAAAUAACCAUAAACCAUAACAUAAUUCAAAUUUUGUUUGCAAAAACAAAAGAAAAAGAAAAGAGACUUACAAUAAUUCAACCUUCAAUCUUGAAGUCCAGCUCAAAGAGCCAAACCUAAAUGCAAGCUUUCUGAAAUUUCCCAAACAAUACAGAUAAAACGGUAACACCCUAGUCAGAAAUGAACCAAGGUGCGAGCUUUCUAAGAAACCCAGAUGACAAAAUCAACAAAAUAGAAUGGAAAAAUGACUUACACUUUGAAGGCAUGCUCGAACCUUGAUCUAAAAUUGGUGGUGGGUCGAUUGUUGGUCACCAACUCUAAAUGAAGAAUUCAUCAGAACCUAGAAAUUUAAAACAAAGAAUUUUCCAAAAUCAACAUUUACUAAAAACCAGUUGCUUGGUUAUCAUGCAUGAUGGCUUGACAAAGACUGAAUUAAGGAAUGCAAACUUUACUUUCAUGAUUAUUUUUAAUGACAGCUAAAAGGUCAGAUCCAAAUGAAAAUAAAAGUUAGGACUUCACAAAACCAAUUAAAAAUCUAAUUCUAAAGUUAUAAGCACCCACAAAAUGAUUCCAGAUAAAGUUUUACACUCAAGGUCAAACCCAAAUGAAAUUAAAAGUUAGGACUUCACAAAACCAAUUGAAAAUCUGAUUCCAAAGUUCCAAACACCCACCAAAUGAUUCCAGAUAAAGUUUAAACUCAAAAACCCAAUAGAAACAAAAGCACUGGUAUAAAUUAACUGUAUCUAAUUGAAGAAACUAAAACAAAAGUAAAGCAAAGUAUAUACCUCAAAAUGUCAAGCAACUAAGUUCUUCCUCCGACGACCCAAAACUCUGAAAAUUCCACACAAAAAAAAAGGCAAAUCCAUUAGCAAUUCAUAGCUUUCAAAAUUAGCAAAAACUUGGGCAACAAUAAAGAUGUGUCUAGAACCAUCAAUCUUUCUCCUUAUGCAUUUGAAAAGAUAUGUUAUAAGCAGUUUAUGUAGUCAUUCUGAACAUGUUGCAUAUAAAUUCCUUUUCUACAGGGUUCAAAAAAAUAUGGCAGUUUAUGGAAUCUGUUGAAUGACAUAGUUGAAAGAUUUAAAAUUGAUACAUUCAAUUUUUAUGUGUAAAACUAUAACAUAUAGCUAAAGCUAUUGGGUCCAUAUCAGUCAUGUCGUAAUUGAAUGUUUAUCGAUGUAAAUAGAUGAUUUCAGUCAUGGGAUAACAUGUUUCUUGAUAGUAUACGCUGAAGUUUGGUCUAAGUUGGAUAUAAAUCGACCAAAAUCUUAAUAAGAGACUUUUUUAACUUUUAACCAAAAAAUGAGCACCACAAUACUACACUUAUAAGUUUUAUCAUGCACAAAAUACACAGCACUGAUUGCCACUUUUAGAGCAAGAACAAUACUUUACCAAAAGAAAACAACAAAACACCCAAAACCCAGAAACAUAAACACACUUAGGACUCAAACUCCUCAAAAACAUGAGAAAGAGAGAGAGUGUGUGAGGAGAAAGAAUAAAAAAAAAAAUUAUUUUUCACACAAACUCAAAAUUGCUUAUAAAAUUACAAAUGAAUGCAAAUCCAAAAUUGCCCUAAAUUAAAUCUGAUUAGUUAAAUGUUUGUUGCCCCAGAAAUUUCGUUACACCUCACAAAACUUGCUUUGAAGUUGAUAUUUUGGUCAAUCCAGGGGAAAAGGAGUUAUUGGUUUUGGAGCAGUUGUCAUGGAGAAUACCAUCUCCCUGUAGAAUGAUCUAAAAAAGGACUUACAGCUUAUGGUGGCCAUAAUAAUUUAGGAGGCCCUUCUCUCCAAAUUUUCUCAAUAACUUUCCUUUUCGUAGCUGGUAAGAUUGCAACUCCGAGAAUUGCUUUGAAGAGAUAUACACAAACAAAAUACCAAAACUAAGCUAUUGGAAGAAAUUUAGAAAACACAAGCACCAUUACAACUCAGAGUUAAAAGUCAACAGAAACCAAAUGGUACAAGUUGAAAAAAUAUAUGGUCAUGAAUCGAGAACUUCAUCAAACUAACAGCAAUAAAAUCUCAUAUAAUCCGUCAAAAACCAAAAAAGAGAUUCAAGACCUUGUAACGUCGAGGCCUCGUACAGUUGUAGUAAUAAUUUAUGGUUGAUGCACCUGUUGCUCAAUCAAAUCCUUCGUCUGGCUAAAAAAAUAAAAAUCUAUAAAUACAUUCACGUCCAAUUUAUGAGAAAUCAUGGGAAAGAAAAUGUGAAUAUGAAGAACUUAACAAAAAGAAAAAGAAAACUUCUUAUAGUGUGCUAAGAACAUCCUCCUACUCCUAGCAAAUUUUUUAUGGCAUUAUCCACUUCUCAAUUCAUAAUUCAACCAGUAACUCAAAGUCUAUAGUGUAUGAAAAAGUGAUAUCUUAGUUGAUCACGAUGAUAAUCAAAAAGGAAGAAACAACCAAACAAAAUUAUUAGGUCUGGGAUAUACCUUUAUCUGAAACACCACAAUCAUCAAAGUGAAACACAAACAAUCCAAAAAUUUGUGGAAAAUACCAAUAAAUGCUCAACUAAAAACGAAAGAAAAAGUAGAAUAAGUUUACCUGUUCCUCCCCUAAUUAAACUGCAAUACAAUUCACCACUGAUAUUCUCGUCAUCCUCUUCAGCCUGAAAAAUUUAGUAGAAAAUAAUGGUAAGAAUCUAGCAGUAUUUCCAUUGUUCAAAACCCAAAUUCCAGAAAUCAUGAAAAAUGGAAACUUUAUAUGGAAAUUGAACCCCCAAAAUCACAAAAAGGAAAAUUGAACAGAAAAUAAAUUUGCAAAUCCAAAAUCACAAAAACGAAAUUGAAACACCCACACUGAGAAAGCUGUAAAACUCACAAGGAAACGCUAGCUUUUCUGGGUAAAAAAAAUUGUUCGAAUCGAAUUGAAGAACCGAGGAAAAUUCUACAGGUUCAGUGGUUUUUCCAGCAAGAAAGCACCUUGUUUGUAAGUCGUGAGAGGUUGGAGAGCGAGAGAAGCCGAUUUGGGAACCAAAGAAAGCGAGGUUGGAGACCGAAAGAGGCUGCGAAUUGCGAGAGAGAAAAACGAAAAGGAAAGGAAAAGCGGAGAAGAAGUCACGAUUAUCGACGCGUGGGUAGGAUUCCACUGUGAGAGGAUUGCAUUCUUUUAAGAGUGUUUCCUUAUUACAAUUUUAUGCUACUAGAUCCAUCCUAUUGUUCCAUUUCUAAACUUUAUAUUAUAAUAUCACCCAUCGUAAAAAAUUAAAAUCCUAUUAAUCCACCCCAAUUAUUUCUAAAAUAACCUCAAAUAUCUAAAUCCAUUUUUAUUUCACCCCAAUUGCAUGAUCAGGCCUCGAUUUGAAGCUAGUUGACGUUGGCCCAAAUGCCAAAUUGUUUGAAUUUCCAAUAAACAUAUUAUAAUUAUAAAAGGAUGGUGAAGAUAUGAAUCAAAUUUGAAAGAGAGAACAUUACUUGGUGAAGGAGGUGAUAGGUGAUGUUGGUAUGGGUUAUGCAGUCACCAUUGGACAUGAGAGGCUUUCUCCUCAAAAUUCCUUCUACAUCUACAGCAUGCAAAUCGAAUGAUGAUAGGUUUAUCGAAGCCCUAAUACCAACUUUAUGACAAAUCUGAACGGACCAAUAAACAACCAUGGAACGAUCUUGAGACGCGACCACUGCGCGUGAGACUCAACCAGGAAUAACUAGACCAUCAGCCGCCGUCGUCAAUAUUGUAGAGGUAGAUGGUGGGUCCGAGAACUCGAUUUUCUUGGAGCAGUUUGAGAUUGACGAAGGGACCUGACGAGGGGUUGGGGUUGUUGGUGACCGAGAGUAUAUGGGUUUGACGAUGGUGGUGGUGGUGGUGGUGGUUUGCAAUCUCUCUCUUUCCUUUUCUUGGGGUUGGACAUUCGGGUGACAGCCGCCUUGGGAUCGGAUGUCAAUGGGGACGUGCUUGAGAGCCAUGAUGACGACGCGAGCGUGGGUGGGGAGAAUUUUCCAGGUCCUUUGAUGUAAUUUUACAAAAGGGUAAAAAUGGAAGUAAAAAAAUUAUAAACUAGUGGGGUGGGAAGAUAAGACAACGGGGUUGUUGUGGUCUAUUUUUAUCUGAUAAAGCAAUAGGGCCGGCGGCAGGGGGAGAGAGAAAAGAGAGAUGUGUGUUUGUAGAAUUGUAGGGGAAUGUGUGUUGUUAUCUCUCAUACAUUGUGCCUUUAUUUAUAGUAGUAAAAGGAGAGAAGAUAUUCCUUCUUCUCCAAGUAAUAUAAGUUGUAAUAGGAAAGAAUAACUAGAAUCAAAUCUAAUAUAGGAUUUACACAAUUUACAAGUUGUUAUCCCUCCUACAUUGUGCCUUCUUCUUCAUAAGAGUUUGAAAGAAGUAUGAAAUAUUGACUUGUUGAUGAUGAAGUUGAUAGUGAAAUGUAGUAACGGUUAAUUUAACAGAAUUUUUAACGGAUGUAUGAAAUUAAAAAAUAAUAUAAGUAAAUGUAUGAAAUUAAAAUGUUUUAAAGAAAUUGUAUGAAGUUGCAAUUGACCCCAAAUACGAGAGAUAAAACAUAAUUUACACAAAAAACAAAGAUCAGAUUUGUAAAAAUGCACCACAUAGUAGUUAAAACAUCCGGACGUAAAUGAAUGGUUUGAGAUACCAUCAUAGUAGCAUCUUUCAGUGUAAGUUUUUCUCAUAUCGGAUCACUUACCAGUAGAAAAGUGUAAUACCGUGUCGGGAAAGGAAGUCAAUGAUGAAAAGAGAGCAAUUUAGCUUUAAAAAUAAGGAAAACUAAUGAAAAGAGUUUGAAAACUUUGCGUUUAAUGAUAAGGACAAAAUAAAAGGAUAAAGUGAAUAGUACUAUGAUUGAUUUUUUAGUGUAAAAAUAUGGUUUUUCGUUAAAGUUUCCUUAAAAAUAUUGCGUCCUCCGUAUGAUGUUUGCAACAUGUGUCGCCAGAGUAUCAACUUGAAGCUCUCCACAUCUCCGUCGUCAAAUGUUUUGUAAGCAGCAUUGUUUAAGUUCUCUCUGUCAGGGAAACUGCAGAUGGGUUUGAUGAAGAAGAAUGGAAAAUAUAAUUUUUAGAAAAUGAGAAAGAAAAUUAUAAAACUUCAUUAAUGAAAUUUCUUUAUCAACAAAAAAAGAUGAAAAUAUAUCUUUGUCUUCUAUCACAACAAAAAAGUUAAGGACAGUAACGUAAUUUUACAAGAUAAAAUUUUACUUUUUUUUUAAAUCUCACAUAUAUGUAAGUUUAUCAUCUUUAAUUUAAAAAAUAUAAAAAAACCUCUCUUCCACGUUCUCUCUCACUCUCUUCCUCUCCUUCAAAUUUAACAACCAAAGUAAAAAAAUUCAUACGCUUUGUGUGUGGACAUAUACUAGUUGAAAUUUAAAAAAGGAGACUUAAAAAGAGAGAUUUAAUAUUUUCUAGGUUGUCUUGGGAGUUGGCAAUGACAGUAAGAGAGGAGAAUCUCGGGUUCCACUGGAAAGGAGGAAAUUUUUCAAAGCGAGAAGGUAGGGGUUUUUUCACUUGCUCUCUUGGUCUUUGGGCUUUUGGAUUGGAUUGGGACAAUUCCAAUUACCCCAUCCCAACUUACGACUUUUUAUCGGUCUAUAUUGGCUAAAGUGAACGUACUAAAAUAGAAAUUUGAGAACUUGAAUUAAGGUCUUGAAUUAGCGAAUGAAUGUCCAGUAAGAAUGUCAUGUAGUCGGACUUGUAAGGCUACCCUUAAUAAGUAGUCACGUUUGUCAAAACUGGUCUAUCUGAUUAUAAUUGUAACCAUAUUAUGUGUGACACAUGAUCAAACUUGAAGGGUUGUCCAAUAAGAAGUUGUCAUGUUGUCAAGCGUAGGGCCAAAGGUGAGCACUUUCCUACCAAAGUGUUUUCUUUUUCCCCUUUUCAAGGGAUUUGUGUCACCAUUAGAUAGGAGAUUCAAACACAAGACCUUGAAUUUAGAGGCAAACGCUUUAAAAAAGCUUCUCUGAUUCAUCUCCUCUGACUUUGACGGGUUCCACUUCGGAUUCUGCAUUGACAGGAAACCGAAGCCAAAGAUAAAGAUCCGUUCUGAUAUACAGAAAGUAAGAUGAUUAUCAACUGUAGGUCUAGUAGAGGCUGUAAUUGUUCUGUCACUUUAUAGUAAGGAAUCUUGAGCAUAAUUAACGAACCUGAUCCUUGUCCACCAAAACUGCCGUACACCUUCAGCAAAAUCAUUCCGCAAAUACAAUCUUAUAGCAAUGCGAUAUUCAGUUUCAUCACACCAGUUAGUAUUGGUCAAGUAAAGCACAUGUUACUUUCUGAAAAUUUGAAAUACUACAACGCAAAACCUAUCAAAAAGAUGCAACCAUGUGAUGCAAGAAACGAAAAGGUAGAAAGUCCAGACUCACUGUGGAUAAUUGAUUGUCAUUUUUCCCAAGCGCAGAUGCAAUUUUAGCGAAUUAAUUUUGUCCCAAAGAAAGUGAGAACGGAGCUCCCUUUCCAAGACAUUAAAGAGCUUCAUUAGCCCACUCACCACUGCAAUAGAAACAAUUUGAUACAAAAUACUUGACAGCAACCAUACAAGCCGCUCAAUAGACAAAUGACAUUGACAAACAUACCAGUAGCAUCUGAACCUGCUGCUGCUUUUUAAGUUCAUCAAUUGUCUCAAGAACCGACUUAUUUGCACCAAACGCUGAAGUUAUUUGAUGUAAAAGACUUGAGUUGCGCUUCAGAAUCUGGGUUGCUGGUGAAUUUCGCCGCAGUUGUUUCAAUGUCCCCAUGGGGAUCCUAAGAACCGUAUCAACAAUGGAGUAUCUUUUAUCUCAAGAACGCAUUGGACAAUGGAGCAUCAGAAAUUGCGUCUGAGGAUAGAAAAGGCAUACCUGCAGAUCCUCCUCCCGUACUCCUUGCCGCUACAUGUGAAAACCCAUCUGGCAUAGCAAGAACAGUCCUCUGAAAUGUAUCCAUACAAAGUUAGACGCACAAAAUUUGAAAAGCCAUUGCAAUGUAAUUGACAACAUUGACAAUCUCUGUCUGACAGGGCAAAAUACCUUUGUAAUGAUCCGGUAGUGACCGUGACCUGAUAGGUCAACACCAAAGACCAUUGUUAUGCGAUCAAUGAAGCUUAUAAAGGGCUUCUUGUACUCAGAGAUUUUGCAUAUUAGAGAAUACUCAGCAGUGGAUACCUGAACGCAGCACAAAUAUCAUAUCGUUAGCCUCUCAAUAUUAAGAAAACUACAAAUGGUAGCUUAGAAAAGAAAUGAAUCCUCUCCAACCAAAUACAAAUCAUAUUACCCCAAGUUCAAGCAAAAUCAAGACUAAACAAAUGAUUAGAUGUUGUAGGUUGCCCGAGAAUGUCAACCAUGAAAUUACAAAAGAAAAAAAUAACUGUAUGUAUUGAACAUUAAUAAAUACAUGCUGAAAGCACAAUCUCAGCCGCAAUUUAUGACAUUUAUACGAGAUUGAAUCGCUAAAGCAAUUGAAGAAAUUGCAGAGCUCAUAUAAGUGAUUUUCACUUUGAAUUUUUAGGCUUAUCAACAAAUACAUCAUUACGAUUCUAAUGCAUGAAUUUUGUUAAAAGGGGCUUGCUUGCUUGUAUUAAGGCUUAAUCAUCAAUGAAUUUGCAAGAAGCAAUCGAUUUGCUAGUUGUAAAUCUAUUCACUAAUUACCAAAAUUACAUCUAAACGGUAGUGAAGGAAGUCAUCUUAUAUUAUCUGGAUUUUAGAAAACUGUGUAAGGUUAUAAGUCUGUUAUUAUAUAUAGUUAAAAGGGACACAAUUAGACCUCAAUCAUAUUUGGUGGUUGGUUUUUGGCCAUGAUCUGCUUCACAUCACCCCCUGCAAACAAAAAUGAACACUAAGAGAAACAAUAAACAAAUGACAUGAAACAACACGAACAUCAAAGACCAACAAUCUAUCACGUAAGUACCUAAACAAGAAACAACUUUAGUUCAAAGCAAAGCGUAAUGUAGAAACCUUCGGCACAAGAGGUGUGUUUUUGUCCUUUUGAAUUUCGGCAACAACCAUUUUAAUGUCCUUUCCUGCAAUUACCAUGAUUGGUCACUCUCAAAACCUUACCUAAGAGACCCAAAAACAAAAAUAACCGCCGAAAAAUUUAUUUAACUACAUGCUAAAAUGGAAGUGUAAUAUUGCCAAGAAAGAUAAGAAACUAUUCAAAUACAGAUUCUGGGCUUACCGCACAAAAGGCACGAGCCUAGCGGCUACCAAAAAGAACACACUUCACAUUUGGGUGAGAUUCCCAUUCAUCCAGAUAGCUCUUGUAUUUCACAUCCAUAUCUGCAUUUUCCAACAAUUCCCACUUAAACAGAAAUACAAAAUUCUUUGAAAAAAAGCUAACUUCUUCGAAAUGCGAAUCCAACGUUUCGUCUUAUAACAAAUGCAAUAACAUAGAUUUGUAAUCAAUACGAUGCCAUAAAGUUCAAGCUCCAAAAUUCAAAUCAGCUCCAAAUCAAAAGCAUUUACAGAUAUAUACAUAUAUACAUGUGUGUGUGUGUGUGUGUGUGUGUUUAUCUACAUACCUAGGUUCAUGGCGUUGAGAGCUUGGGGGCCGACCGAGGGUGAUGACGGCGACGCCAUUUGGGUGGACGCUGCCCUUGACGAACGCGUCGGCGGAGGCCAUGAUCCCGAAGGGGCGGAGGAGGCGAGGGGAUUUGGAUGGUUGGAAAAGAGAAAGCUUCGAAUUUGGAUUGAGGAAGAAGAAAGCGGACGACGAUUUGCUCAGAAUUUAGGUCGCUCCUCCCAAUAAGCUUCCCAUUACUUCCGGUCGGGAGUGACUGCAUCAGUGUAGAGAGAUAAAGAUAUUUUUGGUGCUUCUGGGCCGGACUACCCUUGAUGUUUCGGUUAAAUAACCGGGAAAAACAACUGCCGCAGGGAAAUUUGAAAGAGGCGUUUGACGAACUGAUUGUGAUCUGACUCAAACAUGUGAUGAUGACGAUGCAUCACCACCUUGAUUGUGUCUCUGGAUGAAAAACCUACCAUCAAGAUCAAAAUCGUGCAUAUUUUCCUUCAUAGGUUUGUCCCAUACUAGAUUAACCCCUAUUCCCUUAGCUUUCGCAUAAUUAAAUGCAUUAGUUUUCGCAUAAUUAAAUGCACCGCCUUUCAUUGGUAUUUCAAAAGUUAUAUCAACUUUAUCCCCGCUUUGCAAAUUGAGCUUAUCGUUUGAUAUUUGACCUUGCCAAAGAUAACAGCUUUCAAAUACAAUAUCGCGCAUUUUUGUAACCCAAUCUUCCUUGCCUAUGCAAGUCUGUAACUCAGUACGCUUGGUAUUAUUUAUAUCAAUACUAGCACGAGGAUGACCAUCUUUACCUCUCAUAUAAGGUCUUGGCCGAUCAAGAUAAGAGCGGUAAAAGCAUAACAGAGUUAGCCCUUCAAAACUACGACCAUCACCCGGGGGAAUAUCAAAGCUAACUUCAUUACCAUCAUUGACAAACUCGAACCAAUCAGGAACAUAAUUCCCAUUGAGAAAAAUGCCACCAUAUCCGCAAGAAGUCCAUCCCUAUAUAUAUAUUGCAAGUGUCAUAACUAUAUACAUACAUGUACAUGUGUGUUGUGUGUGUGCAUGUGCGCAAUAGGAAGACAAUUAAAGAGAGAGAGAUACCUUUAGGACGUUCCUCCUUAAAUCAGCCGUGAGUUUGGUGCACUUACUCAUAUCAAUCCAUGUCAUGGAGUUUAAUGACUUAUCCAAGUCUGGAACCUCAGUGAGUUCGUGUGAAUCACAUACAUUCAGUUCCCUCAUAUUUGACAUUUUCGAAAAAUUGGGCAUUGUUACCAAACGAUAGCAACUAGAUGCAUCCAGAAAUUUCAAAUUUGUUGGUAAAUCAUAGAUUGUAUGAAGCUGGGAGCAAUAACUUAACCACAAACUUUCAAGUUUUGAAAGACCACUGAGGCUGGGUAGGGUAUGAAAAUAAUUGACUGAGAGAUCUAAAUUUCUUAAAGAGUCUAAGCCGUGUAACGAAUCGGGAAAUUGCAAAGGAAACUUCGAUCCCACAAAAUUAUUGAGAGAUAAAUGAGUGAGAUUCUUCAAUCUUACUGUGGAACGCGGUACUUGUCUUAUGGCUGUAGUAGAUGCUUUAAGUACUCUCAAUGAUAUCAUCUUCCCUAAACCCUCGGGCAAUUCACUGAAUUGCCAACAAAAAUCAAGAACAAGAGUCUGAACGGAUUUGGACCUGUAGAAAUCCCCAGGAAGAGAAAUAAGAUUCUUGCAGCGUGUGAGGUUCACCAAAGAAAGUUUUUUAAGAUGACCAAUGGAGGGGUGAAUAUCGGACAAACUCCUACACCUUUCCAAUAUCAACUCUUCAAGAUUUGGGAGAUUUGAAAAGUCUGGUGAUUUUUUUAAGUCAGAGCAACUUCCAAGAUUAAGGACCUUCAAGUUUUCAAGUGACUGUUGCACAAAAUCAAAGAAAAAUUAAAAUUAAUAUCCAAAAGGACUAUCUCAGAAAAAAAGAAGGAAAUCCAAAAAACAAAUACAAACAUAACAUCAUCAUGUGUAAUCGAUUGUACCUUGGAGCCCUCCCAAACUUGUACCAGGUCGCUAGAUGUUAUCUCUAAAAUAACUAGUCUUGGUUGAUCAAAGAAGUCAUCUGGUAUGGACUUUAAAGGGCAUCUUUCCCAACACAACCAUAUUAACUCCUUGGGGAGAUGUUUGUAUUCUCCAUUGAGCUGCACGUUGUAGAGCUUGAGCAGUCUCAGUUUCUUCAUAUUGGCAAAUGCUUCUGUACUGAACCCAGGCAUGUUAGACCUUGGAGGCCAAGGAGGAGGGAUACCUAGAGCAAGUCCUUCAACUUCUUCAGUUCCCUGUUAACAAAAGGUUAUAUUCAUGUGUAAGAAACGGAUUAUUUGCAUACGUUUACAUGUAUGAAUACAAGCAAGUACUAUUGUUGGCUAAUUGAGAUGAAUGUUAAUGUAUAAUACACAUCCGUGAGUUAUAUGUGCUUUUCAUGUACAAUGCAUUAAUUCAGAAUUUUAUUGGGAAUGUACUUACAGAUUUAUCUCUCAAUACUUUAAUGACCUCUUGCCGGUUCCACAACCUACUCCACUCUCCAGGCUGACGAGGGGAUUUUUCAGAAAUGAUUAAUUUGGCCAUUUCUCGAAGCAAAUCAUGCAUAUUCAACACGUUGUCUUCAACAGUUAUAAGGCAUCGUUCACGGAGGUCACUGAUUCCUAUUGUUGCAAAAAAGUUACAUCCAUCUAAUAUUUUUGCGACAUAGUCCUUAUCCCAUCCAAUAAAGAAACAAGAAAUGUCAAGGAAUAUAUCCUUUUGUGUAGGAUCUAGCCUUUCAAAGCUUACUCUUAGCGGUUUCAUUAUUCCUUUAUCAGGAAAUUUUUUCAAUUUCUCCAACUGACUUUUCCACUCUAUUGGGGUUCUUUCAAUCAUAGAAGAACCUAAAACUUCAAGGGCUAUUGGCAAACCACCACAGUAAGAAACAACCUCUUUUGAGAGUUCAAGAUAUCCUUCAUUAGGCCAACUCUUUCCAAAGGCAUGCCAACUAAAGAGCUUCAGAGCUUCUUCUUCAUUCAUUUCCUUAAGCGGAUAUGUCUUGUCCACUUUCAUGUUCACUUGCUUUAGUAAACAUUCAUCUCGUGUCGUUAUGAUAAUUCUACUUCCUGGACCAAACCAAUCACGAUUUCCAGCUAUGGCAUUUAGUUGUUCCACUUUGUCUACAUUGUCAAUAAUGACAAGUACGCUUCUACGUUGGAGAUGAUUUUUUAGCAAACUGAUACCUCCAUCAACACUGGUUAUCUUAGACUCAGUCUGUUUCAAGAUGUCAGAAACAAGCUUUCCUUGCAAAUCAACCAAAUCAUAUUCACUAACGUUGGCAAGGAAACUUUUGAAUUGGAACUUAUGAUGAAUUUGGUUAUAAAUGGCUUUGGCAGCUGUUGUUUUACCUAAUCCACCCAUCCCCCAAAUUCCAACCAUGACAACGUCAUUUGAUCCACCACCUGAAAGAUGAUUGAUAAUAUCUUGAACGCGAGAAUUGAUUCCAACCGGGUGCUUGGCCACAUUUAAUUCGUUUGCACCCGGAAGCCAUUCCGUAAUGAUCUUGCCAACAAUUUCUCUAAUAAGCUUUGCUUCGCGCCUAGAUGUUGAAUUUGUAAGCAUUAGCGGGACUCAAUGAACAGUAGGAGCUAUUAGUACAUAGACAAUUUUCUUUCCUUCAUACAUAUUCUAACUAGCUACUAGCUAGCAUGUGAUUUUUUUACCAACUUGAUAAAAGAAAGAAAUUCAUUCAUUAAUUAAACUCCAAUUACGGUUUAGGUUUUAUAUGAGAGGUUAAGGUGUAUUAAUUAAGCAUGUUAAUUAUAUGAGAGAUUAAGUCAUUCACUAAAAUGUGUCAAAUCUUUAAAAGCAGGUGAAUGAUUACCCAUUGUCAAUGAUUUGAAGAUGUUGGCCAGACAAAUUUGCAGCUUCUGUAAGAGCCUUUCUCCAUUGCUUUACCCUUUCUUGUUUAGCUUCACGUUCCUUGUCAUCUUUUUCUUCACGAAUGCCCUCUUCGUGCUUCUGAAAUGCUUGAGCUAAAUCUCCGUUCUGCUUCCUAACAUGUGAAGGAUCAACAUGAUAGAAUAUUGGCAAAACACGUCGCCCCAGUUUGUAUCUGCACUUCAUGAUCUUCACCAGCUCGUCAAGACACCAACUCGAGUUCGCAUAACUCUUUGAGAAGACAAUGAUAGAGAUCCUCGCCUCUUCAAUUGCCCGGAACAGUUCCUCUUUUAUUUCUUCCCCUCUUUCUAGAUCGUCCUCAUCGAUAUAAGCCUGGUAUCCCCUCUCUGUUAAUGCCGCAUGGAGGUGGCCCGUGAAGCCAUUGCGUGUGUCCACACCGCUGAAGCUCAAGAACACGUCGUAAUUCCAAAGUUUUGACUUGGAGGAGGAUGACGAGGAGGCUUCGUGGGUUGUCAUGGGGGUAUCCACCGUUAUGGCACUGCAGUGGUUCAGAUCACGACUGAAUUAAGGAAUGCACAACUUUACUUUUAUGAUUAUUUUCAAUGACAGCUAAAGGUCAGAUCCAAAUGAAAAUAAAAGUUAGGACUUCACAAAACCAAUAAAAAAAUAUAAUUCCCAAGUUACAAAUACCCACCAAAUGAUUCCAGAUAAAGUUUUAAACUCAAGGUCCGGCCCAAAUGAAAUUAAAAGUUAGGACUUCACAAAACCAAUUGAAACAGAAACCAAAUGGUAGAAGUUGAAAAAAAUAUAUGGUCAUGAAUCGAGAACUUCAUCAAACUAAUAGCAAUAAAAUCUCAUAUAAUAUGUCAAAAACCAAAAAAGAGAAAGAGGUAAUUUCAAGACCUUGUAACGCCGAGGCCUCGUACAGUUGUAGUAAUAAUAUAUGGUUGAUGCACCUGUUGCUCAAUCAAAUCCUUUGUCUGGCUAAAAAAAUAAAAUCUAUAAAUACAUUCACGUCCAAUUUAUGAGAAAUCAUGGGAAAGCAAAUGCACUGAGAACGGAAUCAUGAAUAUGUAGAACUUGCCAAAAAGAAAAAGAAAACUUUUUAUAGUGUGCCAAGAACAUCCUCCUACUCCUAGCAAUUUUUUAUGGCAUUAUCCACUUUUCAAUUCAUAAUUCAACCAGCAACUCAAAGUCUAUAGUGUAUGAAAAGGUGAUAUCUUAGUUGAUCACGAUGAUAAUUAAGUAGAUUAAAUGACGACCCAUAAAGCAUACAAAUUCAGAAAAGAAAAGGUACGAAACUGCCAUAAGAAAACGCAGAAUAUAUAAACCGGAAAUCAAAAGAAGAGAAGCGAAAAAGGAAGAAAAAAAAAACCAAACAAAAUUAUUAGGUUUGGGAUAUACCUUUAUCUGAAACGCCACAAUCAUCAAAGUCAAACAUAAACAAUCCAAAAAUUUGUGGAAAAUACCAGUAAAUGCUCAACUAAAAACGAAAGAAAAUGUAGAAUAAGUUUACCUGUUCUCCCCCUAAUUAAACUGGAAUAACAUUCACCACUAAUAUUCUCGUCGUCAUCCUCUUCAGCCUGAAAAAUUUAGUAGAAAUACUCAAUGAAGACGCUUAAUGUAGACAGUAAUAUUAGCAAUGGAGGAAUUGAAUUGAUAACCAAAACUGCAAGACCAAAUGACUAUUUAGGUUCAAAACAGAAACUCGUCUGCUAGAUGUCUCAUCUUUAGGCAGUGCCUUGUUCUUGUUUUUUUUUCUUUUUUUUUUGUUGUUGCAUGUCUUGUGAAGUUCAUGUAAAUCAACAAAAUUGAUACUUUUGACACAACCAACAAUGGAGAGGUAAAAAGUUAAAAACAUUAGGAAUGUCUUCAUUUUUGUAAUGGAUUUUGCAAGUCAGAAAUUCUGUUCGAGAAUUUGCAACCCAGAAAGUCCGCCAGAAAUUAUUAACAAUCACAGAUAAGCACCGAAUGAAGGCCAAUCUAAUAAGCCAAAAUAUGUAGGGCACUAAAGAAAUUACCCAGUAACAAUAAUAGAUAAGCACAUAUGAAACUAAAGAAAUUUUUCAUUACUAUCAACUCCCAAAAAAAAAAAAAAAAAAAACUGUGCAAUCCAAAAAAUGUUGAUACAUAGUUGGAGUAUCAAUGCCUGAAAUUGGUAUUUGAACCACGAAUAUGUUUGUUAGCUUAAAGGUUUGGGUUGAAGUUGUGAAAGGAAAUGUAAUUUCUUAAAAGAAGGAGAGAAUGCAAAGAUGAAUACAGAAUGGUUCAUGUGGCCACCUUGUUAAGGCACAGAAAAAGACAUCAAAUUUUAUACUUGUUGCAUCCAAGGUAUGCAACAGCCUCCCACAGAAAUUACAGAAAUCAAAUCAAGAAAAAAGAUAAUUACACAAUAAUUACACCUUCACUAAGAAAAUAAAUUAUAAAAACGAAGACCGUGAGAAUAAUUACCUUACCUUUGUACGGUGAUUGGCUGCCAAAAAAAAAAAUAAUGUCAUAUACAUUAAGCCUGCCAAUUACUAAAAACAAAACAUUUUGCCAUGAGGAGAAGUAAGAACAUACCGAAACUUGUUUGCAAAUAGAUGAGAAAAACUUAUUCCUGAAACAGAUGGAAAAUUUAUUAGGAAAGAUAAAUCAGCCCACAUGUGUGUAAUCUAUAUACAAAAAACCACUCUCUUCAAUAGCCAAAUCGUUUCACAAAUCCAAAAACACAUAAUUAUAUCUUGAACAAUGCCAAUUAAUGAUUUCCCAUUUACUUAAGCCAACAACAAAGCCAAUGAACUGAUGAAAGAGCAAAACAGAGAAACAAAAAACCUCAAUUAAGUAAUUAAAUGGAGUAUUACUUGAUAGAGCUGGAAAAUUACCCAGUUCCUCAGAGAGAGGAUCAAGAGUGACUGAUGAGAGUGCAGAGAAAAGAAUGAUUGAGAAAUUCAAGUUCUGAGCUCGAAGUUGGGGCUUCCACUUUCCAACUGGGGAAGAAAUAACAGAGAAAACACAGAGAGCCAAUCCACCAAAUAUUAAUCAAAUGGGUUUCUUCUAAUUCAAAAUUUGGACCACCCAAAUUCCAAUGAAGCAAUAACCAUUCAAAAUCCAACAGAUUGAAGCCCUCACAGACUACUAAUUAUCAAUACCCAGCAAUAAAAAAUUUGAAAACAGUAAUAAUGAAGGAAAAAGAAAUUAAAGCUGCAAGCCAUUCUCUAAAUCUCAGGCACCAAUCCAAAUCACCAGUAAUUUGCACAUAAUGAUAAGAAUCUAGCAGUAUUUCCAUUGUUUAAAAACCCAAAUUCAAGAAAUCAUGAAAAAUGGAAACUUUAUUUGGAAAUUGAAGCUUUACCUGCAGAUCAGCAGCAGCAAACGGAAUCCAACGGCAUGUACCUCAAAAGUGAGAGAGAGAGAGUUGAGAGAUGAGUGAGAGAAUCGAUAAACAAAACCCCCCAAAAUCACAAAAGGAAAAUUGAACAGAAAACAAAUUUGCAAAUCCAAAAUCACAAGAACGAAAUUGAAACACCCACACUGAGAAAGCUGCAAUACUCACCAGGAAGCUAGCUUUUCUGGGUAAAAAAAUUGUUCGAAUCGAAUUGAAGAACCGAGGAAAAUUCUACUGGUUCAGUGGUUUUUCCAGCAAGAAAGCACCUUGUUUGUAAUUCGUGAGAGGUUGGACAGCGAGAGAGAAAAACGUAAAGGAAAGGAAAAGCGGAGAAGAAGUCACGAUUAUCGACGCGUGGGUUGCAUUCCACUGUGCCAAGUUCGAAAAUGAACGGGGAAUGGGGAGCUUGGCCGAGGGAGACAGAAUUCGAGAAGCAGCGUUCUGAUUAAUUUUUUUUUUUUUUUUUUUAUGAGAGAGGGAAAGCGGAAUGAAGAGAAUCGAGAAGAGGAUGAACCAUUUCAAUUUUUAAGCGAUGAUCGACGCGUGGGACUUGAGGGCAAAUUUGCCAUUUUGCUGUGAACCCAUGAAGCAUCAGAAUACACAAAAGUCAAGACUUGGCUUGGUUUAUAUAAUUAAUCAAUAAUAUUCCUAACAAGAGCUAGGUCCAUAUAUUAUACGAACAAUACUUAGCUGCUGAAUUCCUACUUUCAACCAAUCAAAUUUUGACACGUGUCCAAAUAAUGAAAUUAUAAAUACAAAUUGAACACGUGUCCAAAUAUGAUUGGGUGAAAAUAGGAAUGGCUGUUGAAUUUUCAGCCGCCAAGUAUUGUUCUUAUACAAGGUUCUAAAUCUAAUAGAUGUUGUGGCUAGACGAGGCUUAUUGACUAGACGGAUUUAAGUAAAUUUAUUCUAUAUUAUAAAUAAAUGUUUUUUUAUACUUAAAAUGACACAUAAUUGUAUUGAGAUAUAUAAAUUGUAAAAUAAAAUAACAUAUAUAUUAUAAAGUAUUGGAACAUGAGAGAAAAGACCUAAAUGUGAAACGACAACUAUAAACAAUUAUUCAAGAUGAACGAUAAAUGAUUCAACCAUUUACAAGAUUCAAAACAUGAGAUCACGAUCUACUGAAUGAUUGCAUUAACUAUUAAGCGGUGCCCUAAUAUAAUACAUCCAAAUGGGGGUGGACCACAUAAUACACCCAAUGGAUCGUUUUUAAGCUACUCCACUGCUAAAACUAUUGCAAAAUGCGUUAGGAUUAUACUUCUAUUAGCUGCGCCUUUCCUUACUAGGCAAAUGGGGGUGGACCACAUAAUAAUGUUAAAACUGCUAUGUCUAUUGGGUUUCUCUGUUUAUUUCAUGUACUAGUUUAUGUUCCUUUUAUUGUAUAAAUAACUUGUACUUGGGAUGUUGCAGAACAAGUUUGAUUUGAAUGAAAUUACUACUAUUGAGUUAGCUGUCAAGCUUCUCUUUAUUCCAAGCUUGCAUUUUGUUCUACCUUUUCCAAUUCUCUACAUCCCUAAGAGGACUGUAUCAGAUGUUAUACACAUUGGAGUUUGAGCAGAAUUCUUUUUGUUAUCUUGUCUCACAUUGCUAGAAUUGAAAAGUUCAUAAUAUAAUAACAUUCGCGUAUGAACUUGAGAAACAACAUACUACUGGUUGGCCUGGAAGGUGCAGUGAAAGAGAGGAAAGGAAGAAAGAAACAAACACGAAAGGACAAGGACUAUCCAAUAGAUUAUAAACAAUGACUUAUUGGGGAUGAUUACGGCUAUUAAAUCAUCAAUAAUGCAUUAUUUUAGUUUGGAAUUUGGAAGCAUUUGAGAAGUAAAAUGACAACAACUACAUAAUAAACAAAGGUGAUUAGAAAAAAGACCCAAAUGUGAAAGAAUAAUUAAAAACAAUUACUCAAGAUUAGUGAUAAAUGAUUCAACCAUUUACAAGAUAUGAACUUAGAACAACAAUCUAUUAGAUUGUUGUAUUAAUGAUUAAGUGAUGCUCUAAGAUAAUAGAUCCAAAUGGGGACGGACCAUAUAAUACACCCAAAUGGAUGCAAUCAUGCCAUAUAUAAACAAUGUUUUGAAAGGACAAGGUAGCUAAAGCUGCCUUUUUAUAUAUGUAAGCAACAACCCUAAAUCUUACUGGAACUAAUUAACUAAUGUAUUUAUUAGACAGUUGGAUUCCUUAGCAAGUGGUUAACUAGUUUUGUUUAGUUUAGUAGUCAGGUCGUAAUUAAUUAGUCAAAUGAAAAUGCAUAUAACACACCCAAAUGGAUGCCAUAUAUGCAUACUAUUUUUGUUUAGUUUAGUAGUCAGGUCGUAAUUAAUUAGUCAAAUGAACCUGCAUAUAACACGCCCAAAUGGAUGCCAUAUAUGCAUAUAUAAACAAUGUUCUCAAAGGAUGAAAUGACUUUCUUGCCGGUAUGGGGGAAGAGGAAAGAAACUAGCACGAAACUGCAGACCCUAUCGAUCCAUUAUAAUAAAUUUCAAUGGUCCAAUUUGUAAGUUAAUUGUGCAACAUAAAAACUUAUUUACAGUUAUCAACUUAACCACGUACCUGUGAAAGACAUUAUCUCAGAAAACUAGGAUUAAGAACCAAAGUUCUCCUGGAACUCUACACAACUUAAGGCUCGCUCAAUGGGGCUUGAGUUUUUUGUAAACUUGCGUAUUUUUGGAAACGCAUCAAAUAGUAGUUAAAACAUCCGGCCGUAAAUAAAGGGUUUGAGAUACCACCAUAGUGAUAUCCCUCAGAUGUGAGUUUCUCACGUAUCAAAUCACUUAUUGUAAGAAUAUUAGUAGUGAAAGUUAAAUACCCGUGUUGGGAAAGGAAGUCGAUGAUGACAAGAGAGAAAUUUGGCUUGAAAAAUGUAUGAUACUUGCAACAUGCGUCACCGGAGUAUCAACUUGAAGCUUUCCAUCUCUCCGUCGUUAAAUGUUUCGUAAGCAGCGUUGUUGAAGUUCUCUAUGUCAAGGGGAAACUGAAGAUGGUUUUAAAUGAAGAAGAAUGGAAAAUAUAAUUUAGAAAAUGAGAAAGAAAAUUAUAAUUGAAACUAAAAAAAUAAGAAAUAAAAAGAGAGAUUUACUAUUUUCUAUGAGGUCUUGGAGUUGGCCGUGACAGUAAGAGAGGAUAAGCGAAUGAAUUGGGCCAAUUACUUGCUCUCUUGGACUUUGGGCUUUUGGAUUGGAUUGGGCCAAUUACUUACUUGGGCCCCAUCCCAACUUAUGACUUUUUGUCGGUCGGUAUUGACUGAGGUGAACGUGCUAAACUAGAAAUUUGAGAUUUUGAAUUAGCAAAUGAAUGUUAAGUAAGAGCGUCAUGAUCAGACUUGUAAGACUGUCUUUGUUGCGUUUUGUCAAAACCGGUCCAUCUAAUUACAAAUUGUAACCAUAUUAGUUGAGUAUAUAUAUGCUACAUCACAUUAGUGAAUAUUCAGUACGGGUGACACAUGGUCAGACUUGUAGGUUGUUCAUUAAGAAGUUACCACGUUCUCAAGAGUGGAGCUAGAGGGGAGCACUUCCCUACCAAAGUGUUUUCCUUCUCCCCUUUACAAGGGAUUUGUGUCACUAUUAGAUAGGAGAUUCGAAUACAAGACCUUGAAUUGAGAGGUCACACUUUUACAAAGCUUCUACGAGCACCUUCUUGUUUACCAAACUCAUUGAGACUAAAGGAGGUCUUAACGCCAUUUUGGCUAAUACUAUUCUAUAUAUUUACGAAUGGUUUUAAGUUUGGGUUUAAUUGGAUAAUCAGAGAGUAGUGCAUCAAACUAUGGAUAUUCAGAAACCGAAAGCAUAAUUCAUAUUCCUCCAACAAGUCCACGCAAAUAACCACAAUCAGAAUGUUAGUUCAUAACUGGCCAUAUAGAACGCAGUACAAAAGCACUAAAAGCGUCCAAGUGAAAGUGCUUUCUCCUCAUGCAGUUUCAUUUAACUUAGUUUCACAUGCCAGUCCGUCACACACUCAACUCCUCAACGUUCGGGUUCAAAGCAUUCUUUAUCCUUUCUGUACGAGAGACAAUAAAUUUAAAGUUCUUGUGAUGAAAUCAUGUAAAACAUUCAGAAAUCUUGAUUUAAUCCUUUCUCAAGAUCAUAGGUUGUGUCAUCUCAACUUAUAUCUUAGGUCUUAUGAGUGCUCGUAAUACACUAAUACGGCACUUGUUUUCUGGCCAGGACAGAAACAAAAUCAUGUAGGAAAUUGUCAUGACAAUAAAGGUCGUACCCAGUGCACAAGGCUCCCGCUUUAAGCAUGACAAUAAAGGAAAUUGUCAUGUAGGAAAUUGUCAUGACAAUGUAAGUGUAAAAUGAGACCGGAAAAACACUAAACAGGAUGACUAUGCUCUCUUAGCGUAAACCUUAACAACAAAGACUAUACCGUAUCUGUCACCAAGGGCGGAGCCACCAUAGGCCUAGGGGGGCGGAUGCCCCCACUGAGAUUUUUCUGAUGCUGGCAUGAUGACCUUCAGAUGCUUGAGAUUCGGCAAUGGUGGAGAGCAGAUCUUUCUAAAUUUCUUUGGAAAGAAGAGAUCCUAAACCAAGCACACAAACAAAAAUUUGAGAACAGCAAAUACAAAAAUUCGACAGUGAUCAAACCCAUCAAGCAUGCAUAUAUAGAUACAUGUUAUAUUUAUAUACCAUAGCAUCAUGAACUUUUAGUGUAAUUUUUCUGAAGCAGUCAAAACUUUCAAGAUAAUCUCGUGCUGCUCAAAUUGAUAUGGUUCUACAGCAGCAAAGCCCACACUGCGAUUUUUCUGGUUCUACUCUCCGAUCUGGUUCUGUAGAAGCAGAGCUGGGUCUUAUUUUAUUUUUUUUCAAAACCAAGCCAAAACGACAUCGUUUUGGUCCUGGUAAAAAAAAAUUUAAAAAAUGUAAACGAAACGGUGUCGUUUCGUAUAUGUUUGAAAAAAUAUGUUCGAGGAUGCCCCCAUUCACCCAAAUGUCUGGCUUCGUCCCUGUCUGUCACAGUGAUAUGCGACCAUAAGCCCAACUCCAAGGAUCAGCUUUCCAAGAACUUUGAAGGCUACAAAUCAAAAGUUACAUGCAGUGAUGACAUAAUCAUGAAAAAAUACAAUCAUAAAUUAAAGGAAAACAUACCGACUUCUAGUUCUGGCAAUUCACUAUUGGCCCAUAUAUUUGAACCACAAUAUGAUGGAUACCCAAUACAGAUCACAAAUAAAAUCUGAGCAGACACAAAGUAUUAUGUUUUGUUUACGCAAAAUCUGUAAGUUCUCAAGUAGGAUAAAUAAAGAUAAACAUAUCCCAGCAUAAAGACGACUUGUCCUGGCUAAUUCUAAGAAAGCUUGUAUCAAAUGUAUGAUAGUUAUUCAUAACUAACACAAACAACAGUUUGGCCAAACAUUACUGGUCUGAGCCAUAUACUGUGUGACCUCAGACAAAACAGAUCCCACAUGUACUCAGAUUAUGAUUGAUGUCCCAAUAGACUUUUAGGCGGUGCUCUGAUAUAAUACAUCCAAAUUGGGGUGGACCAUAUAAUACACCCCAAUGGAUCGUUUUAAGCUCCUACACUGCUAAAGCUAUUGCAAAAUGCGCAUUAGGAUUAUAUUUCUAUUAGAAGCGCCUUUCCUUACUAGGCAAAUGAACCAUAUAAUACACCAAGAUGGAUGUUAUACACGUUAGCGUUUGGGCAGAAUUUUUUUGGUUAUCUCAUUGUCUCACAUUACUAGAAUUGAAAAGUUUAUAAUAUAAUAACGUUCGAAUAUGAACUUGAGAAACGACAUACUGCCGGUUGGCCGUAAAGGUGCAGUGAAAGAGCGAAAAGGAAGAAAGAAACAAACAUGCAUGAAAGGACAAAGACUAUCCAAUAGAUUAUAAACAAUGACUUCUUGGGAUGAUUACAGCUAUUCAACCAUCAAUAAUGCACUAUUUUAGUUUGGAAUUUGGAAGCAUUUGAGAAGUAACAUGACAUCAAUCACAUAAUAAACAAAAGUGAUUACAAAAAAACCCAAAUGUGAAGGAAUAAUUAAAAAAAAUUAUUCAAGAUAAGCGAUAAAUGAUUCAACUAUUUAUAAGAUAUGAACUUAGAACAACAAUCUAUUGGAUCGUUGUAUUAACUAUUAAGUGGUGCUCUAAUAUAAUAUAUCCAAAUGGAGACGAACCAUAUAAUACACCCAAAUGGACCAUUUUUAGGCUCCACUGCUAAAAACUAAUGCAAAACGGGCAUUAGGAUUAAACUAUAAGAACUAGGAUUGCAGGGAAGACAAAACACGCAGGAAAGCUAUAAGACUACACAAGGUUUUCACUGUGAUUGCAUACCCUCAACGUUGUAGGGAGCAACCUUUUUAUAAUCACUUUUCAGAUUACAUCAGGGUUUCAAAAACCCUAUUAACAAGCUUACAUUUUGAAAUUCAAAUACUAUAACUAAUUCUGACAAAACAAAUAUUUAAAAAUUCAAAUGAUUUUAACAGAAGCUCUACUUGAUAAGUGUUGUUGACUGAGUAAACCAACUGAAGAGUUUCUGUUUGAACAGGAAACUUGACUCCGUCUAACAUAAACUUGUAUUAGCUAGCUUUCCUAGUCAAAUGAACCAUAUGAUACACCCAAAUGGAUGCCAUCAUGCCAUAUAUAACCAAUGUUUUGAAAGGACAAGGUACCUUAACACUGUCUUUUUAUAUAAUGUAAGCAACAACCAUAAAUCUUACACAAAUCCUGGUAAGUCUACCACAAGUGUCAAUCCUUAUCUCCUUAUCAUUCCACAUCACCAAGUGUUUGCUCUCGUAUAGAACUUACAAAAAUCUCAUUUAGUUUCAUCUAACUUAUUUUUCACAACGGUGAAUAUAUUUCAAUGGCUUGGUUUUCACAUGCCAGUCAGUCACAUGCUCAACUCCUCAAAGUUCGGGCUCAAUGGCUCGAAGAGAGCUUCCACUUCACUCUGAUUCACCUCCCUCUUACUUUGACGGGUUCCACUUCGGAUUCUGCAUUGACAAAAAACAGAAGCAAAAGAUUGUUGAGAGUUGUCCCACGUUGGUGAGGGACAAGGCUUGCUAUGUACUUAUAUGAAUUUGGGCUACUUUCAAUAUUGUCAAUUGGUUUUAUGGUGGAACCUCAAUUUCAUCAUGGUAUCAGAGCCAAGUUGUUGACGUGUGAAGCCCAAUGGCCACACGCACUUCACGUCACCUAGCUGUUGUCCACGUGUAGGCUUGAAAAUCCGUCACACGUGCGGGGACGUGUUGAGAGUUAUCCUACAUUGGUGAGGGACAAAGUUUAGCUAUGUGCUUAUAUGAUAUUGGGCAACUUCCCAUAUUACCAAUUGAUUUUAUGAUGAACCUCAAUUUCAUCAAAGAUAACGACCUGUUCUCAUACAAGGAAAGUAAGAUGAUUAUAUAACUGUAGGUCUAGUACAGGCUGUAAUGGUUUAUGUUGCAGCAACUCCGUCAGCAAGUGAUUUUCAAGUAAGGAAUCUUGAGCAUAAUUAACGAACCUGAUCCUUGUCCACCAAAACUGCCCGCACACCUUCAGCAAAAUCAUUCCGCAAAGACGAUCUUCUAGCAACGCGAUAUUCAGUUUUCAUCACACCAGUUAGCUGGUAUGGAUCAAGUAAAGCACAUGUUACUCACUCAGAAAAUGUGAAAUACUACAACACAAAAUCUAUCAAAAGGAUGCAACCUUGAAGAGCUUCAUUUGCCCACUCCACCACUACAACAGAAACAAUUUGAUAGAAAAUACUUGACAGCCACGUACAAGCCUCUCAAUAGAAGAGUAAGACAGAUUUCAUUUCAUCAUCGAUAAACAAAUGGCAUUGACAAACUUACCAGUAGCAUCUGAACUCUGCUGCUGCUUUUUAAGUUCAUCAAUUGUCACAAGAACCGACUUAUUUGCACCAAAUGCUGAAGUUAUUUGAGGUAAAAGACUCCUGAGCUGCGCUUCGAAUCUGGGUUGCUGCUGAAUUUUGCCACAGUUGUAAUUGACAACAUUGACAAUUGUCUCUCUCGCAAUAGUACCUUCGUAAUGAUCCGCUACUGACCUUGGCCCGAUAGGCCAAUACCAAAGGCCAUUGUUAUGGCCACGAAGCUUAUACGUGGCUGUCAAGCCCGACACGUGAAUAGCAUACUCUACUACUGUGUUACAUUGUGAGAAUUUUAUCCAAAAUUAAUUGACAAUAAGUGAAUAAGUUGAAAGAUUAUGUAUGACUUUAAUUAUGCAAAGAGUGAAGAGGCAAUUUUCACCAAACCCCAGUAAAAAAUUUGGGCCUCACAAAUCACUAAACCCAAUAUGCUUUUCUCUUAUGCCUUUCGUUCAUGGUUUGAUAUUCUGGCGUCCGAGGACCCUGACAUGACAAGUUCCAACCUUUUUGUUCAAUUUCUUGACGAAACAAUCACAUUUACCCUUACGGCACGGCACGGUUCCGGGCAUAGAAUAUGGGUUGGGUUCCGCCACAGAUCCAACACUAAUUAGCACUGUAGAGAAGGAAGUAAAGACAACUAUUGAUUUCUUACAACGUAGCGAGUCUCUUGACAUGACUCCUGCUGUUUUGUUCUUAUUUCACGUCCUGUUUCUCGAGCUUGGUGUUUCCGGCAGGGCCGGUCUAAAGAUUUUUGAGGCCCGGAGCGACGUAAAAAAAUAUGCCCUCACUUAUAUAAGAAAAUUAUUUGUUUUCACAUGUAAGACAUCGAUAAAAUUAUACUUACAAAAACACUUAAAACUUAAUAAUUUAGAAACAAGGAAAAACUAAUUUAUUUUGUAUCGUGAGAAUGAUCCAAAAAAACUCUGGGUUUACAAGUAGAUAGAUAUGGGUUUACAAGUUGCGGAUUGCUUUGCUAACUAUGAUGUUGAUCUGGCUGGGGUUCAUUGGUGAGAUUCUUGAUUUCCUUGUGCUACUUUGACAUAUCACCAUAAGUUGUCUUUUUUGCCUUGUUAUAGUUUCGUGUGGGGUUUUUUUUCUUCUUCUAAUGCUGAUUGGGUUCUUUUCUUCCAACUCCUGCCCACUCAUUAUUGUCUGAACCACACCUAGUAUUACCCUCAUAUCCACUAAAACUUCAAGCUUUACCAAUUUGUCACAAGCGAAGAUGGUAGCUCCCAACACCAAUGAGGUUCCAAACAAUUACGAUCGAAAACGCGAAGUGAAAGCUUUUGAUGAGACAAGGGAAGGCGUUAAGGGUCUUGUUGAUGCCGGGGUAGCCGAGGUUCCUAGAAUUUUUCAUCAACCACCACAAUUGGACGAUCAGUACUCCAUCAACAAUACAAGCACUGACUCAGAAGCCACCCAGUUUAGCAUUCCGCUAAUAGACCUUGAAGACCAUGGUAAUCCAACUAAGCGCAAUGAGAUUGUUGCAAAGUUGGAGAGGCAUCAGAGACUUGGGGCUUCUUUCAAAUAGUGAAUCAUGGGAUACCUGUAGGUGUUCUGGAGGCGAUAAAGGAUGGGGUACGUGGGUUUUAUGAGCAGGACACUCGAGUCAAGAAAGAGUUUUUACACUCGUGAUCACUCUAAACCUUUGUUUUACAAUAGCAACUUUGAUCUUUAUAGUUCACUGGCAACGAAUUGGAGGGAUACUUUUAAGUGUUACAUGGCUCCAUAUCCUCCUAAGCCAGAAGACUUGCCAGAAGUAUGCAGGUAUUUGACAACCCAAUUCUCUGGUUUAAUUGGUGACAGUAACCUGGUGCAGAUUCCUUCCUUGAUGGAUUAGAUCAUUAAACUCCAUACUUUUGACAAGUUUAAUGUGCUUUCCUGGUUUUCAACUUGCAGAGACGUACUGAUCGAGUAUUCAAAGCGAGUAAUGGAGUUGGGGAAAUUGUUGUUUGAGUUGUUGUCGGAGGCCCUUGGGCUAAAGCCAAGCCACUUGAAUAGCAUAGAUUGUAGUAAGGGGCUACAGGUUUUAGGCCAUUACUAUCCUGCUUGUCCACAGCCAGAGUUAACUUUGGGCACAAGCAAGCACGCUGAUGAUUCCUUCCUUACGGUCCUUUCUGCAAGAUCAUAUUGGUGGUCUGCAAGUUGUUGAUCGUCAAAAUAAGUGGAUUGAUGUACCCCCUGUGCCUGGGGCUUUAGUGGUGAACAUUGGAGAUCUUUUACAAGUAAGCACACGUAUACAAUUGCCCUUUUUUUUUCUCCCUAAAAACUACUAUUAAAUUAAGAGAAUAGUAUCGUAAACUAAGCUAGUUUGUUAAUGACUAAUACUCGAGACAAGCUUUGGUCGCAUGUUAGCGUUCUCUUAGAAUAUGUCUUAGAAUUCUUCGAUUAUCAUAAUUAGGUCUUUUAUGUUCAAUUCUUUUUGGGAUUUUCAGCUCAUAUCAAAUGAUAGAUUCAAAAGCGUAGAACACAGGGUAUUGGCGAACCGUGAAGGUCCAAGGAUAUCCAUUGCCAGCUUCUUAGCACAGGUUUGCUACCAUUUACAAAUCUCUAUGGACCUAUUAAGGAGUUGGUAUCAGAAGACAACCCUCCAAAGUACAGGGAGACUACUGUGAGGGACUACGACACCCAUUUCUAUGACAAAGGCCUAGAUGGAACCUCUGCCUUAUCUCAUUUUAAGAUCCCAACUUAGACAUGGAGGAGCACAGAAGCAGAGACCGCAACGAACAAAUCCUGUCUACUAAAUAAUUUGGCAUGAAAAUAUAUAUUGGUUUGUUUAAUCUGAAAGCACUUUCGCACCACAAAAUUCUGGAUAUGCAUAUUAUUUUGUUUUCUGUUUGCAUAUGGUCUAAUAUACUUGUAGAAAGGGUUGGGUUUCUACCCUUGCGUCUCAGGUACGAAACUUCCCCUCCUAUAAAUUAUUGUAAUAGCUUCGAACUCUCUAUCUUCCGCAAAAAAAAAAAAAAAAAAGGGGGGUUUUCUAACACUUCUAUUCAUCAUGUUUACAGUUUUUGUGGCAUGCGCUUAACGAAUUCAACUGUGGUUGUGGUUGCGGUUGCGGUUGCAUAUCAAUACUAUUAUACCAUAAGUGUGGGCUUGUUUGAGAAUGUUUUUGUUUGUAAGAAGCGGUUUUACACAGUAGUUAAAAUAUAUAUAUGUAGAAAGAAAACAUACAAGUUGGUUGACAAAAGGGGAAGAAAAAUUGAGAGAUACAGAGAAUAAGAAAAGAAGAAAAUCGAUGCAAAUUUUAAUAUAUAUGUAGUAGAUCCAGGUAUCCAAAGGAUUCGGGGCUAAUGUACCUGCAUUGAUGAAAAAACAAAGAUGAGAUUUUUUGAAACGCAUCACAUAGUAGUUAAAAUACCUGGCGGUAAAUGAACGGUUUGAGAUAACGCCAUAGUGGCAUCCCUCAGGUGUGAGUUUCUCUCGUAUCGGAUCACUUAUUGUAAGAAUAUCAAUAGUGAAAGUUAAAUACCCGUGUCGGGAAAGGAAGUCGAUGAUGACAACUGACAAGAGAGAAAUUUGGCUUGAAAAAUGUAUGAUGUUUGCAACAUGCGUCAUGAAAACUUAAGUGUCAUGAAAACUUAAGUGUAAAAUGCGACCGGAAAAACACUAAACAGGAUAGCUAUGCUCUCUUAGUGUAAACCUUAACAACAAAGACCAUACCGUAUCUGUCACAGUGAUAUGCGACCAUAAGCCCAACUCCAAGGAACACCUUUCCAAGAGCUUUGAAGGCUACAGAUCAAAAGUUACAUGCAGUGAUGACAUAAUCAUGAAAAAAUACAAUCAUAAAUUAAAGGAAAACAUACUGACUUCUAGUUCUGGCAAUUCACUAUCGGGCCAUAUAUUUGAACCACAGUAUGAUGGAUACCUACAAUACAUAUCAUAUCACAAAUAAAAUCUGAGCAGACACAAAGUAUUAUGUUCUGUUUACGCAAAAUCUGUAAGUUCUCAAAUAGGAUAAAUAAAGAUAAACAUAUCCCAGCAUAAAGACGAUUUGUCCUGGUUAAUUCUAGGAAACCUUUAUCAAAUGUAUGAUAGUUAUUCAUAACUAACACAAACAACUGUUUGGCCAGACAUUACUGGUAUGAGCCAUAUACUGUGUGACCUCAGACAAAAUAGAUCCCACAUGUACUCAGAUUAUGAUUGAUGUCCCUAUUGACUUUUACCUUUGAAUUAGAGAUUCAUCUGUUGUAGGGCUAUCCAAUAUUGGAUUUGCAUAAAACGAGCCUUUUAACGUAUCUGCAAAACCAGAACACAAACGGAAAAUGAAUGAUCCUAAGUUCUUAGAGUUUCCAAAGAAACAAAAUUUAAAACAAAGAACAUAAAGUGAUACCAGGCUUUCCAGAUUCCAGCUUCUCUUUUUCCAUGACUCCAUCCAAAAUUGUACCUAAACAUGGAUGGCAGGUAAAAAGAAGAUAAGCAAUAAAACUUUGUAAAGAUUCCCAAGAAAAGCAAUAAAACUACGUAAAUUAUUAGUUAAUAAUGUCAAGACCAUAGUCUCUGAAAAUCCAAGAGUUGAGAUGCGGCAGGGAUUUUUGGAAUUUUUCUCUAUUGUAAGUAAAACAUAGAUUGAUGUUUGUGUUUACACGAAAAUUAUGCCAACGGCUUAAGAGAAAUCAAAGUAUAACAAUGGGACUAAAAUGACUUACCUACUAUGAGGAUCUUCAAGUUCCUUCUUCACCUCUUCGGGCAGAUUGGCUAAUCUAAUAAACAAAAAGAAAACUCCCAUGAGCAGUGCUAUAACAAACUAUCUUCCUAAAUUCAUUAUGAAUUGCAGUUAAAACUUAAAAUGAACAUGAAAAUCCUACGUAGAAGGGAUAUACCUAGGUGACAAGCCUAGAAGAUUCCCGCGCAAGGAAGAAUAUCCCGGAACCUGCAAUUGAAAACUCAAAGAAACAAUUACAAAGAUGCUAGAAAGAAAAUACGUAUCAGUUUACAACAAAACGCUAGCUCUCACAAGAAUCGAUUAGGUAUGAAGCAUCAAAACAACAGCAUGAGACAUCAUAAUUUAUGAGCUAUGAAUGGAAUAAUGGAGCAAAAUAUCGUUGCCCAAACAGCACAAUCUACAAUCUACAUGACGGAGAAAGUACCCCGACAUUACAUAUGCAAGUUCAUGUGGUUUAUGUGGUUUAUCUUUUUAACCGAUUCGUUAACAAAUUCUUUCUGCACAUAUAGUUUUAACUUACCAAAACUGGUAAUGGAAGAGAUAAUCAGUAAUUAACAACGGUAAUCGCAUAACGAAAUCAUACUUGAGUGAUUGAUAGGAUUCCCAACCCAUUUGGUCCAAAUCCUUCUUCAAUCUUCACUGACAAAUCUUUGUCCCUGUCCUGUAUCAAUCCAAAAUCAAAAAACGAUAAUUAGAAAAAUCGAAUUCUCGACAUGAUCGACGAGUUAAAACAUAGCAAUUAAACAAAACUAUGAAUAAAACAAUUAGAUUCUGUUUGGUUGCUGAGAAUGAAGAGAAUAACAACCACAAAGUCAACUGAAAUAAAAUUUUGCUCUAACUUCAACGAAUUCUCUUGAGUUUCUGAGCACCCAAACAGAAAAAAAAAAAUUAUAGGCAAUCAAACCAAACUCUCAUGCUCAAUUUUCUCGGCAACCACAAAAAGAACUUAGAGGAGGGGGAGAGAGAGAGUUACUUGGAGCUCGGAGUAGGAUAUGGUGACUGGUGUGACGGUGGGGACGACGGGGUCGGAGGACGGAGGCAUAGUUCGACAAUAAAUUUGGCGGGAAAGACGGCGGUUGGAGUGUGACGAUGGGGAAGAAUCCGUGGGAACGAAGAGGAAUUUUGGUGCGGAAGGAGGGUCUUUAUAUCGGAGGGAGGGAGGGAGGGAGAGAGGUUGAGAGCGAAAGGCGUGAUUGUCAAUUUCAAAUUUUUUUUUUUUAGGAAUAAAGAAAGAAAGAGAGGUUGAGUAUCAAUUCCCUUUCCCUCCAAACCAAAGAAUACAUUCACGAUCAUGAUGUGUGUGGCAAAAAUUAAAGGUGGAGACAAAUAAAUUAAAGAGAAUUUUCACGAAAAGUUCAUGGUACGAUUUAUUUUAAUGAAAAAUUAUAUUUUUAUACUAAAAAGUCAAUUUUGAUACUAUUUACUUUACAUUUUAUUUUUGUCAUUAUCGUUAAAACUAAAAACAAUUGAAGCAUUUUUUUACUAUUUUUCCUUAUAUUAAAUAGGUAUAAGUAUUAGUUAAAUUUAAAAUUAAUUGUGUACUAUUAAAAAUUUGUUUGAAAAUGUUUUUAAAAUGACUGAAAGCAUUUUUGAUUAAAAUGUUUUUUAAAUCAAUCCUUAGUAAAACCAAGUGGAUUCUAAAAAGUCAUUUGGAUUACUUUCUACAAAAACCACAUAUCUUGAGCACUUGAAGCACUUUUGGAAUCCAAAAUUAAUUUAACAAAGGUGUGUCUAGUCUUUUUAAUUUUUGAACAAACAAUAUUAUUUAUUUUAAGGGAGGAGAUGAGCUUAACCUCACAAUGGACUAUCAUAUUAAUAAUGUUGUUCAAAUCCACCUUUAUCCAAAAUCAAAUCUAAAACAUCUUACUCACAACUGAAGAGGAAUACCUUUACAUCGUAAUACUAAGCGACAUGUUUUUUUAUUUUUAAGAGACGUGUUUAUUCAUUUUUAAAAGACUUAAAAACCAGCACUAAUUUGUAUUAAAUUCUAAAACCUUUGAAUUGGGAUGUAAUAUGCAUUGGGUCUUUAAUAAUAUUUAAGUUGUUUUCGGCAAAAAAUAAGGGAUUCAAUUGGGAAAAAUAACAAAAUAUGAAAUAAGGAUAUUCUAAUUAAGGUUUUUAUUAAUUAUUUAAGGCGGAUGGUUCAUGUGAAGAUUAUGAAACGCUUUAAUUCUCUAAUGUGCGAUUCCAUUUCGAUCCAAAGUUAAACAGUGACAAAUACAAUUAAGGUUGUUAAUUUUUUUUGGUAAAAACAAUUAAGGUUGUUAUUAAUAUCAAUUCAUGUAUAUUUCCGCAUGUGCCACAUUAUUAAGUUAGGCAGUGAAAAAUAUAUAUCGGAUGUUAUGAGAACAUGUGUGGCUGUCAAGCCCUACACGUGAAUAACAUGCUCUCUACUGCUUUAUUACACCGUGAAGAUUUUAUCCAAAAUUAAUUGACGAUGAGCGAAUAAACUGAAAGAUUAUGCGCAACUUUGAUUAUGCAACGAGUGAAGAGGCAAUUUACACCAACCUCCAGUCAAGAAUUUGGGCUCACAAUCACUAGCCAAUAUGCUUUUUUCUCACAUUUACCCUGACACGGCAAGUUCAUAGUUCAAUAUUCUGGUUCUGGUGUCCUAUGACCCUGACACGGCAAGUUCCACUUUUUGUUCAUUUUCUUGACGAAACCAUCACAUUUACCCUUACGGCACGGCACGGUUCCGGGCAUGGAGUAUGGAUUGGGUUCCGUUGCAGUCCCGACACUACAUAGCACUGUAGAGAAGGAAAUACAAAGACAACUUUGGAUUUCUUACAACGUAUUGAGUCUCUCGUCAUGGCUCUUGCUGUGUUGUUCUUAUUUCACGUCCUGUUUCUCGAGUUUGGUGUUUCCGGUUGCAAAUUUUGGUUCGGCAGUGUAGUGCUCAGGAGAGGGGACUGUCUCACGUUGUUCCAAGCAGACAGAGGCGGUUGACAACGAUUGCGACAAUGUGUUUUUCUACUGGGAGAACAUACAGCAGUCAACAGUUAUCUUUUCACAACCGUCUUCAGUAUUUGGAGGCACCUCAAGAAAUUAUCAAGGACAAACGAAUGUAGAAAAGAAGAAAUAUCAAAGUUAGUUGACAAAAGGGGACGAAAAAUUGUGAGAUACAGAUAAGAAGAUAAGACGAUACUCGAUGCAAAUUUUAACGAGCGAUACAGAGAAGAAACAGCUGCAUUUGGAGACAGCUGCUUUAGUUGCCUUGUUUGUAACAUUAGCUUUCUGCAAUUCCGGGGAAGAAACAGGAGUAAAAAAAACAGAGUCAGGCAGUACCAAAAAAGAAAAAUAUACAAUUAGGAACAAUCGUCACUUCUCAAACUUUGUAGUAGAUCCAGGUUUCCGAAGGACUCGGGGCUAAUGUACCUGCAUUAACAAGAAACAAAGAUCAGAUUUGUGGAAGGGAGUCGCAUAGUAGUUAAAAUACUUGGCCGUGCAUGAAUGGUUUGAGAUACCAUCAUAGAGGCAUCCUCCAGGUGUGAGUUUCUCUCGUAUCUGAUCACUUAUUGUAAGAAUAUCAGUAGUGAAAGUGAAAUACCCGUGUCGGGAAAGGAAGUCAAUGAUGACAAAAGAGCAAUUUGGUUUGAAAUAUUGUGUCCUCGGUAUGAUGCUUGCAACAUGCAUCACCGAAUCCACUUGAAGCUCUCCACCUCUCCAUCUGUUAAAUGUUUCAUAAGCAGCAUUGUUAAAGUUCUCUUUAUUUGGGGGGAUAUUGCAGAUGGUUUUGAAUGAAGAAAGGCAAAAAUUCAUGCUGAAGGCAUAGUUUACAACUAGUAUUUGUAAAAGCUAAGCUCUAAAGUGAGCCUUGAUUCUUUGGCACAAAUAGCUAAAGUUUUGAGAUGGGACAAAAUGGGUCCACAUACAGCGCAUCCGAUGGUGUUGAAAUCCUUUUCCCAGUAAGUCAAAGAUAAGCACCAAGAAAGACAUGACAGUGUUAAACUUAAAACAAAUACAGAACUAAGAAUUGAUGCAUGAAUCAAACAGAGAAAUGGUACAGGCCAUUCUCUUUAUAUUCUUAUAAUCUAAACAUUUCUCCUUAUCAACACUGGAAAAACAGCUUGCUUCAGUCAUAGGAAAUAAAUUGCGCCUAGAGUAUAGAAAAGACAUACCUACAGAUCCUCCUCCUGGACUCUUUGCCGCUAUACGUGAAAACCCAACAUCUGGGAACAACCAAAUUACAUUCUCUGGCAUGGCAAGAACAGUCCUCUGAAAUGUAUCCAUACAAAGUUAAGACACAAAAAACUCAAAAAGGCAAUGUAAUUCACAACAUUGACAAUCUCUGUCUGACAAGGCAAUAAUACCUCUGUAAUGAUCCGGUAGCGACCGUGACCUGAUAGGCCAACACCAAAGCCCAUUGUUAUGCCAUCCAUGAAGAUAGGGCUUCUUGUACUCAGAGAUUUUGCAUAUUAGAGAAUACUCAGCAGUGAAUACCUGAAAAACAUGCAGCACAAGUAUCAUACCGGUAGCCUCUCAAUCUUAAGAAAUGGUAGCUUAGAAAAGAUAUGAAUCCUAUCCAACCACUACAAAUCAUAUUACCCAAGUUCAAGCAAAAUCACGACUAAACAAAUGAUCAGAUGUUGUAGGUUGCCCGAGAAUGUCAAACAUGAAAUUACAAGAAAAAAAACAAUCGUAUGUAUUGAACAUUAAUAAAUACUUGCUGAAAGCACAAUCUUAGCUGCCAUUUAUGACAUUUAUACGAGAUUGAAUAGCCAAAGCAAUUAAAGAAGUAGCAGAACUCAUAUAAGUGAUUUUCACUUUGAACUUUUAGGCUUAUCAGCAAAUACAUCAUUACGAUUCUAACGCAUGAAUUUUGUUAAAAGGGGCUUGCUUGCUUGUAUUAAGGCUUAAUCAUCAAUGAUUUUGCAAGGGUCAAUCGUCUUGAUAGUUGUAAUCUAUGCACUAUGAAAAUUACCAAAAUUACAUCUUAUAUGGUAGAGAAGGAAGUCAUCUUAUAUUAUCUGGAUUUUAGAAAACGGUGUAAGGUUAUAAGUCUGUUAUUCUAUAUAGUUUAAAGGACACAAUUAGACAACAAUCAUAUUUGGUGGUUGGUUUUUGGCCGUGAUCUGCUUCACAUCACCGCCCGCAGGUAAUCUAAAUCUGGGUUAUUACUUAUCAAUGAAUCAAAGUGCCAACUUAUCGGACACCAUCUAUCUCUAUAUGGCAAAAAAAAUAACACAAAAAGGAACAAUGAAGUGAAACAAUAAACAACAUGACAUGAAACAGCACGAACAUCAAAGACCAACAAUCUAUCACAUAAGCACCUAAACAAGAAACAACUUUAGUUCAAAGCAAAGCGUAAUGUAGAAACCUUCGGCACAAGAGGCGUGUUUUUGUCCUUUUGAAUUUCGGCAACAACAACUUUAAUAUCCUUACCUGCACUUACCAUGAUUGCUCACUCUCAAAACCUUACCUAAGAGACCCCAAAACCAAAAUAACUGCCAAAAGAGCUGAACAUACAUAUCUAGAAAAAACUUAUUCAACUACAUGCUAAAAUGGAAGUGUAAAAUUGCCAGGAAAGAUAAGAAACUAUUCAAAUACGAGUUCUGGGCGUUACCGCCACAAAAGGCACGAGCCGAGCGGCUAUCAACAAGAACACACUUCACAUUUGGGUGAGAUUCCCAUUCAUCCAGAUAGCUCUUGUAUUUCACAUCCAAAUCUGCAUUUUCCAACAAUUCCCACUUAAACAGAAACACAAAAUUCUUCCAAAAAAAGCUAACUUCUUCGAAAUUUGAAUCCAACGUUUCGUCUUAUAACAAAUGCAAUAACAUAGAUUUGUAAUCAAUACGAUGCCAUAAAGUUCAAGCUCAAAAAUUCAAAUCAUCUCCAAAUCAAAUGCAAUUACAGAUAUAUACAUAUAUACAUAUACGUUUGUGUGUUUAUCUACAUACCUAGGUUUAUGGCGUUGAGAGCUCGGGGGGUGACCGAGGGUGAUGACGGCGACGCCAAAGGUGCGGAGAAGGCGAGGGGAUUUGGAGGGUUUUGUAAAGAGGGGAUUUGCUCAGAAUUUGGGUCGCUCGUCCCUCUUAUGGGAGUGACUCAAAAAUCGAAAAAGUUGAAAUUUAUUGAUUGUGAUCUGACUCAAACAUGUGAUGAUGACGAUGCAUCACCACCUUGGUUGUGCCUCUGGAUCAAAAACCUACCAUCACCAUCAAAAUCGUGCACAUUUUCCUUCAUAGGCUUGUCCCAUACUAGAUUAACCCCUGUUCCCUUAAUUGUCACAUUAUCAGAUGUACUGUUUCAAAAGUUAUAUCAACUUUAUCCCCGCUUUGCAAAUUGAGCUUAUCGUUCGAUAUUUGUCCCUGCCAAAGAAAACAUUUUCCAGAUACAUUGUGCAUUUUUAUAACCCAAUCUUCCUUGCCUAUGCAGGUCUGCAACUCAGUACGCUUGGUAUUAUUUAUAUCAAUACUGGCACGAGGAUGACCAUCUUUGCAUGUGAAAUAAGGUUUGCUAUGAAUUGAAUAUUUAGGAAUAAAGCAGUAAAAGCA